UUUUUUUUUUUUUCUUAAAUUUGCACAUACCACACAUUGCCACAUAAAUAUUACUUCAAAACAUUAAAACACAUUUGUCGUUUAAGUACUACAUCUACACUCGAAAAUAAGAGCCUAAUAAAAAAAUAAUACAUACACUACUAAUCUAUUACAAAUUUUAAAUGUGCAAGGAUAUGCAAAAUGAAACAGUUUUUGUUUCAAGGUUGUGAAAUCUUUCUCAAAAGUUUAAACCUCAAUUUACAAAAUCCUCAAUUUACAUCGAUCAUCAUGAAAUUGCAUUGAAACUUUGGCUUGAUCUAUUGCCUUCAAGAGUUAUGUUGAUGAUGUUUUCAGUAAGGUUUUCCACGUCAUAACUAUCUUCUGCAUAAACUAAGCAUAGAAAAACCAAACAUUAAAAAUCAUUCAAAUUAUGAGAAGUUUACCAAAAUAAUUAUGAAAAAAAAUAAAACAAUAGUACUAUACCAUACUUUUAUUAAGUAUAAACAUAAAAUUUUGUGCUAUCCACUAGUGUAAAUAUUUUAAAUUGAAGAUCGAAUUCAAUCAUUGUAUUCAUAUAAGAUCAAGGAGUGUAGUUGUAAAAAAUCAUCAAAAUCAGAGUUAAAUUAACCGUUAAAUCGUGAUUUUUCGUUUAUAACCGUCGAAAAGUUUUGUCCCGUUACGUGCUCUCUGAAUGUUUGUUUUUUGCAAUUUUUGGCGUAUGGGAUCUCGAAAUAUAUACAAACAUGUUUGACAGUUGGAUCAUUGAAACUAGUUUUGUAGAAUGAGUAUCCCAUCAAAACAAUAGAUUCACUAAUACUUAAGAGUUUAUUCAUACUUUUAUUAAGUAUAACAUAAGAUUUUUGUGGUUUCCACUAGUGUAAAUAUUUUUAAAUUGAAGAUCGAAUUCAAUCAUUGUAUUCAUAUAGGGUCAAGGAGUGUAGUUGUAAAAAAUCAUCAAAAUCGGAGUUAAAAUGACCGUUAAAUCGUGAUUUUUCGUUUAUAACCGUCGAAACGUUUUGUCCCGUUACUUGAUCUCUGAAUGUUUGUUUUUUGCAAUUUUUGGCGUAUGCAAUCUCGAAGUAUAUAUAAACAUGUUUGACGGUUGGAUCAUUGAAACUAGUUUCUUAGAAUGAGUAUCCAAUCAAAACAAUAGAUUCACUAAUACUUAAUAGUUUAUUCAUACUUUUAUUAAGUAUAGUAUAAGAUUUUGUGGUAUCCACUAGUGUAAAUAUUUUAAAUUGAAGAUCGAAUUCAAUCAUUGUAUUCAUAUAGGGUCAAGGAGUGUGGUUGUAAAAAAACAUCAAAAUCGGAGUUAAAAUGACCGUUAAAUCGUGAUUUUUCGUUUAUAACCGUCGAAAAGUUUUGUCCCGUUACUUGAUCUCUGAAUGUUUGUUUUUUGUAAUUUUUGACGUAUGCGAUCUUGAAGUAUAUACAAACAUGUUUGACGGUUGGAUCUUUGAAACUAGUUUCGUAGAAUGAGUAUCCCAUCAAAACAAUAGAUUCACUAAUACGUAAUAGUUUAUUCAUACUUUUAUUAAGUAUAAUAUAAGAUUUUGUGGUUUCCACUAGUGUAAAUAUUUUAAAUUGAAGAUCGAAUUCAAUCAUUGUAUUCAUAUAAGGUCAAGGAGUGUAGCUGCAAAACAUCAAAAUUAGAGUUAAAAUGACCGUUAAAUCGUGAUUUUUGUUUUUAUAACCGUCGAAAAGUUUUGUCCCGUUAAUUGAUCUCUGAAUGUUUGUUUUUUGUAAUUUUUGACAUAUGCGAUCUCGAAGUAUAUACAAACAUGUUUGACGGUUGGAUCUUUGAAACUAGUUUCGUAGAAUGAGUAUCCCAUCAAAACAAUAGAUUCACUAAUACUUAAUAGUUUAUUCAUACUUUUAUUAAGUAUAACAUAAGAUUUUGUGGUAUCCACUAGUGUAAAUAUUUUAAAUUGAAGAUCGAAGUCAAUCAUUGCAUUCAUAUAAGGUCAAGGAGUGUAUUUGUAAAACAUCAUCAAAAUCGGAGUUAAAUUAACCGUUAAAUCGUGAUUUUUCGUUUAUAACCGUCGAAAAGUUUUGUCCCGUUACUUGCUAUCUGAAUAUUUUUUUUUUGCAAUUUUUGGCGUAUGCGAUCUCGAAAUAUAUACAAACAUUUUUGACGGUUGGAUCAUUGAAACUAGUUUCGUAGAAUGAGUAUCCCAUUAAAACAAUAGAUUCACUAAUACUUAAGAGUUUAUUCAUACUUUUAUUAAGUAUAACAUAAGAUUUUGUGGUAUCCACUAGUGUAAAUAUUUUAAAUUGAAGAUCGAAUUCAUUACUUGUAUUCAUAUAGGGUCAAGGAGUGUAGUUGUAAAAAAUCAUCAAAAUCGGAGUUAAAAUAACCGUUAAAUCGUGAUUUUUCGUUUAUAACCGUCGAAAAGUUUUGUCCCGUUACUUGCUCUCUGAAUGUUUUUUUUUUGCAAUUUUUGGCGUAUGCGAUCUCGAAAUAUAUAAAAACAUGUUUGACGGUUGGAUCAUUGAAACUAGUUUCGUAGAAUGAGUAUCCCAUCAAAACAAUAGAUUCACUAAUACUUAAGAGUUUAUUCAUACUUUUAUUAAGUAUAACAUAAGAGUUUGUGGUAUCCACUAGUGUAAAUAUUUUAAAUUGAAGAUCGAAUUCAAUCAUUGUAUUCAUAUAGGGUCAAGAAGUGUGGUUGUAAAAAAUCAUCAAAAUCGGAGUUAAAAUGACCGUUAAAUCGUGAUUUUUCAUUUAUAACUGUCAAAAAGUUUUGUCCCGUUACUUGCUCUCUAAAUGUUUGUUUUUUGCAAUUUUUGGCGUAUGCGAUCUCGAAGUAUAUACAAACAUGUUUGACGGUUGGAUCGUUGAAAUUAGUUUCGUAUAAUUCGUAUCCCAUGAAGUUCAAUGGUGUGUGGUGUGUGUAUAUAUAUAUUUAUUUAUUAAGUAGAUUUAAAUCUAUUUAUUUUGUAUGUAUAAUUAUUAUAGUUUUUAGGGGUAUAAAAUUUAAUAUAUAUAUAUAUAUAAUUAUUAUAGUUAAUAUUUUGGGUAUAAUUAUUAUAGUUUUUAGGGGUAUAAAAUUGUUAAAUUAAUAUAUAUAUAAUUAUUAUAGUAUUUUUUUAGGGUUAUAAAUUAUUAAAUUAAUAUUCUGCUUAUCGUGUAUCGUGUUAAUCACGUGUAUACCCGAACAAACCCGUUAUCUUAACAGGUGCUUAUCGGGUUACCCGAUAACGACCCGUUUCGUUAUCGUGUCGACCCGAACACCUGUUAAUUUCGUGUCGUGUCGUGUCGGGUUAUCGGGUCGUGUCAGGAAUUGUCAGGCCUACCCCUAUAUAUAGCCCCAUAUUACUCCAAAAACCUAAGUUCAUUCUCUCCCUGAAAUUCUUUAAACACUUUCUCUCUCAAAUUCUAACUUUGGCAUCGGAGAUUCUUCGGCCAAAGCACCCCCUCCGGUUCAUCGUGGGCACGUGAGGCUUUUGGCCUUGAUCUUAUGUGUUAUUAUUUUGCAGGUGCAUUUUCGUCAAAGGAGAAGAAGGCGGAAAUUUGCAUCCACACAUAACAACUAGAAACUCCAACACAUGUUCAAACAAACACGAGAGUUUCUAAUUGUUCUUUUACAAAACGUAUUUGUCCUAUAUUCAUUUUUCCUUUUUUUUUGUAGGGGUUUGGGUUUGUAAUCUCUCCUAAAAUCUAAACCAAUUUGUAUUCACCUUUUUAUCCAUUUCCAAAUUUUUAAUAUGCCCUUACUCUUUGUGUGUAUUUCAAAAGGCAGUCAAUCAGUUUCACAGCACGAAGCAUCAAACCAGAGAGAAGUAUCAAAACAGAAGAACCCGAUAAUAAAAAUUCAGCAUAUAACCCAUCAGAGUUUAUGAAUAUGCUUUAAUAUGAAAAAUUAGUUCACAGUUCACUAAUGAUUUUAGUUUGUUGAGUUUUCCCGGUCCCUGGAAGGGGUGGAUAACCGUGGCUUGCCACCAGUUGUCCCCUUUAAAAUUUAAAAAAAAAUAGUCAUUAUUUGCAUGCCUCGCAGAGGCUAACUGCAAAAUUGUCAGAUAUGUGCUUAGGCCUGUAAGGGUGUCACUUAGCGGAGAAAUCCAACUUUGGAGAUUUCAUGAACAAAGUUCAAAUUGGACAAGUAAUCUAUACUGCGUGACUCAAUAUGCACUCAUAUUAUUAUGAAGAUAUUCAUGAGAUAUUCUUCCUCUCAUCCCUAGGAUGUUAGUAUUAUUUUUUGUGGUGUUAGGAAGGGUAUUAAUCCUCGAUGAGUUUCGAGGCACAAUCUCUAGUAUAUAUGGUAUAGGUCACACGCAGUCUUGGAAGGCUCACCUAAGUGAAAGUAAUCACGAGGCCGCAACUGUGAGGAUUAGGUUGUUUUCUAAAAACUCUCAUGAGAAUCAAGAUUAAGUACAUGGCCAAAAAUAGUUGUAACCCGUGCUAAGUUUUUUAUUGGUACCAUGUAUUUUCCAUUUAAUAUUCUAGUCAAAAGGGUCCUAGUUCAAAACAUAGUUCACUAUGAUUCCUUCAUGAAGUUGUUAAUACUAAGUGUAGGUUCAAGUCCCGAAAGACACCUACACCCUUUGUAUGGUAUACAAGUUGCCCAAAUUUCUUCCAUUCAUACAUAUAUAUAUUUAUAUCUUCUACAUUUCUAUGAAGUUUUGAAUCUUGUGGAGGAUUGUUGGCUAUUUACUUUAUUUUAUUAAUUAAAUAUUCAAAACUUUAUUUAUUAUUAUUUUAAAUAAUAAAUAUAUAAAGUCAUGUCUAAUAAGAUAAGUUAUAUCUUUUACCAAGGUAUAUAGAGUUUUAUAACUAGUGAACUCCUCAAACAAAACAUAUAUAUUCAAAUAUUUCCCUCUCUUCCUACUAUAGUACUCUUCCACAUUCAUUAUUAUUCUCCCACUCAUCUCCAUCAUCAAUGGGUUGAUCAUGGAAGAAAAUGUCAAUAAUAUCGGCGAAAUAUCGCCGAUAUUAUCGGUUUUUCGCGCAAUGGAUAUUUAAAUAGGUAUCUGGAUGGUUUUCGUCCAAAUAUCGCGAUAUUAUCGAUAUUAUCGAUAAUAUCGCGAUAUUACCGAUAAUAUCGCGAGAUGAACCGAUAAUAUCGCCUCUCGAACAACUGAGUUGACCCGGAUGAUGGCGAGUCGAACCGGUUGAACAUGCUCAACUCGUGGUUGUACAUGGCCUUCUUGGUGGGGUUAGAGAGGACGUUCCAGGCCUCAGAGACCAGCCGGAAGGCAUAAUCAGGGAAGCGAUUCCGGUGGGGGUUUAGCAGAAGAGCGAGUCGACGGUACUGAGUCGCGACAAUUUCGAGGUUCUGAGUGUACUGGGCGAGUUGGAGAAUAGCGUACCAGUCGGGCUGCUGGUUUUGGUUGUUGAUCUGGGAUUCAGCGGCGAGAAGAGUGUCGGCGACGGCGAUUAUCUGCUUGGUGGCCUCGAGCCUGGGGUCAGUCUCUCGGGCUCGGAUCACGAAGGUCUUCGUCUCCUGUAAGUCAUGCGCCGACAGUAGCUUCACGGCUCUCCGCUUCCGCCCUCGCCCCCUCUUCUCUCUCUCUCUCUCACUCCCCUUUCUGCCUUUCUUGGUUUUCGGUGAAGUUCACUUCGGAUAGAGUAGAAGGGUGGGGGAAUUUUGGGUGGACGAAAGAGGACUUAGGUUGUGACUGAAAUGACAGAGAUUGUUUGGUGGUGGGGUGGGAGAAUGGGAGGUGCAGUAGGGGUAUUUUGGGAGAAUGGGAGAUUGUUGUUGUUGAGGGUUUUGAGCACACUUGGACUCGGUUAAUGGAUUUAGAUUUUAAACCAACGGAACUGCUACCCUUCAACACCUUGACCACCAUAUCACUUAUGUUUUCGUGAAAAUAUGCUAAAAUAUUUAUAUAUAUGGUUUUGUUUUGAAUUCUUUUUGCAAGAAACAGAUUUGCAUAUGACAGCUCGCUAUAUAAUCAACUUAAAUCAGUUAAAUCCAUCAAGCAAUACAUUUCCUUCCAAUUUUUUGUGAUAAACUAAUAGAUAAUUGACUAAAUAAACAUCUUGCAAAGUUUUAAUAAAAAUUUCCAAGUUUUUCUUACAAUUUCCGUGGUUUCCAUGUAAUUUUUAUCGAUAUCGAUAUUAUCCCGAUAUUUCCAUCGAUAUUUCCGUAUUUUCGGACUACCGAUAUUUCCGAUAUUACCGAUAUUUAAUACCUUGGGGUUGAUCACUACUUGGCACCCGUUUGUCUAACCAUGCUUAUCGAUCUGAUACUUUGUAGAUAGCCAUUAUAACCUGCACAUAGGGAGGCGUCUACCACUUUAGGAUAGUGACAAAAUGUCUCGUUGGUAUCACAAUCCAAAUUAUUCCAUACUCUUUCUCUAUUUACUACUUUUUUUCUAUUUACUCUUUUGUUUGUUUGAUGGAUUUUGGUACUAUAUAAUUGAAUGAAUUUACAUGUGUAUUAUGACUAUAAUCAUUUAAGUUAUCCUACAGGUCGGUCGAACCCAAUGACUAGCCGCGCAUGUUUGAUACCACAGUUCCAGAGUCACUUUCUGCUACAAACUGGUCGCAAGCUGUUGCUUUGUCUAAUACACAUCUUGCAAAGUUUGCAUGUAUUAGUUUUUCUAGCGAGUGGCUAUCAGUGACUAUCCUACUAAUGAUUCAGGACAAGAGUGUGACACACAUGAGGUAAAUUAUGAUGUUUUGCCUUCGUACACAUAUCAGUUGCCGCCACGAGCUAAUCGUAGAAGAUCUAAAGUACAAUAUGAUGUUGAUAUGCAUGCCAAAGCCAAGUAUCCCAUCAAAAAUUAUGUGUCACCAUAUGCAUCUUAUAUAUGUCAACUGUCUAUUGUAUCUGUUUCAACAAAAUUGUAAGAUGUCUUACAUGGUCCAAAGUGAAUUUAUGAUAUGAAUGUGGAGAUGGAAGCACUUGAAAAUAAUUCCACGUGGGAUUAAGUUUCUCUACAAAAAUGAAAGAAAAUUGUUGGAUGUAGAUUGGUGUUUACUAUUAAGCAUGAAACAUAUGGUUCUAUUGAUCGGUACAAAGUCAAAUUAGUUGCCAAGUUAUACACAAACUUAUGGUGUGGACUAGGAGACUUUUGCCUUUAUUGCCAACAUUAAUAUUGUGCGUGUCCUUUUAUUUUUAGGAGCAAAUCUGGAUUAGCCUCUACUGCAAUUUGAUGUCACAAAUACUUCCUUCAUGGUGAUCCCAAAUAUGACGUGUAUCACACAUUCCAUUUAGCAAACCUCGAUUUUGGUGCCUACUUGAAAUCGGGGUUAGGGUGUGUCAUUGCACAUGGAUCUUCCACUAGGUAUUGGAAUAGCCUCUGAAAAGGGUAUCGUGUGCAAAUUGUGAAAGGCCUUGUAUAGCUUGAAGUAGUCCCCUAGAGCGUAGUUUGAGAGGUGCAUAAGUUCAAUGAAUACAUGUUGGUAUUUUCAAAGACAUUCAAAUCAUGCUCUAUUUAUCAAGCAUCGAAAUGGUAAGCUAACUGCUUUCAUUAUUUAUGUUGAUAUGAUGGUAACUGGUGAUGAUCAAGAAUAGGUACAACGCCUUGAGGAGUACCUAGCUACCGAGUUUAAGAUGAAGUAAUUAGGUGAAUUGAAGUAUUUUCCUGGAAUUGAGGUUGCAUGUCCAAACAAGGUCUUUUUCUGUGUUAAUAUGUACUUGAUUUGUUGGCUGAAACAUGCAUAUUAGAUUGCAAACCUAUUGAUACUCUGAUUAAGCAAAAUCAUUAUCUGGGUUUAUUUUUAGAUCAAGUUCCAACUCACAAGGAACGAUAUCGAAGGCUUAUAGGGCAAUUAAUCUACUUGUCUAAUACAUGCCCUGAUGUUGUUAGUGUGGUAAGCCAGUUUAUGCACUCUUCUGAUGAAGCUCAUAUGAAUGUAGUGAUUUGUAUUUUGAGAUGAUUGAAGAGGGCUCAUGGCAAAGGCUUGGUUUCGCCAAGAAAGUUCAUUUAAAUGUUGAUGGGUAUAAUUAAAGACGCAGAUUAAGCAGGUUCUAUCACUGAUUGGCGAUCUACGUCUGGACACAUUAUGUUUUUGGGUUGUAAUUUGGUUACUGUAGAAGUUGAGUAUCAUGGUAUGUCACAUGGUGUCUGCAAUUUGUUGUGGUUUAAGAAAUUAUUUAGAGAUUUUGGGUUUGGACACAAAGGUUCUAUGAAUCUUUGUUAAAAUCUACUAUAGAGAUUUCUAAUAAUCCGAUUCAACAUGAUCGUACAAAACAUGUGGUGACUAAGGCAGUGUCUAGAGAUCAACUCAUUGCUUUUCCUUUGUGAGAACUAGAGACCUACUCGCAGAUGUGUCAACUAAGCCAGUGUCAACUAGUGUGUUUUUGAACUCGAUUGACAAGUUUGGCAUGUGUGAUAUCUUUGCUCCAACUUAAUAGGAGUGUUGCGAAUUUGUAGUUUAAAUAUUAGUUAAAGUUGUAAAUGAAUUUUGUUUCACCUCGGUAAAUGACCUAUAAAACAAUAUCUGUAAUCCCUAUAUAUACUUCACAUUAGAGGUUACUAAAAUAUAUCAAAAUUCAACAAUAAUCCAUGUGGCACAACAUAAUAUGUUUAUGUUCCAACCAUUUAGAGUAUAAAUGCUUUAACAUGAAGUGGCCAUGCUUACAACAACUUCACAACAAUGGCUUGUCAGUAAACUAUCUUAACUAACGCUUUGAAACACCAUGGCCUCACACAUCUCGUACCACAUAUAUGCUUAUGGAAGUUGGCUUGUACGUCUGGUAUACAGUCAUAACCAACAUAUUCAUAUAACAUACCUGUAUCUUGAACAUGGCGGGACCUAGUAAAAGUAAGUUUAAAUAUCCAAUACCCAAAACUCUGAGCAAAAAAUUAAUUCAUUCCAAACUAUGUAUACCUCUAAGUAGGGUUAGAUUCGGUUCCAUUCGGUUUGAUUUUUUACCAUAACCGAAAAUCAAACCGAAGUUACUAUUCGGUCCGGUUUGGUUCGGUUUUUUGUCGGUUUUGUGCGGGUUUGAUUUUUUUCGGUUCGGUUUCAGUUCGAUUCAAUUUUUUUUAAAAUAAUACAAAUAAUGCCGAAUACAAUGAAAGUUGAAGAAAUUGGAAGAAAAACUAAUCUUUAGCUAAAAAUAUAACACUUGAAAUCCAUUCUAGAUCAAUAAAAUUGCAAACCCAAGUCACUCAUAUCUAUCAAAAUUGACCCAUAUCAAAGAAUAACAUCGACAAGAAUUAUAUAUAAUUUGCACCACACUUUGUCGAAUCUUCCAGAUAGAAGCUUAGUGACCGAGGAGAAGAAGUCCAUCAGAACAGUUGUGAUGAAAGGUGGCUAGAUCUGGUGCACGUCAACAAUGGCGAGCGAGAACCACCUUAUUGUCGACGAUGGCAAAAGCCAUGGCUGACUUCGGCAGAGGUAUGAGUUGGAUAGUGGGAUAGAGAGAGAUGCAGCAAUGGAGAAAAAAAGAAAGGGAAAGAAAUGGGUGAGAAGGAGAUGAGAGAACAAAAGAAAAAAGCAAGAGAGAAAUGGGAGAGAGGAAGGUGACGGCAUGAGAGGAAAAAAAUAGAGAGAAGGAACACGGCUGGGGAGAAGAAAUGAAGGAAUAAUUAGUAUGCUAGGGUUUCUAACUUUCUAAAAGGAGGCCUAACAUUCUAUUUGGGCUUGAAGGGUUUGAAGUUUGAGCUUGGAAUUAGUUUGGAAAUAAAUACCCAUUAUAUAUAAUACUUAAAAAUUUAUAUAAAAAUAAUAUAUAUUUAUUUGGUUCGGUUCGGUUUGGUUUUCGAACCCUAAAAACCAAAACUGAACCAAACUAUUUCGGUUCAAUUAUGUUUUGUACUUUCAGUUCAGUUUUUUUAGUUGAACAUUUUCUUUUGUAUUUUAUGCAAUGUGACGGUAAGCAUAUCACAUAUCUUUUAUGAAAAUGGAACUAUAGUUCCUAAUAUUUAAAUUUGAGUUCGGAUACUUAAAAGGUUAUCCAAUGUACUUUCUCUUGAUGUUCAAUAAAAGAUCGGCGCAGCUAACAGGCACUACUCCUAGGUUUCAAAUUGUUCCCAUAUCGAAAUAAAAUCUGAUUUAACCUAUAAAUGUGCUUGUGCACAUGUUGAAGUAUUAGGUUUAUAGUCAACGACCCUUGUACAUGUUUAAAUAUUGGGUUCAUAGUCAACGACCCUUGUUAUUAUAUUUGUGAUCUUUCCUAUUCUAGAUACAAAGUACAUUAGGCGUGAACAAAUAGCUUAGCUGUAGGAUUAUACAAUAAAUCCAAAGUGUACAUGUACAUGCACAUGCACAGUUCUUCCAGUGAAAAAUAACGAAGUCUUAUUAGUGACACUGAAUCUUCAUACGCUAAGCCUGAAAAUCUAAAGCUUCAGCCAUGGUGGCUCGAAAUCAGUCUAAUCAGAACCCGUCCUCUCAAAGCGAUAGAUGAAAUUUUAAUGAACUAAACUAACAAUUAGUUAACUAGUCAACUUUUUUUUCAAACGAUAGAUGAAAUUUAUUAACAAUUAAGUGUGAACGAUACAUCAGACCAUCAGCGAAGGUGUUGAAAAGCCAUAUUGGUUAUCAAUCUACCCAUUGAAACACCUAUCUCUCUUCAAAAAUAUAAGCAGGCACCUUAUGUGCUUCGACGUUGCAAUUCCAAGAACAAAACUUGAAUACGACGGACCACAAAUGAGAAGCUAACACACAAAUGUCAUGAAUGAUUUCUUCCACCAACACCUCCAUACACUACAAAAACUAUGGGCAUUGCACACAAUAAAUUAUUUGUGCAACAACUAUUAUAUUAUGUGUGCCCCCUAUGGACGUUACCUUUGAUGAAAGGGCACAAUAUGACUUUUUGUGCUCAAACAGACAAAUAGAUGUUUUUUUGUGCCUACAUUCUGAUAGUCUGUCAAACAAUCUAACAACCAGCUGACAGGCACAGUUUCAAAAAUUUGAAAAAUCAAAACAGGCUACAAGCUGAAAUCCUCAUAAAAAAAUAAAAAAUAAAAAACGUGUACUUUAGCCCGGCAAAACUGAUAUAUCCAACAAAACUUAAGCAAUCCAUGCAUCUCUAGUACAUACUUCCAACCUAAUAGAGAAAACAAAUUUACUCAAGUUCCUUAUUUACUUUCUGGCAUGAAAAUUCAUAUCAUGCGUUAUGGAAAAAAUAAUCAGCUGCAAGGUAGUUACAACAUAUUCUGAUCUCCAGCACAUACAGAAAACAGAACCUCCAAGCCAUGGAGGUGUAGAAACAUUAUUUGAGUGAACAUAUCAGGAUAAUCCUCAUGGCUACCCUCUUCUUGGUGCCUGUCCAUUGGUUAGUGUUCAUCAACAACCUACUUGCAUAAAAGGCAAAAUUAUUAAAAGAAAAAGAAAUUGAAAGAUAAUCCUCAUGCAUCUCUACCAUGGAUCCAAUUACUAAAUUCUCUUCUCUCAAUGCUGCCACACCAUAAAAGAAAAGUUAACAACAAAUAAAUAAUUAAGAUAAUGGGGGACGGGUGGCAUCAAAACAACUCCUCCAAUUUAAUAUGGACUAGCAACUGUCAAACCAAGCUUUUAGGAAGCCUUUGAAAAAAAGAAAUGGGGUGCUUUGGUUUUUACAUUAGAACUCAUAAACUUGAUCUGAGGAUAUCGAAAUUGUAAAGAAAUACCUGAAUUCAGAUUGGAACCCCACAUCUAAGCCAAACACCGGACUUAGGACUGGUUUGGUAUUGCUGUGCUUUGAAAAAAAGCUGCUGUGAGAAUAAGCGGCUGUGAAAUAAAUCAACAGAGUGUUUGGUAAACUUUUUUGUAAAAAGUGCUUUUGGAAAAAAAAAAAAAAAAGCAGUCUGAUAGUGGGUCUUUUCAUUAAAGGAGCACUGUAGCUCCAACUCCGUGUGCUUUGAAAAAAAACCAGUUUUCCAAAGCUGCAAAUAGCAGCUUUAGCUUUUUCCUUUGAUUUCAGCUUAUUCUCACAGCAGCUUCCAAAAUAAGUCAUUUUUUUCAGUUUACCAAACACCUAAAACCCUCACAACUUUUUUUCAUGGGUGCUUUUUUUUAAGCACCUCACUCCCAAACCACCCCUUAUUGCAACACCAAAACUCUCAAAUAGUACCAAAAUUUUGCAAUGUGCAGAGAAAUACUAAAACAUUUCAACCACAAUCAAAAUCCCUAAAAUUAAUUUAUCCAAACCCUAAAUCUAAGAAUUUUAACAAAUACUUUAGCAUCAAUUGAGAGGGGAAUUGAGAGAAUACCAUAUACACGGUAUGUUACCCGUGGGUCACACUCAACAACAUAUCCAAGCUGCUCCUUCGUCCUAUUUCCAGAAAUAGCAGACAAUUAUAUGAACAUAUAUUCAAAUAUAUUUGAAAACAUUAUUAUUAGAUCUCAGAUUCUUUUGCUAGGCAGUAUGCAAGUAAAAGUAUCAUCCUCAAAUAAAAUCACCUUAGUUGAUUGAAAAGUGGUUCCUCCACAAUUUCAUCGAAAAGAUCUAUCAAUGCUUUCAAUCGGAUUGACUCAAUCCCUGCUUCUUGCUCAACUUGAAAAAAACAGCUGCAAUAUGAAACCACAACCAAGGGAAGAAUAUCAUAGUACAAACAAAGAUAGUACACCUUCAUAAAGGGAAACCAAAACGAAAAUGUUCCAUUUUGAGUUACCUCAAUCACAGAGUUCGUUUCCGACUUAUUCUUCACAUUGGAAUCUCUAAUCAGGUUAGCACCAGGAGGAAGACAAAUAACGUACUCUUCAUGCCUCAAUUUGAUAGGCAGUGGUGGUACAGAAAAAUUCGAUUUGAAUAUAUUUGACAGGGUAAUUGCUUCGUCCUCUAACAAAUUUCCAUGGCAAAGGCCCCCAAUGUAUAGCUGCACAUAUUAAAGGGAGGGUAAGCUUAAGCAAAUGCCUUAAUGAAACUAAUUCUAAGAGCAUUGACACAAAAAAAAAACAAAUGAAUAAUUCUAAAAUCAAAUACAAAAAAUUAUUUUUAAAUAAAAGUCAAAAUUAAGUAUUGGAAACUGUCCGAUUCUCUUACUAGAACAUACUACUCAGCACUUAUCAAGUUACAUGUCAAAGUGAAAGAAUAUGAGGUCAAGAAGCCUGAACCGCAUGGAUUUCUCUUGAAAAUAUACCCGGCUGGAGGAUGAUGUUAAGAACUUGAGUUUUACAAAUUGAUAGUAGUAACCUAUAACAAAUAUAGGUACAUUUGUGUAGUGUAUCUGGGAACAAAGCUCGGGAAUGAAUGACUUCAAAUCAGAAAUAGACAAUUCAUCCAAAACAUGCAACUUCUCAUCUGCAUCAUAAAAAAUUUGACACAGAACUUGCAGUCUUAAGUAUGAUGAGUGACUCAGAGGCUUCAUAUUAGUGUUCUUUAACCUUCGCUUCAUAUCUUCUUUAACGACCUGUUAAAGUGUCAAUUAGCAAUGGACAAGCCAAAAGAAACAAACAAGGUAUGCAAAAUCAAAUUUAAACCAGACAUAGAGUGGAGUGAUGGAAACAAAAGGCAACACAUGUACCUUAAAACAAUCAUCUGUUGGCAUGAAACUUUUGGUAGUUGCCAACACUUUUGACAACACUUUUCACAAUAACAAAUAAGUAAAAUAGAGAAAACUUUACCUCCAUCAAGCAGAAUUUAGCAUCUUCCAUCUUCACCAUAGCAAGUGGACUCAUCUAAACCCUAGCUGAACCAAACCAAAAUCAAGAUUUCCAAAGUUAAUUCCAACCGUUAAUUUCUAUAAAAUCAUACGUCAAAAGGUUAAAAAAAAACAAAAUUGAAGGGUUUUACAUGGGUUUGCGAAUGCAAGAAUUUGAAUUUCCAAAAACCCACUACUGUAAAAACCCCCAAAAUCCCGAGUUUUAUACCCGAAAAAGAAAGAAAAUUUUCAAAACAUCAAACCCUAAAAAACAAAACCCACAAAUAUGCCCUCCCUAAGGAACCAUCCGAGAUUCAAAUCAGAGAAAUCACACAGAAGGGAUUGGAGAUUAUCACAUCAACUUGGAAGAGGUAACCUUCGAGCGAGAAAAUCGUGAUCUAACGAUCGUAUCCACCUCAUCUUCCUCGGCUCAUGAUUUGAAUGCUUCGAUUUCUUAGCCUCUUCUCCUUUUCUGGUUUUUAGGGUUCCUCUGAAGUGGCGUAUCAGACCUCUGAGCUUCUUCUUCUAUCAUCGUGAUUCUGCAAGCCGUAAGCUCUCUCUCUCUCUUCCUCACUGCAAGUCGAAGGCUCUCUCUCGUAACCCAUCCCCUCACCAAAUCCCACAUAGCCGUUGAUACCACCGACUGCAAAAAAGAGAGGGAAAUAGAAAAAUUUGGGCAAAAUGAUACAGAGAGAGAGAGCUUGGGGUAGAAGAGAGGCUUGGUUCGAUUGGGAAAGGGAAAUCGAGAGAGAGAGGAGAGGCGGAGGAACUGAGGAGAGGGUGGGUUUGGAUGGGGAAACAUAGAGAGGCACAAGGAAGGAAAGUGAGGAAUGUGUGAGGGGUGAAGAUUGAGGAAAAUGUUUUUUAUUUUGUUUAAAACAUUAUUUUGAACAAAGGACACAAAAAAUCUAUUUUAGGUCUCGUUUGGUAGCUUGGAUUGUAUUGACUAUUUAUAUCGGAUAUGAUAAAUAGUUACUGGAUAGUACUGACUAAAUUAGUCAGGUGUUUGAUGCAGUAUCAGACUAAUGAUCGUAUUAUUUAUACUGUGUUUGGUACUGAACCGGAUAAGAAAAAUAAUCUUUUUUAUGUUUGAUGAACUUUUCUCUCUCCCCUCCCCAGAUUUCCGAUUCUCCUCCCCCCCACUCCCUCCUCCUCCAUCACUCCGUCCCCAGAUUUCUGGGUUCUAUGGGUGUUUGAUUCAGACAAGAAGGGGUUCGGAGGUCCAAAAACAGCUUUGUUUCGAGGAUAGAGGUUGGCAGACAGUUGAAACUCUAGAAAAUGGUGGAGAAUGAUCCUUCAGGCAAAAACGGGAUGUGAUGAAUGGUCAUAAUUCGCAAAUGAAAAUGCGAGAGAUGGGUGUCCGCCCCAAAGCCUGUUACAACAAUUGGGCACUCUCCUCCUAUACCAUCUAAUCCCCAUUCUACUUAAAAAAUAAAAAAAAUAAUAAAAAAUAAAAAAAACGAGGCAGAAAGUUGCAGAAAGUUGAAUUUGAUUUUCACCCCGUAAAUUACUCACAAGCUUUGAAGCUCUAGAAAAUGGCAGAAAGUUGUAGAAUUUAAAGCUCUGUUGUGUUAGAUAAUGGCGGAUGCAAAAAACCCAGAAAUUAGAAAUUACAGCAAAAUUCCAUAAAACAGAGGGGCGAAACCUGGGAAGAAGAAAAAGAUGAAUGAUAAUAUGAACUUGGAUUCAGACGAAGAAGAAGAUGAAUGAUGGUGGGGCAGAACCUGGGAGGAUAAGGAGAGAGCUAGCCCGACUAAAUUGUCCGGUGGUUUUAGACGGGAUAAAUAGCCGGAUGUGAGGGGUAUAAGAUAAGUGGGUCCAGAUUAAAUAUUUCGGUGCUUAUUUUAUACAAAGCUCACCAAACAUCUGCUUCGUAUUAUUAAUACUAUCUGGUGGUACUAUCCGGUGUGCUAAACAAGAUCUUACUUUAAAUAUAUUAAAUUACAGGGCACGAUAAUAUUUAUGGUGUCAUUGCAAAUUAAUAAAAAAUUUCCAUUGCUGAUAGUAAAGGCACAAAAGUCAUAGUUAUGUGCCCAAUAAUGUGUUUGUGUCUAUUUUUCUUCACAUUGGUGCCCAUUACGAAAUGAACAUUGUUCCACCCUAUUGAUGUUUAAACAAACACAAACACCUCAUUUGUGUCCCUAAUUUAAUGCCCAAAGACCAUUUUUCUUGUAGUGAUAAUUCAGUAUUUUAUUUUAUCCUUGAACAUGACAGUAAGAUGUGGUCCUUCAUCCAUAUCAACAUUAAUAAACUCAGAUCUAUACAAUUUUAUCUAAGAUUUAUGCAUGUUAUGCAAGAAUCAUGCUGGCAAGAGAUACACCAAGGUAUUCUACAUAAUAAUGGUUUUUUUUUUUUAAUACGAUCUGUAUGUAUGGUUACAAAAUGUCAACAUGCAUUAUUGUAAAAUGAAUAAUACUUGGAAGUGGAGGAAUAUUAAUCAGUUAAUAUACUAUUAAUCAAUUGUGGGAUAAAAAUUUAUUCACCACAUAUACUAAUGUAUGUGACAUGAUUUGGCACCUAGCUAGCUAAACUAAUACCCUGUGACAGUGACAAUGUAUAUGAAUCUCCUUCUUCUUUAAUAUAAGCAAAACGGAUCGGGAUAAACAUUCCAAAGUUUUAAGUAGCCACUUCUUCCAUGUUUUACAUUUCAAUUCCUCUUAAUAGAACUGAUCAUAGUUAAGUUGACCACAAUAGUAUACUUUUCUUUUAUAUCUAAUUCGAAUUCUCUUGCACAUAGUUAAAUUUAAAUAAUGUUUAUAUAUAUAUAUAUAUAUAUAUAUAUAUAUAUAUAUAUAUAUAUAUAUAUAUAUAUAUAUAUAUAUAUAUAUAUAUAUAAUCUCAAUUCCUCAUGUAACAAGAUACCACAUCACAUAAUUUAAUAGAGGCAUGUAAGAACAUCUCCAAGAGAGUCUAUAAAAUUAAAUUUGAAGUGCCAUGUAGGAUUUUUAGUAGUCCAACAAAGUUGUUAGAUAAGUCUUCAAAUUUUAAAAAUGCCUAUACUCUCUAGACUCUAGAUUUAUAGACUAUAUAUCACACACUUCAAACAUUCUUUUUAGGAUAAAUUAUAUUCUGUCACCUCAACUUUGGCCACAUAACAAACUCUUACCACAUCUUUUGAAAUUGCAUGUCAUACAUCGCCUUACAAAUUCAUUACAAUGUCAAACCUCUGUUAAAAAUUUGUUAAGUAGUCAUUAAAUAAUGAUACGGCAACAAUGGAUUCUAUAUUUGUGCUAACAUAUCAAAUGACUUGUGCAACAUGGCCAAACAACUAAUAAAAGUUUAUCUAAUUAUUAAAGAUUAUUCAAUUCAUUUAAUAUUUUAUUAAAAAAUAAAAAUAUUAAAAUAAAUAAAAAUAAAAUAAAAACCCACAUCCCUUUCCUUUUUUUUUUUUGGUAGAAACUGAAAAUGCAUUCCAAAACACAGCAACGGCCGAAGUACAUUAAGAAAGCCAGACAAGGCUAAUAGGAUUAACAAAACAAAAAGGAGCAUCGAAUACAAGUAGACACCAAUACUACAAACCAAGCGUCAUUCCCCACUCCAAUAAACUACUUAAGAAAGUGGACAUGGCAAUCCAUCCUUGUUUAAGAUUCUAACCAACGAAGAUGGUGGUUUGUUAAUCCUACAUUACUCGCUCAUCUCCGUACCCACAUUGGUUGCAACGAAAUUUGUCGCUUCAUUCGCUGAUCUUGCCAUCCAAGACCAUUUACAAAUCUGGAAAGAUUUCCCAACAUUUACAAUAUGAUUGACAAUGGGAAAAAUUUCCCAGCUACAAUUUCCUUUUCCUUCAUUAAGAGUCGAAAUUACCUGCUUUGAGUCAAACUCCACAAUUAAGCAGGGAUAAUUCCUUUGCUUUGCACUUAGACAACCUUGAAGCACCGCCUUAGCCUCCGCAAUCAAAGCAUUCGAAGCACGGACUUUCUUCCUUUCCAUGCUCUUGCAUCUUCCUUGUGAGUCUCUAAUCACAAUGCCCACAUAUCCUUCGGUACUCCUGAGUUUCCAACUUGCAUCAACAUUCACUUUUAUUAUUUGUGAAGGGGGAGGAGACCAGGGUAUCCUUCUCCUCUGAUUUUCCAUACCUGGGGAUUGCUGGACACUUAUCAAUUCCUUCGCCGUUUGGAAAGUCGUACUGGUACAAGUGAUAGCAUGAAUGGUUUGAGAAGGAGAUGGAUUUUGAUGAUUAAAAACAGCUUUACACCGAGUUUUCCAUAUAUGCCAACACGUGAAAGCCAUUAAUGUUAUAAAUCUCUUCCUAUCCUCUUUUGUUGCAUAGUUCACUUUCAGCUUUUCCAUCAACUAAGCAUUGAUAUUUGUCACUGAACAUCUAUCAAUCUUGUAGCCAAGCAGACCUCUAAACCAAACUAGCUCCACCCAUGGGCCCAUGGGCACGUAAGGAGCAUGUGAUCCACAGUCCCCUCAUAUUCAUUACAAAUUGGGCAUAUUGGUGAUGAAACACACUUCUUCUUGAAUAAAUUUGCAUGCGUUGCAAUCACCCCUUUCGGUACUCUCCAAAUAAUAUUCCUAAUUUUUUACGGGGCCUCAAGACUCCAAAUCCCCUUCCACACUAACGGAUCCGUGAUGCACGAAGAAGACGACCACUGAUUCUGGCUCCUCCUUUUCUUGCUUCAAAUCCAUCUAUAUCCUGACUUCACAGAGAAAUUUCCUUUCUUUUCCAUUGGCCAUAUCAGUUUGUCAUUAGAUUCAAAAUCUCCUACAUUUGUUGCUUCAAUUGCCAAACACUCCUCCUUCGAAAUUAAAUUCCGAAUAAAGUUUAAGCACCAAAUUCUAGUGUCCUCCUGAAUAAUUGAUGCCACAUUCUGGUUUUUAUCAACACACACUCCAUCUAUAGGAUUCGGAUGUCCAUUUGUAAUCUCGGGCAACCAUUUAUCAACCGACAGCUUGGUUUGAUGUCUGCUCAUGACCUGCCAAUGGGCACCCUCCAUAAGUAUCUCCCUACCUUCCAAUAAGCUUGACCAAAUCCAAGAUACUUGCCCAUCAUUUUUUGCCUCCAAAAACGAAGCAUGAGAAAAAUAUCUCUCCUUCAGCACUUUAGCCCAGAGAGUAUCAGGUUCAUGAAUAAGUCUCCAACACUGCUUUGCUAGUAGGGCAAGAUUGAAAUCCUUCAUAUUUCUAAAACCCAUUCCCCCCUCACCUUUAGCAUAUCCCAUCUUCCCAACAAAUCCAAUGUAUUCUUCUUUCCUUCUCCUUCUGGCCCACCAAAAUUUUGCAAGCACUGCAUCAAUUUCUUUGCAUAACUUAUCGGGAAAUUUAAAGACAAACAUAAGAUAAGUCAAGAUUGCUUGUGCACAUCCAAUUCCUUUGCCCUCACCUCUCUCUCCCUUUCUUUUUGAGCCCUACCCAUUUAUCUCUUUCUCUAACCACCUACAUAUCCAUAUUGGAGGCUAGUGGAAGGUGGGGUUUUAGAUAGGAUGAGAUUUGAAUGGCUGGUGGGAGCCGUGGUAGUCCUCGAGGGAAUCAAGAGGGUGGUGUCGACAAGCUCGUGGUCAAGUCAGUCACCAAGAGGCUGGUGUCGACGAGCUCGUGGUCAAGUCGGUCGCCAAGGGUUUUGAGGAUGGGACAGAUUUAGGAAACGUCGAAAACGGCGCGUUGAAUGGCAGUGAGGAUUUUGGGGUUGGAGAGGUGGGGCAUCUAGUUAAGGAUGGGGGGCUGGUCAGAAGGAUGGGCGUCGAUGUGGAUUUUGCAAAGGUCGGGAGGGAAAAAAGAAAUAAAAAAGAGAAAGGAAAAAAAAAGUGUAAAAGGGUAAAAGGAAGGGAAGAAAAAGGAAAAAAUUGACUUGAAUGACAGUUAAUGUAUCAAACGAAUUUUUAAGUUAAGGUAUGACAUUACAAUAUUUAAAGAUUAGAUAUGAAAUUAUGGUGCAAACAUAAAUUGAGGUGGUUUAGGGUAAUUUACCCUUUCCUUUUAUUAUGGUAGUGUGUCAUUGUUAACUUUUUCUUAAAAAUGAAAUACUAAAAAAAAAAGCACAUGAUUAACAGUAAUAGAAGAAUACUAAGACUUGUGAGUCUGUUGUAUUGAAGUUUUCAAAAUGCCAAGUUGAUCAAUAAAUUUGUAUUUAAAAAAUCACAUUAAAGAAAAACUGUUGGGGAUGCUCUAGUAAACUAAUAACAUAUUGACAUCUAAAAUAUCAUAUUUGUUUCAUCAUCAAUAACGUUAGCAAAAGUGUAGAAUAUACUUUCACACAGCUGUGUCUCAAAUAUUUUAUUACAUAGAAAAUAAACAAAAACUGGGGAAAGAAAGAAAUCGAUUGCAUGAUAUCAGCACACAAUAUUUGUAUUUUGUUUUUUCGAAGGGCCUUUUGGCCAACUUAACAAUUUACAACGCGAAAUGAACCACGUAUCGAUCACGUUAGCCUUCUUAAAACAGUGAUUUAAUUUCAAACUGGGAACUAUUAGAGUUUAAGUGUUUGCAAAGUUUGCUUACUGUUCGUGCACAUUUUCUUGUAACAGAGAAGAGAGAAAUCUCUUGAGUUCCCCGUUGUAAACAAAUGGUCCUUCCACUUGAACAAGAUGGCCGGUCUUCUCAAUGGACUUUAGAGUUGCGUUGUCUCCUAGUUGGCUGUAAUAUAAUCAGAAGACCCCAAAAUAAAUGGAUUAUCAGAAAGAUUUUUAUGACUAUAACAAAUUAAGUGUUGCUAGAGAGGCUACAUGAAGUCUUGAACAUAUUUUUUAGGCCAAACGAUGUAGCAGUUGAUUGUUGGAUUUCAUUUUAUAAGCACUAUAGAAGGAAUCCAAUCAUCAACAGCGUCACAUCAUAUCGUAUAUAAAGUAUCGUCUAAAAACAUGGUCCAUUGGCAUUCUCUGUGAUUUGAUCCAUUUUAGGUUUUAUAUCAAAGUGAAAGUUCUUGAAUGAGUAAAAUAAUGCAUUGUCUAAGACAAGUUGGGCAUACUUCUUGAGAUUUUUGGCAGUUUCCAUGUCGAAAAUCUUGUCAUUCUCUCCCCACAACAGAUGCACCCGCUGCAAGAAAACGAGUCAUUUGUAUCAAAGGAAAGUUUUGGAGAAAAAAAAAUUAGAUAGAUCACUUUCUUUGAUUGCUUUACGAUCCGUUUAAUAGCCAUUUCAGUUUUCAGCUUUCACAAAAAUAGUUUUCAGUGUUGGGUUUUCAAUACUAAACAAGUUUUCAGUUUAAAUAUAAAAACUAAACAAAAAAAGAAAUGGUUAUCAAACAACUCUUAACAUUAUCAGAUUGUUUGUAAUCUAUUCUAUUAAGAGAAGAGGGCUUGUCAACUUUUUGCCCCAUUUUCUUCCAAUUUUACCCUCACUUUUGAAUACACAAUAUUGACAUGAGGAGGGAAAAAUAGUAAUUUUGUAUCUUUUGACAAAAUGAUAAUCAUAUCCCUAUUUUUACUAUUUUACCUUUUUUUUUUUUUUUUAUGGAAAACUGACAAUUACUUAUUUUUCCAUUGAUACACAAUAUUUGCAUAAGGAAGACAAAACAGUAAUUAUGUAAUAUUAAAAAAAAAUAUGCACUUAUUAAGAGAAAUUGUUCACAGACAAAUAAUAGUAUAGAAAAAAAAUAUGCACUUAUUAAGAGAAAUAAUUUACACACUUUGUGUGUGUGCUAUGUGCUAGUGUAUAUGAAGAAAACCUGUGGGUAAUGAGCAGCUGUAAAGUCCUUGUCAUCCACAACCAAUGCCGCCAAAAGUUCCUCCAUCUCUUCUCUAUGUUCAAACAUAACCUGCAGCCACAAUGCCCAUAUAUGCAUUGACUCAAAUGUUUAAGAGUCAAAAGAAGCAUGAACCUAGUACUAAUCCAGAUCAACAUGCGUGGGUUACUUAGUUAGCAUAAUUAACUAUCUAAUUACUCCAAAUAACAUACCUCCAAAUAGUGUUUGCAAAUCCAAUCGGGGAGAUGUGGAAAUUUAUAGGUAGCAAUUUCAAAUAUGUUUCUCACACCCUUAACUGAGUCGGGAAGCAAGUAAUCUGACCAGCAUUUGAACCCCAGUCUCUCAAGAGAUGCAUUGGUGAUUGAUCUGGUCAAAGCCAUAACGGAGCAAGUCACCACCAUAGACUCAACCAAAUUAGGGUACAACUCAGCCAUCUUAAACCCAACCAUGCCUCCAUAGCUCAACCCCACCAAGGUGCACCUCUCCACCCCAAGCAUCCUCAAACCCUUUGCCACACACUCCGCUUGAAACUCCGGUGACCUAUCCGGUUUAUCCGUGGUGGAGCCGCCAAAGAAGAGAAGGUCCGGAACGUAAACUGCGUAGUCUUUGGCAAGAGAUAGCACUUGAAAUUGCCAUGUUGUGAUGCCAUCCAUUGCAAACCCAUGGAUGAAUACCACGGCUGGCUUGAAUUUUUGGUUUUCUGUAAUUUUGUUGGGGACCCAGAAGUUCAUGACAGUUCCUGGCUCGAUUUCCACAGUUUGGGAUCUCAUCCCUACUAGCUUCAUAACCCCGCGCAGAAUAAACUUGCAGACUGCAAAAAUGUUCCCCAUCUCUCUCCCACUCUCUCCCCUUAACACCACACCUUUUUUUUAAUGUGUUAUCCACACACUCCAUUUUACUUCUCACACACCCCUUGAUAAUUUUUGUCCGUUGAUCUUCUUCAAUUCAUCCGAUCCGACGGCCGAAAAUUAAAAAUGUGUAUGAGAAGUAAAAUGGGGUGUGUGGAUAUCAGACCCCUUUUUUUUUCUCCAUGUUGAGUUGAUGAUAAAACUUUUCAAACUUACCGGUACUCAAACCUUUAGUGAACAGGUUCGCAACUUGAUCAUCUAUCUUAAUUAAUUAGCAGCAUCUCAAUUUCUUCUUCUUGUAGAACCUUCUCUCUGAUAAAAUGGCAGUGUAUCUCCACAUGCUUACGGAACCAUCUUGAUGGUAAGGGUCAUUUUAGGGACCAUUUAUGAGGAAAAACCCUUAUCAAAAUAAAUGGCUUUUAAUAAUUGACAAAAAAAAGGGCUUUUAAAUAUUGAUGCAAAUAAUAACAACCUAUUUAUAUACACAUAGUUGAAUAAUUGGGUCAUUUUAGGGACCAUUUAUGAGGAAAAACCCUUAUCAAAAUAAAUGGCUUUUAAUAAUUGACAAAAAAAGGGCUUUUAAAUAUUGAUGCAAAUAAUAACAACCUAUUUAUAUACACAUAGUUAAUCAACAUCAACACAGAGAUCACAAGAUGUCUUAUAUCACAGGGAGUGUUGAAGCACAUCAUUGUAAUUCGAAAGUUUCCACGAACCCAGUUGAAUGCCAUAACAAAGUACCACAUAACUUGCCCAAUAAAUAAAUACAACAACAACAAAGCAUUUUCCCACUAAGUGGGGUUGGCUAUAUGAAUCCUAGAACGUCAUUGUGUUCAGUUAUGUGUCACGUCUUCCAUUAGAUCCAAGUACUCUUAAGUCUUUUCUUAUAGUCUCUUCUAAAGUCUUCCUAGGUCUUCAUCUACCCCUUUGGCCCUAAACCUCUGUCUCGUAAUCCCAUCUUCUAACUGGAACGUCAGUAGGCCUUCGUUUCACAUGUCCAAACCACCGUAACUGAUUUUCUCUCAUAUUUUCUUCAAUUUCGGCUACUCCUACUUUACCUCGGAUAUCCUCAUUCAUAAUCUUAUCAUUUCUCGUGUGCCCACACAUCCAACGAAACAUUCUCAUCUCCACUACACCUAUUUUAUGUACGUGUUGAUGUUUUCACAUCCCAACAUUCCAUGCCUUAAAGCAUUGCUAGCCUUAUUGUUGUCCUAUAAAAUUUUCCCCAAUAAAUAAAUAAUUAAAAAAAAUGAUAAAAAGGGGCAAAAAAAUAACAAGAUAGAUUGACCAGCAAAUCUAUCAAUGUUUCCUUCCUAUAAGCUCAGUCCCUGAUCAAAUUGUGAUUGAGCUCUAUAAACCAUCAAACCACAACAAAGGUUUAGUUUCAUGAAUCACAACUAGACAAAACACAAAACCUUAAUCCAUUAAUCAAAUAUUGCAAACUAACCGGAAGAAUUCCCAUUUGAUGAAGUCAUGAAGCUAUGAAAGUGAAUAAUUGCUAGCCGAGCCUUCUUCUCUCUGUCAGUACACUUUAUGCUCAAACUAAUAAUAUGACUUAUUUCCGUAAAAGAGUGUAGUACUGUGAGAAUAGAGGUUCCAAUAUAUAUAGGCAUAUACAAUCAUUGUCAUAUCCCAAUAUGGACUCCCUGUUACAAUCCAUAUAAAAAACUGUAUGUGUUUUCUCACCUUUCUCAAUUCAAUACUAUAGUAAAAUCCUUCAUAAACAAGAGUUUGCAUUCAUCUUCUAAUAAGGCAUUCUUUAGACUAAUUGGACUUAAACAUCAAAUGUCAAAACAUCUAAUCUCAUGCUCAUGCUCAUACUCUUACAUUAUCCCACUUGAGCAUGAGAUCAAUUUUAGACACAACCUAACCAAUUACAAAGAAGUGAUCACACAGCCUUAUUCAAGAAUUUACCAUCAUGACUAAUGCUCCAUUGCAUCUCAAAAUAUAGAAACUAAGAACCUUCAACUACAAACCAAAUACAGUAUUAAUUCAAAGUCCACACAUAUUCAAUCUGCAAAUUUAACUCAUGAUCAAACCGAUAUAUAAAGAGUCAUUCAACAAUUUGCUCCCACUUUUCAAAAGAUCAAUGUGUAUUAAUCACAAUUGAAAGCAGCAUGUCUAACAAUUAAACAAAAAACAAUUCAUAACCAAUAGCUCAAACAAUAACUUCAUUAGGAAUAAACUAAUUGCAUCAGACCUUUUCAAUAUUGCAGCAGCAAACGAAUUACUCUCACUGAUCAAAACCUUCUAGCACUCUCAUCAGAGAAACAUGUGACUUGAACUCUCCAAUUAUUGGCCAAAAUGGAGAAAGGAAAUUCCAUUACAAUUUUGUAAGAAUGUGGAAAAAUGGACCUAUUUAUAUGUCUAUAAUACAAAUAGCCAAAUGAUGUUGAACCAAGGAGGCUACAUAUGGGCAUUUGUAAUACAGUGAAAUACACUCACAUGAUAUAACAUAAGGUUACUAAUUGAAACCUGAAAUUAUACUCCUAUAAACGAGUUCAUAUAAAUGGAGAAUUAUAUAUGAAGGGUUGUGAGUCACCCAAAUUAUGUCUCCAUAAGUAAAUCCCUCAAGUAUACAUGGGAGCAAAUUGCUCUGUAUAAGUUCUAAAAGGGUAAUGUGUCAUGAAGUGUAGAAAAUCCAUGAAUGAUUCAAAUUGUUUGAAGUAAGCGGUAAAGCAUAAAUUAUAUACUCAAUACGAGUGGAUGGUAUAAAUUUCCUUAGUGAGUACUAUCAUUAUGAUAUUGUUGCAACAUACUAAAAUCUCUUGCAAGAGUUGAUGAUAUUAGAUUUGAACUCCUGAAUAGUCUAGAAAGAUUAUAAAGUGUUGAAAUGAAUAUUAUCUCGAGCUGCAGAUCGAACAGUAUGCCAACAUGAAUCUUAUCCAUGAUGUUUAUGAUAUUAAAGAACCAUAUGGGUUGAAGAUUAUGAGUUAAAUACUCAAAUAAUUAACCAAUGUUUAGACACUAAGAAUGAUCAUUUAUCUUCAUGAGGGAAAAGAUAAAUUGAUAUUUGGUCCAGAAGGACCACAUCUUAGUGAAGUAUAUGCUUUAUUAUAUUUAGCACAACAUUAUUCUUCCACAUCUUAGUGAAGUAUAUACUUUAUUGUAUUUAGCACAACACUAUUCUUAUCCAUUAAAAGGUUCAUUGAUUUAUAUUCUUGGAACUAGAAUAUUUCAUCGUUUGCUCAUUUAUUUAUUGAUUAUGGAACCAGAAGUUUUCAUGGGUUUCUAUAUCUAACAAGUUGGAAUAAAAAAUUUCAGAGACACAAGGAUUAUACAUUACUUGGCAGAACCCCAAAAGGAGGUGGCACUAGAGACAGAUCAUGUGAAGCCUCAAGUACUUGGCAGAACACUAGAAGGGGGAGGCACUAGAGAUUGAUCAUGUAAAGCUUCAGUACUUGGCGGAACUCCAAAAAGAAGAGGCACCGAAGAUUGAUUAUUUGGAGCCUCAAUACUUGGUAAAACUUGAUUAUUUGGAGCCUCAAUACUUGGUAAAACUCCAGACGACGAUUGCAAUUGGUGCCUUUGGAAUAAAGCCACAAACCUCUGAUGGUCACUUUGAAUCCGACUUUCAGAUUCCUGCAACUAGUCAAGCUUUCUUUUCAUGCUCAUUGAGUAAUUAUUUGCAAGCAUGUGCAACCCUCUAUUUAUGUACUUGAGCAAUCUGAUCUCUCAUCUAAGAUUUGCCACCUCAGUCAUUAAUGAUUCAACUUAGUGAGUUCGAGUAAGUAGGCGUUGGCCCAUAUUUGAUACAGAGCUCACACACUGAACACUGAAAACCAGAGAGUCUUGAACAACUAAUUUGUCGAACUGUUUUGAAAGUAUCUUUUUAUACUUGGGAGUGAGAAGAUUCCAAGCUAUCAUUGUAACAAUUAUGUUAUUCUUUAUCACAGAGUCCCCAACCGUAAGAUGACCAUUAGUGGAUAAGAAGGAUGGAUGACAUAGAUUGUCUUGAGGAGACAUGUUUGCAUAUUCCACAACAUUCAAAUUGAAACGACAGUCAGAUAGGCAAGCCAUUUUCAGAAAUGAUGAAGGAAAAAAAGGUUAGAUAAAUUGAAAUCUCAUAAAUGCAAAACGAGGAAAUUUAUACAAGCAGCAACUUUCUGAGCUUGCUUUUAAACACAAUUGAUGCCUCUAUAAAAGAAGAGGCUGAUAUGAGCAUAUUUAUGCGAGUUAGUUAGCUUGUUUCUUCGUUUUUACUUAGUUAUUUUCUGCUUAUUAGAGUGUUUUAAGUUAUUUUCGUGUGUUUGUAGGUCCAAUUGGCAAAGUUGGUAAGAAAGUGCAUUUUGGAGAAUUUUAGAGCAAUUUUAGGUUAGAAUGGAUUGCAUGCAUGUGGAGCAUAAGGAAUGGACGUUUUUUAAGAUCAAAUGAAGCUAGGAAUGUGCUAAAGAGAUGGAGAAAUUAAUUCAAGUUUUUGAAGAUGAGUAAUCAGCUAAAAGGAAGAAGCAUUAUCCAAAACCUUUUCAGAUUUCUAGAAGCCCUUUCUAGAAGCAACCCUUCUAGAAAGCUUAUCCUUGCCCUAAACUUAUGCCGCACCAUCCUUUCUAGAAUCCCUAGAAAGGUGGCGCCUCUUCCCUUUUCUAGAAGCUUAGGAACCUGCCAUAACACAUUCCUUCUAGAAGCCCUAAAUAAGUGUCGCACCCUUCUUCUUCUAAAAGUCCAAAAAUCUGCCAAAACCCUAAUCCUUUUCCCUCCUGGAUUGGGACGUGCCUUGACCUUGUUCUCCAAGGAAUUGGUGCCGAAAACCCUAGCCUAUAAAUACAUAAUUCUGACCCUAUUUUCGCACCACGCACAUAAGAGCCUAGAAUCAGAAUUCCACACCUUGUGCCGCAGCCUUGAAGGAGAGAAGACUUUGCCGUGGCUUCCAUUGGAGAAGAUGAGGGUUGUGCCGCAAGCCACCUGCAACUAUUGGAACUAAUUAUUAUGAACAUAAGGAACUAAUUCCUUUUUAGGUAGAGGUGAAUUUGAAGCCAUGGACAUAUGUUUUAUAUAAAUUGAUUACAUCCAGUUAUUGUUUCGUAAAACAUGAAUGUAAUUUACAUAUUUGCGUUAUUGAGAACUUAUUCUUGUGUGUUUAUUAAGGAUGCAUACUUAGUUUGCAUGCAGGGAUUGAAUGCUGAAAUAUAAGGGAAUUUCACCUAAUCGUUAUGAACUUAUAUUUAUAAGUAGUAGAGAUUGCUAGUCACAAUCGUGUUAAGUAAAUUCUUGGCAGGAGUAUCAUGCAUUUCAUAGUUACGAAUGUUUUGUCAGUGCUUAUGAUUUUCAUAGAACUUAAUGAUCUUUGAUAUGUAUCUCUAUCAUGUUGUUCAUAUAGGGAACUUGAGAAGAAUAAUUUGGUUGCGAUGCGUUGUCCAUUCAAUUUAAUGAACUUAGGAAAAUCUGAAAGUUAAUUCGUGCAUUCACAAUUAAUUUGGGGCAUUGUCAUUCAUGGUUUAAAGAAACAAUACUAGAAAUCAAUUUGUAUGCAUAUGUUUCAUGUGUGGAGAAUAACCCUUUGGCUAGUUUUUCACCAUUCAAAUCGCCUAAUUUUGUACCUAAUUUACUUUGUUUUGCAAUCUGUUUAGUUUAAUUAAUUUCAUCCAAAUCAAUCCCCUAAGUGUGUUAGAUUAUUAGAAAAGUGUCCAAAUCUGUCCAAUUUAGUGUUUUGAGUCUUACUAGUUUUAAUUUCAUCCAAAUAACUCCCUAGAGUCUGUUUUGAGUCAAUUUCACUUAGUUGUGCUGUUUUAUGUCAAUUUGUUUAGUUUUGAGUCAUAAGAGUCUAGUUUUGUGUUAUUGAGUCUUGUUUAGUGUUUUAGAGUUUAAUUUGUGUAGAUUAACAACCCUUCUAAUCCCCAGCCUAAAACGAUCCCUACUUUCAUAUACUACAAUCAUAGGGUUUUAAUUUGAGUGUUAGAAUAUUUCACAUCAAAUUUUGGCGCCGUUGCCUGGGAUUAGCAAAAUUGCUAAUCUUCCCCUUUGUGCCGUGAGUUUCAUUCUAGUUUUGUUUCUAUUUGGUUUUGUUUUCUGAUUUUGUUUUGUCUUGUUUUCUUUGUUUUAGGUACUAGUUUAUGACUCAUAGUUCUCAAGCUGUCCGUGAGCAUAUAUUGGAGUUUGACGAUAAUUUUGAACGAACAUUGAGAAGGAAAAGAAGGCGACCAGAACCAUGUCUACCUAGUUCUAGUUCUGAAUUUGAAUUUGAAGAGAUAGAGGAAGAGGAACAAGUCAUGGCUAUGGAUAAUCGAACAAUCAAGGAACUUUCAGCCUUGGGAUUGGACAAUGUUGUGCCUCUUUGCAUUCAAUACCCUACAGCAACCCAAGGCAAAACCGAUGAGUUCGAGUUGAAGUCAAGCUUGUUGCAUCAUAUUCCCAAAUACCAUGGGUUGUCCAUGGAAGAUACAAACAAGCAUUUGAAGGAAUUUGAAAUAGUAUGCUCAAGUAUGACACCUAUCAAUGUGGAUGGGAAUAUUCUGAAGAUGAAAGCCUAGCUCAAUGAGGCAGUUUCAAGAAGAAGGUAAACUACCUAGCUCAACCAUUGUCAAUCCAAAAGGAGGUUUUGAAACUGCCAAGGCUAUCACUUUGAGAAGUGGUAAAGAGAUUGGAACCAAGGUAAACACGUCCAUAUCAAGUCAAAAAGAGGACAAAAAGCUGCUGCUCGAGGAAGAUGAAGUGGACAAAGUUGCGGCAAGGGUGGAACAAACCUUACCGCAUCCUUCCAAGGCCCCUAAACCGUCACUUUCAGGUAAGGUUGUUCCAAAUUCGACCCAUUAUAACCUAAUUCCACCAAAUGUGCCUUUCCCUCGCAGGUUUAUGUAAUCUAAGAAGGAAGAGAAUGAAAAAGACAUCUUAGAGACUUUCAGGAAGGUACAAGUCAAUAUCCCACUCCUUGAUGCAAUAAAGCAAGUUCCAAGGUAUGCUAAGUUUUUAAAAGAGCUUUGUACAACAAGGAGGAGGAUUUCGAAAAAAGAAGUGGUUCAGGUAAGUGAAAAUGUAGUUGCUGUUUUGCAAAGAAAACUACCACCUAAAUGCAAAGAUCCAGGUAGUUUUACAAUCCCUUGUGUUAUUGGAAAUACCAAGUUUGAACAUGCCAUGUUGGAUUUAGGUGCUUCCAUUAAUGUCAUGCCAUACUCUAUUUAUGCAUCUAUGAACUUAGGAGAGCUUAAAAACGAUGGUGUUAUAAUUCAAUUAGCCGAUCGUUCUAAUGCAUAUCCAAAAGGAGUUUUGGAAGAUGUUUUGGUGCAGGUUUGAUGUGAGAAUUAACUUGACACACAAAUUAAAGCCUAUUGUUGACAAUUGUAGUAAAGAUGUAAGAAGGGAUCGUUCUAGACCGGGGAUUAACUAGGGAUGCUAAUCAACACAAAUAAGACUCAAAAACACUAAACUAGACUCUAUAAACUUAAAACUGACUCAAAACACUCAAAACAGCAACAAACAAUAAAAAAAGACUCAAUUCUAGACCUAACAAGUGACUUUGAUGAAAAUAAGACUUAACUUGACUAAAAAGACUAAAAAAAACAAAUUAUGACUCAACUAACAACACUUAAUGAAAGGGGGAUUGUUUUUGACGAAUUUAAAACUUAAAACAUAAACUUUGCAUAAAACACUUUAAUAAAACGAAUUUGGUGAAUUCAAAAGGGUGAAAGGCUAGUUAGAGGGUCCUUCUCCACACAUGACAUAUGCAUACAAACCAAUUUCCAGUUAUUAUUCCUUUAGACUAUGAAUGACAACACCCCAAGUUAACUGUGAUAGCACAAAUUAACCAUCAGAUUUUCCUUAAUUCAUUGAAUUAGAUGGAAUACGCAUUGCAACCAAAUUAUCCUUAUCAAGUUCCCUAACUAUAAAAAGCAUGUUAGAAAGACAUAUCAAAGGCCAUUAAGUUCUUUGAAAACCAUAAGCAUUGACGAGGCAUUCGUAACUAUGACAAGCAUGAUACUCCUGCCAAGGAUUCACUUAACACGAUUGUGACUAGCAAUCUCCACUACUUGUGAAUAUAAGUUCAUAACGAUUAGGUGAAACUCCUUUAUACUCUAGCAUCAAAUUCAUGCAUGCAAAGUAAGUAUGCAUCCUCAAUCAACAUACAUAAACAAGUUUUGAUAACUCAGAUAAGCAAAUCACAUUCAAGACUCAAGAAACAACAACUAGAUGUAAUCAAUUCAUAUAAAACAUAUAAUCAUGGCUUCGAAUUCACCUCUAACUAAAAAGAAAUUAGUUCCACAUGUUCAUGAUAAUUGAAAACAAUAUUAAAACCAACAUUGAAACAAAUCUAAAGGUAGAAAGAACCAUGAAUGUCCCAGCAACUCCAAUGGCAGAUUCGAACCCUCCUUGGAUUGCAAGUCACGGCAAAAAGCUCAUUUUUCCUUCCUUGCUGCGUCACUUGAUGAAUUUAUGGGGAAUUGGAGUGAGUUGUGGUGUAGGAAUAUAUGGGCGGUGGUGUUGAAUUAUGUAGCAAAAUCAUGUAUAUAUAGCUAGGGUUAUGCACAAUUUCUGAAGGGAAAAUGAUUGCACAAUCCUAUAGGAAAAGGUUAGGGUUUGGCAGAAACCAAGGGGAAAAAGGAUUACACAUCAAAAACCAUAAGGAAUAAGGAUAUAGGGUGCGACAUAAACUAUGAAAAAGGGUUCUAGAAAGGCUAAGGUGCGGCACCAAAAUAGGGUUCUAGAAGGAACAUGUUGUGGCAGGUUUCUAGAAAGAACACAAGGUCUUCUAGAAAGAAAUGAAGCGCCACCUUUGUAGGAGAGGAUUAAGACCUCUAGAAAUCAGAUAUUUAGGUCCCCUUCCAGCUGGAUUUAAGGUAAGAUAAGAUUAGGAUAGGAUAAGAUAAGAUAAGGUUAGUUUGGAUAAGAUAAGGUUGGAUAAGGUUUUGGAUAAUGUUUCCUUUUUUUGAGCUGAUUCCUUAUCUUCUUUGUCUUGAAUUUAUUUUCUUUAUCUCCUUAGCAUCUUCCUAGCCUUUUGAUCUUCAAAUUUGUCCAUCCAUCUUGCUCCACUCAUAAGCUAUCCAUUCUUGGCCCAAAACUGCUCUAAAAUGCUCUAAAUUGCACUUUCUUACCAACUUUGUCAUUUGGACUAGGGGUGGGCAAACGGGUCCUGGACCCGCGGGUUGAGGCGGAUCCUUGCGGUUCGGGGCAGGUACAGGGCAGGUCUAAAAAUUAUAAAUAUAAAAUAGGGUGGGCCGGGCUGGUUCCUGGUAAAUAACGGGGUGGGCCAGUUCUAAAAACUAGAGAAAACGAGUCCCCAGCCCGGACCAUUCAUUCCAACUGAUUAAAUCUCUACCGUUCAUUCCUACUGAUUACCCUCUCUCUCUUAUUCUCAGAGUCAGACCUAAUUCACUCAACCCUCCCCUCUCAUUCAUUUUGUUAUUCUCAGACUCCACUCCGAGUCUCUUCCUCCAGUCCUCCCUCGAUCUCUCAUCUCUCUCGAUCUUCUUCCUCUCGGUCUUUCUCUUUCACAGUCUUUUCUCUCUUUCCCAUCUCACCUGCCCUAAACGCAGCUUAACCAGCCAUAGACACCACUCCAUAACCGCCUUGUAAACCACCUUGUUCCAUGGAGAAGCCAUGCCAUUAGUCCCAGCCGUCGAGUCGUAACUGUCGCGCCGUUGCAAAUCAAUGGCUGUGGAGAAAUUGAGCGAAGGCAGUGGGCACUGGACGAUGGACCGGAACUCAUCGCAGUCGUCAGUGAGGAAAACGACGUUGUCCUAGCCCUCUUAGAUCCGUGAGGAAGACGAUGUUCCCAGGCUCCUACUACUCUUCUUCUCGUCAUGUAAUUUCAUUUUUGUACUAAAUUUGAAUUUGGGGAUUUAGGAAUUAGGGAUUCAGUUAAUUUGCUUGAAAAUUUCAUAAAAAUGUUGGGGAUUUAGCUUAAUUAGGGAUUCAGUUUUAUUUUAUUUUUUGAUGAAUUCGAAAUUUUAUAUGAAGAGUUUUUUUAUUAAUUUGUUCUAUUUGGGGAUUUAGGUUGGGGUGUGAGAAAUGCUUGAAAAAUAUUGGAUUUUUUCUGGGAAGCCUGGUCUUUGAUCCCCUGCAUAACCCAAAUCAGAAGGGUUGCAGUUGCAAAUCUAAUUAACUGGGAGUUAAUUAAUUAAUUAUCUUGCAUUUAUAGAAAGAGGAAGUAGAAGAUGAAUCGCAUGUUUUGGAAAUAUGUGGUUUCUUGAUCGCUGAUAUGUGGCAAGUAGACGGCGGCGAUGCCUUUACACAGUGGACUUUGUGAUGCAAAACUGGGGUCGUGGGCUGGUGGUAGUAUGCCCAAAACCGAAAAAAAAAAAAAAAAAAAAAAAAGUAGUUGGACCCGUGGACCCGUGGACCCGUCCUGAACUGGCCCAUUUGAAACUGGCCGGGUUAGGUCCGGUUCCCAAACUCAAAAUACUUAUACCCGGCCCGCCCCGCCCUGUUACAUUUUAAAACGGGUAGGGCCAAGUUCUUCCAAAUUUCAACCCGACCCGGCCCAUGCCCAGCCCUAAUUUGGACUUACAAACACACAAAAAUAGCUUAAAACACUAUAAUAACAUAAACUAACUAUGAAAAUGCAAGAAAACAAGCUAACUAAGUCACAUAAAUAUGCUCCUAUCAAGGUUAACAACUUAAUAUUUCCAAUAGACUUCUAUGUGCUUGAGAUGGAGGAUUCGGCCUAUUUUACACCCUUGCCGAUCCUACUUGGAAGACCCUUCAUAAAAACAGCCCGCACCAAGAUAGAUGUGUUCAAAAGGACAUUAACAAUGGAAUUUGAUGGCAAGAUUAUUGAUUUUAAUAUUUCUGAGACUAUAAGGUAUCCUAAAGAUGAUCAUUCUUGUUUCUCUAUUGAUGUAUUUGAUUCUUUGGCGCAUGAUUAUCUUGAUUUCUUGAAUGAGGAUGCCCUUAAAACAAUUAUUGCACAAGGAAUUAGGUUUAAAUCCAAUCUGGCCGAGCUUAUCCUUGUAGCAAAUGUCGAGAUGGUUGCUGCCUUUGAGUCAUUGCCCCACCAUGUUGGUAAGCCCUCAAUUCCAAUUCUCAUCUCUACUAACAAGUUGUUACCUUCAGUGAUUCAAGCACCCAUCAUUGAGCUUAAACCAUUGUCGGAUCAUUUAAAGUAUGUCUUUUUGGGAGAUAAAGAGAUGUUGCCCGUCAUAGUCUUUUCAUCACUCAUGGCAAUGGAGAAGGAGAAACUGAUUCGGGUGUUAAAAGAGCACAAGACAGCCAUUGGAUGGACGUUGGUCAACAUUAAGGGAAUUAGCCCUACCACUUGCAUGCAUCGCAUACUUCUAGAGGAGGGGGCUACAAACUCGAGAGGCUCAACACCAACUCAACCCUUAAAUGAUGGAAGUUAUGAAAAAUGAGAUUAUCAAGCUUCUUGAUUGCGGAGUCAUCUACCCGAUUUCGGAUAGUCGUUGGGUUUCGCCGGUUCAAGUUAUUCCCAAGAAAUCUGGAGUCACCGUGGUAAAGAAUGCAGAGAAUGCCCACUCGUAUCCAAAUAGGUUGGAGAGUUUGCAUUGACUAUAGGAAGCUCGACACCACCACAAAGAAAGAUCACUUCCCUUUGUCGUUCAUUGUUCAAAUGCUUGAAAGGUUAGCUGGUCAUUCUUUUUAUUGUUUUCUUGAUGGUUAUUCGGGAUAUAAUCAGAUUGUUAUAGCUCCAAAUGAUCAAGAAAAAACCACUUUUACUUGUCCAUUUGGUACUUUUGCUUAUCGUCGAAUGUCAUUCGGUUUAUGUAAUGCACCAGCCACGUUUCAAAGUUGCAUGGUAAGUAUCUUUUCAGAUUUUUUUGAGAAGAUCGUUGAAGUUUUCAUGGAUGAUUUUAACGUAUUUGGUGAUUCGUUUUAUGGUUGUUUAGAUAAUCUCACAUUAAUCUUGAAACAAUGCAUCAAAACUAACCUUGUUUUGAAUUGGGAAAAAUGUCACUUUAUGGUAAAACAAGGCAUAGUUUUAGGUCACAUAGUUUCAGCAAAGGGAAUUGAGGUUGAUAAAUCGAAAAUAGAUCUUGUACGCUACUUACCCUCUUCCACUUCGAUGAGAGAGGUUCAUUCUUUUCUUGGACAUGCAGGAUUCUAUAGGCGAUUCAUCAAAGAUUUUUCAAAGAUUUCCCAACCUCUAUGCCGACUCUUACAGAAGGAUGUGCCAUUCAAGUUCGAUGAUGAAUGUGAGAAGGCGUUCAAUCACCUUAAAGAGAUGCUAACUUCGGCCCUCAUCAUAGUCCCACCAGAUUGAGCCUGCCUUUUGAGCUUAUGUGCAAUGCUUCAGAUUAUGCAUUAGGGGCUAUUUUGGGACAAAGAAAAGACAAGAAGCCGCAUGUCAUCUAUUACGCAUCUCAGACUUUGAAUGAUGCUCAAUUGAACUACUCUACCGCUGAAAAUAACUUCUUGCUGUUAUAUUUGCUUUAGAUAAGUUUCAUUCUUAUUUACUUGGAGCUAAAGUUAUAAUUUACACUGAUCAUGCAGCUUUGAAGUAUUUGCUCACAAAGAAGAAAGCCAAGCCAAGGCUUAUUCGCUGGAUGUUACUUCUCCAAGAGUUUGACAUGGAGAUUCGAGACAAGAAAUGAAGUUAAACGUGGUGGCUGACCACUUGAGUCGUUUGGUGCAUGAUGACCCAUUACCUAUUCCAUAAGCAUUCCCAGACGAGCAGUUGUUAUCCAUUGAGGUAAGUGAGCCAUGGUAUGCUGAUUUGGUGAAUUAUUUAGUGACUAAACAAGUUCCAACCACCAUAAACAAGCACCAACAUGAUAAACUUAAAAAGGAUGCACGAUUUUAUGUUUGGGAUGACCCUUAUUUAUGGAAAUAUUCCCCUGAUCAGAUUCUUCGUAGAUGUGUGCAUGAUUCGGAGUUUAAUUCAAUUUUAACUUUCUGUCAUACUUAUGCAUGUGGUGGUCAUUUUGGCACAUAACGCACAACACUUAAGGUUUUAGAAUGUGGAUUUUAUUGGCCUACUAUCUUUAAGGAUGGUAGAACAUUUUGUAUGACUUGUGAUCGUUGUCAACGAACGGGCAAUAUAAGCGCAAAAGAUUAAAUGCCACAUAAUCCUAUCUAUUCUGUCGAAAUCUUUGAUGUUUGGGGUAUUGAUUUCAUGGGUCCUUUUCCUUCCUCACAUGGUUUCCUUUAUAUUUUGUUUGUUGUGGAUUAUGUGUCGAAAUGGGUGGAAGUAAAAGCCACCCGUACUAAUGAUUUAAAGUGAUUGCAGAUUUUGUUAAAACUAACAUAUUUGCAAGGUUUGGAAUGCCAAGAGUACUUAUAAGUGAUGGGGGUUCCCAUUUUUGCAAUCGAACCAUUGAGGCGAUGCUCAAGAAGUACAAUGUCAUGCAUAAGGUUUCAACACCUUAUCAUCCUCAAACAAGUGGCCAAGCAAAGGUUUCUAAUAAGGAAAUCAAGCAGAUUUUGGAGAAGACGGUUGGACCCACUCGGAAGGAUUGGAGCUUACGUUUGAAUGAUGCAUUGUGGGCGUAUCAUACAGCCUACACAACACCAAUUGGGAUGUCACCAUUUUGGCUCAUCUAUGGGAAACCAUAUCAUCUUCAUGUUGAGUUAGAGCAUCGUGCACAUUGGGUAGUCAAGACAUUCAAUAUGGACAUUGAUGCCGCUGGAAUUCAUAGGAAGCUUCAAUUGAACGAGCUUGAAGAGAUUCGGAAUGAGGCUUAUGAAAACGUUCACAUUUACAAGGAGAAAACAAAGGCAGCCCAUGACAAGAUGAUUUAUGGCAAGACAUUCUCUAUAAGGCAGAAAGUGUUACUCUUCAACUCCCACCUUCGUUUGUUUCCGGGUAAGUUGCAUUCUAAAUGGAUUGGCCCUUUUGUUGUUACUAUGUUUUUCAUUAUGGUGCAGUCCAAAUUCAAAGUCAAUGGACACCGUUUGAAGCCCUACUAUGAGACUUUUGAGGAGCAUGUCAUGGAGGAUAUACCCCUCCAUGCCAUUGGCCCUAUUGAAGCUUAAAUGGAGGUAUCAUCCGGCUAGAAGGCGUUAAAGCAAGUGCUUCUUGGGAGGCAACCCAUGUGUUCAAAUGAAGGCAUAAUGGAAUUAUAGCUCCAACAACCAGAUUUGCGUUCCUAACCCCUUCUCUUUAUUGCUUUUACUCUACCAUGAUUGUCGUGUUUGUUAGUUGUUUUGAUUGUUUGCGUGUGAGUUUAUAUUUGAAACAUUGAGGACAAUGUUUGGUAAGUGUGGGGGGGGUAAACAAGUUGUUUUUGCAUGAUUUUCAUGUGAUAUUACCACCUAGCACCACUAGAGUUGUUCUUCAUUGUUUUUAAGUGUUUUUAGUGUGUUUUGAAGUGUUUUAUUGUGUUUUGAAAGAAAAAUACGAAAAUUUGAAGAAAAAAAAAGUAGAAAACGUUUGAAAAACCCAAAAAGAGUGGUUUUAAAGUUGUUUUUGUGUGUUUGUUUGUGUCUUUGGGUACCUUUCAACACAAUGAUGAGGAUUUGGUUUUUAAUUACAUGACUGUUAAAGAAAGUUACAAACAUGGGUGGAAGUUUGAUAUGCUUUUUGGUUUAUGCUUGGUUGUAGUUGACGUUUACGAAUUCACAUGUAAUCACAAAGAAAAAAAAAUCAGUGUUUGUAACAUGCUUGAAGGAAGGAACUCAAACUAACGCUACAACCCUGAGAGAUUUAAGCCUAAGCUUUGUUUGGAAAGUUAUUAAUCUGUGAUGUUUUUGUUUUCUAAAGUCGUUGCAUGAUCUCAUUAUUUCUUUGCUUGGUUGCUACUUAGAAUGCGUUUUCAUCAUUAUAAUUCCAAAUACUAGAACUCAUGCCCGUGUCAUUCAAAGCUUAAAAUUGAGUGCAUAACAUAAAACAAGAUGAAGUUGUUUAGUAGUUACCACCAGAGCCAAAAAGCCUUAAUCCCUUUGAGCCUUAUUGAGCCUAUUUUCUUUGUUAGCCACAUCAUCCCUACCUUGCCUAGAAUAGGACUAUCCAUACCCUUGUUCUUAAAGUAUAGUGGAGCAUGACUUAGAGGGAAUUCCUUUUGGUCAAACAUAUUGCAGAAAACAAGUGUGGGGGAAGGUUAUUUCCAAAGAAAGAAAAAAGAAAAAAAAAAGCGUGAAAAAGAAAAGAAAACGAAGGAAAAGAAUUGAGAAAUAAGUGAGAAUGAACUCACAAGUUUUGGUUGUUGAAGAAAUGGUCCAAAAGUUUGAAUUUGACCUUAAGUGUUGUGUGAAUCUUCCCCUUGUGUUUAAAGUUAGUUGCUGCAUUCAAAAGGAAAUUCUAGGUGUUGAUUUCAUUACUUUGCUUACUAUUGCUUUAAGAACUAUUGUUUAUCCUUGACCAUUCUUUGUUAGCCAAUACCUUAGCCUCGUUACAACCCUUAGACUUCUAUCUUGGGUGUUAUGUGUUUCAAUCUGUGGAGUUUGGGAUUGGUAUGAGCAUAUGGGAUCCCUGGUUCUCGCGUCUAAGUAGUGGCAUUCCAUUCAUGAGUGGCUAGUCUACAUGUAUUAAUAAUUCCAGAAAGUGCUUUCUUUGAUUAUAACAUAUGUGAGUGGCUAGUCUACAUGUUUACAUCAAUCUUCUCACAUAUACCUAGUAUAUGGAGUGUAGUCAGAAAAUCUGUGUGAAAAUAGAGAGUAUAUCCAGUGAGGAAUUGAGGGAAUUCUCUAAGGCAUGUUACUACCAUCAAAACCAUGUUUUAAAUUGAUUAAAUGCAAGCUAGUGAGUGGUGACUACGAUUAAGUAUGCACUCGAGGGUAGGGAUGACUAAAAUCUAUGUGAGUAGUGAUUUUUUAACAUGUCAUGUUCCAUUGGAAAUCCAUGAGGCAAAAGUUGGAAGGUUUAGGUUGUGUUUUGUUUUGUUUUUUUUUUCUUUUGCUCGAGGACUAGCAAAAGCUAAGUGUGGGGGAAUUUGAUAGGAGCAUAUUUAUGCGACUUAGUUAGCUUGUUUCUUCGUAUUUACUUAGUUAUUUUCUACUUAUUAGAGUGUUUUAAGUUAUUUUGUGUGUUUGUAGGUCCAAUUGGCAAAGUUGGUAAGAAAGUGCAUUUUGGAGCAUUUUAGAGCAAUUUUGGGCUAGAAUGGAUUGCAUGCAUGUGGAACAUAAGGAAUGGACGUUUUUUAAGAUCAAAUGAAGCUAGGAAUGUGCUAAAGAGAUGGAAAAAUUAAUUCAAGUCUUGGAAGAUGAGUAAUCAGCAAGAAGGAAGGAGCAUUAUCCAAAACCUUUUCAGAUUUCUAGAAGCCCUUUCUAGAAGCAACCCUUCUAGAAAGCUUAUCCCUGCCCUAAACUUAUGCCACACCAUCCUUUCUAGAACCCCUAGAAAGGUGGUGCCUAUUCCCUCUUCUAGAAGCUUAGGAACCUGCCAUAACACAUUCCUUCUAGAAGCCCUAAAUAAGUGCCGCACCCUCCUUCUUCUUGAAGUCCAAAAAUCUGCCAAAACCCUAAUCCUUUUCCCUCUUAGAUUGGGCCAUGCCUUGACCUUGUUCUCCAAGGAAUUGGUGCUGUAAACCCUAGCCUAUAAAUACAUAAAUCUGACCCUAUUUUCGCACCACACACAUAAAAGCCUAGAAUCAGAAUUCCACACCUUGUGCCGCAGCCUUGAAGGAGAGAAGACUUUGUCGUGGCUUCCAUUGGAGAAGAUUAGGGUUGUGCUGCAAGCCACAUGCAACCAUUGGAGACUUUCAAAGUUCUUUCUUCCCUCGUUUCGUUUCCAUGUUUAUUUUAUUUUGCUUUUCAAUUAUUAUGAACAUGAGGAACUAAUUCCUUUUUAGUUAAAGGUGAAUUCGAAGCCAUGGACAUAUGUUUUAUAUAAAUUGAUUACAUCCAGUUAUUGUUUCGUAAAACAUGAAUGUGAUUUACUUAUCUGCUUUAUUGAGAACUUAUUCUUGUGUGUUUAUUAAGGAUGCAUACUUAGUUUACAUGCAGGGAUUUGAUGCUACAGAAUUUCACCUAAUCGUUGUGAACUUAUAUUUAUAAGUAGUAGAGAUUGCUAGUCACAAUUGUGUUAAGUGAAUUCUUGGCAGGAGUAUCAUGCAGUUCAUAGUUACGAAUACUUUGUCAGUGCUUAUGAUUUUCAUAGAACUUAAUGAUCUUUGAUAUGUAUCUCGAUCAUGCUGUUCAUAUAGGGAACUUGAGAAGAAUAAUUUGGUUAUGAUGCGAUGUCCAUUCAAUUCAAUGAACUUAGGAAAAUCUGAAAGUUAAUUAGCGCAUUCACAAUUAAUUUAGGGCAUUGUCAUUCAUGGUUUAAAGAAAUAAUACUGGAAAUCAAUUUGUAUGCAUAUGUUUCAUGUGUGGAGAAUGACCCUCUGGCUAGUUUUUCACCAUUCAAAUCACCUAAUUUCGUACCUAAUUUACUUUGUUUUGCAAUCUAUUUAGUUUAAUUAAUUUCAUCCAAAUCAAUCCCCCCCCCUUUUUUUAUUAAGUGUGUUAGAUUAUUAGAAACGUGUUCAAAUCUGUCCAAUUUAGUGUUUUGAGUCUUACUAGUUUUAAAUUCGUCCAAAUAACUCCCUAGAGUCUGUUUUGAGUCAAUUUCACUUAGUUGUGCUGUUUUAAGUCAGUUUGUUUAGUUUUGAGUCAUAAGAGUCUAGUUUUGUGUUUUUGAGUCUAGUUUAGUGUUUUAGAGUUUAAUUUGUGUAGAUUAGCAGCCUUUCAAAUCCCCGGCCUAAAACGAUCCCUACUUUCAUAUACUACAAUCAUAGGGUUUUAAUUUGAGUGUUAGAAUAUUUCACAUUAGAGGCAAUAUUGCCAUUCAUUCACAAAUUGAAGAGGCACCGCUCUCCAAAUUUCAAAAGCUAGAUUUUCUUGAAUAAAGUUCGUUGACACUUUUCAGACGCAAUCUCAGCUUUUUGGAUAUCACAGGCAACUUUGUCAAAUAUCGCUGACAAAGUUGAAACGCGUGAAUUUUACAAUUCCAAUUACACCACUGUUGCUAACAAGCGUAAAGAAAAUGAUCCCAACAGCACCACUACUUGCUUUUGGGAAAUCCCUAUAUAUGUCGACAUCCGUUCUCCAUGGCAAGACAGACCUGCAAGAAUGCCUAACUAUUUCUCCUCUUCGAGAGUGCAUUUUCAAUGAAGCAUAUCAAAAUACUCAGUUUUCUUCCUCUCCGAGAAUACCUCUUCAACCAAGUCACUCAAAAUACUCAACUGAUUUCCUCGGCAAAUACCUUAGAACAGUUGAUAUGAUGUUGGCUCUUUACACUAAAGAUGCCAAGCAUGGAUGAGUCGCUAAGAAGCAAUGUUUUGAAGGAUCAUUCAAAGAAAAAGGUAUUCAUAUAUAGUAUCAAAGAUCUCUUACCUUUUUCAGACACAAUCUUAGCUUUUUGGAUACCACGGGCAACUUUGUUAAAGAUCUCUAACAAAGUUGGAACGUGUGAAUUUUACAAUUCCAAUUACACCACUGUUGCUGACAAGUGUAAAAGAAAUGAUCCUAAUAGCACCACUACUUGUUAUUGGGAAAUCCUUAUAUAUGUUGACCUUUAUCCUCCAUGGCAAAGCAAGCCUGUAAAAAUGCCUAACUAUUCCUCCUCUCCGAGAGUGCAUUUUCAACGAAACAUCUUGAAAUACUCAGUUUUCUUCCUCUCCAAGAAUACUUCUUCAACCAAGUCACUCAAAAUACUCAACUAAUUGCCUCAGCAAAUACCUCAGAACAGUUGAUAUGAUGUUAGAUCUUUACAUUGAAGAUGCCAAGCAUGGAUGAGUUGCUGAGAAUAGAUGUUUUGAAGGAUCAUUCAAAGGCAAAGGUAUUCUUAUAAGUAGAAGAAGUGUCAGAACUGUAUUCAUAUAUAAUAUGAAUUAGAGGUUAGGUCUUCAUAUACAUCAGAUUUCAAAUAAAGCUUAGUCUCUUGUUAAUUUUUUUACUUUUAAUUUCUUAUUUGAAAGUGUAAAAGUAUCCUAAAAGCAUGAUACGUGUAUCCAUCAAGUCAAAAUGUAUCCGCUGACAUGAUACGUAUCUGAUGAGUAUCAAAGAGUAUCCAGCAAGUAUCGUUUCCGAAAAGUAUCAGCUACAAGAUACACGACCAAAGUGAAGUAUCUGUAUCAUAGUUGGACAAAGACACCCCAAUUUUCCCAGCAUCAUCCUGCUCUUGAUAAACUCACAUAAAUGCCAUAUCAUCAGCAUCGCGAUGAGUCCUCACAAAAUGGACAAGCUUAUACUUUGCCCAACGACUAUCCAUGGAGAAGCUUCUUUAUGGAGUCCGAUUGAAUUUUGACUGGAGAAUUUUCUUUUUCUUGUCGUUCCAUGUCUCUAAAUUGCUCUUGAAGUAGCAAUGUAAUGAGGAGAAGUUUCCAAUUCUUAAAUCUGAAUACUACUACAACUGUGAGAAAGGUACCCGAGUGAUUUUGCUGGGAGGUACUGAAUGAUAUAUGCUCAGCUUCGGCUGGAGUCUACCAAAUGGUGGUACCCUGCUAUGGUGGAGGUGCACCGAAGUGUAUGCUUUGCUUCGGGCAGAGAUGCGCUGAAGGCCGAAGGGUAUGCUUUGCUUCGGCAAAGGUGCAACAAACAGACCCCUUAUCUCUCUCACGACACACUUUCGAGUUUAUUUUACAACAUAUGGUAAAAUCAGGGUCUACCCAAAGGUGGCAUCAUAGCCAGAAGCGUGAUCCCUGUCACCUAAGACCUAAAACUUCAAGAAUAAUGGAUAAUGUUCCCAAGCAUCAACCAUGUGGAAUCUACUUCUGUUUGAUGGAAGAGAUCAAUGGUUAUGCACUUGUUGGUGUUUCGACUAAUGUUGUUGAGGAGUACCAUUCACGUAGUUAAUUAGUGAGACUAAUUUUGCUCCACCUAACACAUUUGGAGAGCAAAAUUGAUUGCCCACCCCUAGUCUACAUAUACCUUUGUAUAAAAAUAAAAAAUAAAUAAACUUGUGAAAAAUGUGGUUAGAAGUCCAAAAUAACCUUAUUUUGGAUGAAAAACUUAACGGAGUUAAGAUGAGAUGACAAAUUAUGAUUUCAGAAAAUUCAAAUGCCAAAUGCUUAAACUUUAGUUCGUAUGACAAAUUAAAUAAUAUGAAUAAGUUUAUAUGACAUUUCAAAAAAAAUUAUACCAUAAAUUUGUAAUUAUAAAACCUUUGCGAAAACUUGAGACAUGCGUGGAGGCGCCUAAUUUAGCUUGUGUUGAUUUUCCAUCAUUUAUACAAGUAAAUGAUAAGAUUAAAAGCACACCACAAAGUAGCACACAAAUGUCCUAUUGAUUUUCCUUAUUAACACUAAGAUUUGUCAAUUGUAGCAUAUGAAAAUAAGGGUCUUUCCCGCAGAAGAUUGUUUUAUCUAACUACCUAAAAUGUCACAAAAACUGGGUUGCUGUCCCUACUGACCAGCCACCGAAAAAUAAUUAUUAGACCGACUUAUACUUAUCUAAAGUCUACAAAAUUUUAUAUGCAGAUACUAGACACACAAAGCUACACUCAUACAAAUGUUUGGGAUUUUUGGAGUUGAUUUUCUAUUUAAAUUAAAUCAAACAAAAACAGGAUAGAAACAAAUUUUAAGUAGUUCACAAAUUAAGAAAAACGAGUUAGGGGUAUUGCUAUCCACCACCAAAUAAUCAUGCAAACAUGUUAUGUUUCAUUCAAAUUUCUUUUAUUUCCGAAUGAAGAUGCUCAAGUUGGCUCAAUGUUAGAACUCAACCUAUUACUCUUUCUUACGUAGUAUGUUAAGAGAAUGGCGUUUUCAACUUAACUUAGUCCCUAGCAUGCAAUCUAGAAUGGCGUGUUCAUAGAUUUAACAAGUAGAAAUCAUUAAGAACGAAAAGAGUUUGAGUCAUCACAAGGCAUCGUAAGUACUGGCGUUGUCUUACUUAUCCUAAAAAUUGGUUCACAUGUUAAUCGCAAUUAACAAGUACUACUUUAGAACAUAUGUAGGUCCUCAUUCGACAAGGGCAGGCACACACACUAUUCAUAGCAUUAGAAUCCUAGAUAUGCUUACUACGUAUGCAUCCAUAGAAAACAAAUAAAGAAUUCAUCAAUGAGACAAGUAGUGAACCAAGUUUCAUCCAUUCAUAAAAGUAAUUCAACGAAAUGUCAUAACAAAAUUGCAAUCAUAUUCGGGGCUUCAAAACAGCCCCUAACUUCUAAAAAAUUAGUUACACAUAGUUCUCAAAAUAAACCAAAAGAAAGACAUGAGUUUGAGAAGAUAAAACCGAGAGAAGAGAAUGCCAAGAUUUCCUCCUUCCUUUCCUUCCUUUCUCAACGCAGCAGCCUUGCCUUUUUUCCUUCCUUUCCUUCCUUUUUUUCUAUUUUUUUUCCUCUAAAGAACUCUCUUUUGCUGCUGCAACCUGCAGCCUUUAUGCCCACGCUUGCUGCCCCAUUUCUGCUCCAUAACUCACCCCACUAACAGCCAUUUAGUGAUGACAAUAAGUGAGAGGAAAUGGUAAAACAAUUGUAACUUUUUGGGCAACCUUUAUGCCAAUUACUCCCACUUAAUCCUCAGCUUUAAUUCCAUUUCAUCUGAUAUUUGAAGAGGUGUCAGCUGGCUUGUUCUUGGCUGCAUCAGUUUUGGCUGCUAGUUUUAUUGGAUUUAUUGCCUUCAAUGCAGUUACAAACUGCUCAGCGUCUUGGAAACCUUUCAGUGUUAAAACGGACAUAACUUCUUCUCGAAAAAAGAUAUUAACAAUCCGCGAAAUGCUCCAGAAAAUAGACAUCCGUAGCUUUCCAAGCAUAUAAGUCUCAUUCUCUAAUUCAUUCUGAGCUGUUCGCAACUUGCUUCUAAAGGCAGCUGACCUGCACAGGCAGUUUUGACAAAUUUGUUACUUAAAAUCCCACUUGUGCUAUUUUUCUUUUAUUUGCUUGACAAAUCCUACAAAACACAAAACAAAGUAAAUAGCUCAAAAAUAUAAGGAACUAACUAAGAAAAGACAAGUGAAUUUGAUGUAAAAUAUAUAUAAAUAUGAGCUUAUCAAAUACCCCCACACUUAGCUUUUGCUAGUCCUCGAGCAAAAGGAAGAAAAUAUGAAAUAGUAGCAACAUGAAAAACAAUAGCUUCGCCCUAUGUGACCCUCAUAGAAUUUCAUUCAAGAAAACAAAUCAUCAAGAACCUUAGCUAUCACCAAACAAGCUAAUCCAAGUUCAUCUUCCUUAUUCAAAUGUUAGCAGUAACUUUUUAAUCAUCCAUGAAGUGUAGUGUGUGUAAUAGCCAUGCUAAUGCAAUUUCAAGUUUUUUUUUUAAAAAACACCACAUGCUAACUAGUGAUCUUCUCACGGGACAUACACUCAAUCACACAUAUGUUUAGUUUAACGUGUUUUGCUCAAAGAAUCAGAUGUGAAAGAUCUACCAUAAGCUUGCAUAAAGAUUUCAUCUCUACAAUCAUAAUUGCAAAACUUAAAUCAAGAGGACUUUUAUUGGUUGUAAUGAGGCUUAGGAAGAGGGUUAUAGAAAUGAAAGGAUAGGUAAACACAAGUUCCAAGCUAUAUUGCAAGCAAUUCUCUUGUUGAGAUUUACAAGAACUCAAGCUCUCCAACCACUCUACUAAUACCUCCAACCACACCCCUAAACUGAAAAAAAAAAAUUUAUUUGCUUUGUAUACUUUUUUUUUCUUCUUUUUUUCUUCUUUUUUUUUUUUUUAAACCAAUUUUGCACAUAACUAAAUACAAACAUGAAAUACCCCCACACUUAUUCUUUUUCCAAACUCCUUCAAAGUACUUCACAAACAUUUCUCAUAAGACAAUCUCACAUUGCUCACUAGCUAGCUUGGAAAGGGUAAGGAAAAAUGUUUAAGGUAUAAGGAUAGACAUAUCUGGUGAUAAGAAAUAAAAGGCUCAACAUAUACGGCUCAAAUUGGCAAUCUAAUGAUAUUAUUUUUCUUUUGGAAACAUGCUUAUUUGGGCUAUGGUGAUAAACCUAAUGCCUCUAUCCUUUUCAAGUUCAUGCAAUCAAAUGACAAACAUUUCGAAAGAUCGUUACGCAAGUUCUAGAGAUGUAAGUCACAUAAGUUCAUCACACAUGAAAGAAUAUGAGUGUAUGAAAAAUGCACACACUUUCAAUAGGCUCAAAAACUCACAUAGGUUGUAUAUGGUCACUAUAUUCACAUGCGAAGUUUUAAGUCAUACUUUAGUUUCACAUCAACAAGGCUAUGUGCAUUUGGUUUUUCAAAGAUGAUUAAACAUGUACAAGGCUAACAAGAGAAUAAGGAAUUUCACACAACACAUGCUUACUAAAUUCUUGAUCCCUGCAGUUCAAAUUCAAUCCAAUUAUAUCAUUGGGUCGGGAAACUAACAAAAAUCUAAUUCAAAGCGAUAAAUAAAAUAAGACAAUAUUUUUUUGGAUUUUCAAAUUUUUUUUUUAAUUUUUUUUUUUUGGGGUUUUUUUUUAGAGUAAACAAAACCAAUUACGAAAACAAAAAGCAACAACAAGGAAACAAAUCAAACCAAUUCUUAGUCAAAGGGAUGAACAUUUUCAAUUUGGUCAUUUUUUAGAUCCUUACCCCCAAACCUAAACUGGACAUUGUCCUCAAUGUCAGAAAAUGAAAAUAAAAAUAAAAAUAAAAUAAAUAAUAAUAAACAAAAUAAAGCAUUUGGACUGAAAACUUCCCCAAUUUGCAGUAAAAUCAAGCAGUGACCCCCAAACUCCAAUUCUGCAAUCAACUCUAAUGGUGGGCACGAUCAAAUUUUCCUACAAAGAAAAGAAAUAAUUCAGCUUAGCACGCAAGAAAAUUCAGAAAAAGCAAACUAAAAAUUGAAAAUGACAUAAAAAGACAAUGAAUAGAAAUAUUGGGUUGCCUCCCAAUAAGCGCUUGCUUUUAUGUCCGCAGCCGAACGGUACCAAGAGCAAUCAUCCAAGGGGAGAUGGUUCUUGGAGGGGUACAACCUCCACAUCAUGCUCCGCAAAAGACUCAUAAUAUGGCUUGAGUCUAUGCCCAUUCACUUUGAACAUGUUUCCGGUCUUUGCACUUUCGAUUUCCACUGCACCAUGAGGAAAAAUAUUAGUUAUAACAAAUGGACCAACCCAUCGAGAACGAAGUUUACCUGGAAAUAACCGAAGGCGAGAAUUAAAUAGAAGAACUUUUUGUCCAAUGGAAAAGCUCUUCCUUGAUAUCAUCUUGUCAUGAAAUGCCUUUGAUUUCUCCUUGUAUAUUCGACUAGACUCGUAUGCAUCAUUCCGGAUUUCGUCUAACUCAUUCAAUUGAAGCUUUCUAUGCUGUCCGGUAACACUCAUGUCCAUGUUGUAGGCUUUGAUCGCCCAAUAAGCUUUGUGUUCUAACUAUACUGGAAGACGGCAUGGUUUCCCAUAAACUAACCAAAAUGGGGACAUUCUAAUAGGAGUCUUAUAAGCAGUCCUAUAAGCCCACAAUGCAUCGUUUAAGCGCAUGCUCCAAUGCUUCCUACUGAGACUCACAAUUUUCUCCAAAAUUUGCUUCACCUCACGGUUUGAUACUUCUGCUUGACCACUAGUUUGCGGAUGAUAAGGUGUAGACACCUUAUGUGUGACAUUUGAUGUGAAAAUUAUGUUGACACACAAAUUAAACCCUAUUUGUGACAAUUGUAGUAAUGAUGUAAGUAGGGAUCGUUCUAACCGGGGAUUAACUAGGGGUGCUAAUCUAAUAUAAAUUGAUUUAAAAACACAAAAACUAAACUUAAAGACUCUAACAAGACUACUAUGACUCAAAACAGAUUUGAAACACUCAAAACUGCCUAAAACAAUCAAAUUGACUCAAAAAGAAACUAGAACUUGAUUUGGACGAAUUUGAAAGUGUUUAUGACUCCAAAUGCUUACAAACACAAAAUAAAACAUAUUUGAAUGACUAAGACUCAACAAAAUAUGGGGGGAUUGUGUUUGGACGAAAUUAAAUUAAAUGGGCAAAUUGUAAAGAAAACAGAUUGUAAGACAAAAUUGUGAUGAAUCAAUGGAUGAUGGAAUAGCUAAGGGGUUCUUCUCCACACAUGAAAUAUAUGCAACGUAAAUCAAUUUCCAGUUAUCAAUUUAAUAAGUUAUGAACCUCGACACUCCAAGUUAAUUAGGUCCGCUUAAAUUAACCUUCAGAUUUCCCUAGAAUCAUUGAAUUGGAUGAAUAUGCAUCGCAAACAAAUUAUUCCUAACAAGUUCUCUAUAUGAACAACAUGAUAAAGACACAAGUUAGAAUCAUUACGUUCUUUCGAAAUCAUAAGCAUCGACAAGGCAUUUGUAACUAUGAAAAGCAUGAUACUCUUGCCAAGAAUCUACUUAACACGAUCGUGACUAGCGACCUUCACUACUUGCGAAUAUGAAUUCAUAACGAUUAGGUGAAACAAACUUAUAUCCUAGCACCAAAUCCAAGCAUGCAAAUUAAGCAUGCACUCUCAAUCAACAUACAAGAAUAAGUUCUAAAUCAAACGGUUAAGCAAAUUGUAUUCACAACUUAUGCAACGAUAGCUGGAAGUAAUCAACUUAUUUCACAUAUAUAAUCAUGGUUUUGAAUACACCCUUAGCCAAAACGAAUUUAGCCAAUCAUACUUAAAGAAAAACAAAGAUUACAUGAAUUAGACAUUGAAAUAUAAGAUAGAAUACACAUAAAAUUGUUCAACAACUCAGAAUGAAGAGCCAAACAAUUGAGUGAAUCUGUCCCUUUUCCUUGCUUGCGGCAGAUUGGGUGUUGAUGGUUUCUGGGCUGUUUUGAUGAUGUAGACUAGAUUUUGGGGGGUGUAGAGGCACGGAAAGGGGUGUAGGGUGAGUGUGGAAGAGUGUUUGAUGGUUGGAAGGUGGUGGAGAACUCGGCAAAGAGGGUGGAAGAAGGUGGAGCGGCUGCUUGUAUUUUCUGGGCGCUAGAAUGGUGUUUUUGGGGUGUUUUGCUGCCUAGGGUGUGUAUGGACGAAUUUCUGUGAUGAAUGAUGAAUAUGGGAGGUGGUACUCGUGACUUAGAGUGAAAACACAUAUAUAUAGGCACCACAAACCUUAGAGAAAUCAGGUUAGGCAAUGGGCUAGGGUUUAGGUGCGGCAAUGGGUGAAAAUCCACAAGGAAAUGGCCUAACAAGUCAGAAUCCAAGAGGGAUUGGUCUAGGAAGGUGCGGCCCAAGUCUAAGAGGAUGAGGAUAGGUCAUCUAAAAGCCCAAAGCCAAGAAUAGAAACUCUCAAAAAUGGAAACCUCCAAGAAUAGAAACUUCCAACUUUAGAAACUUUGGUUUCCACUUCUGCAUUCUUUGUUCUUCACUUUCAUUUCUUCAUCUCUUAGGCUCCUUUGACCUUCAAACUCGUCCAUUCCUUGUGCUCCAUAUGCAUACACUCCAUUCCAGCUCAAUUUUGCUCUAAAAUGCUCCAAUUUGCAUCAUUUUAUGUAAUAUGCCCUUAAAACCUGAAAACACAUGAAACUAGUUUAAAAGACUACUUUAAACUCAGAAAACAUAAUGAAAAUGCAUAAGAACUAGCUAACUAAGGUGCAUAAAUAUGCUCCUAUCAACAUUGUACUUCCUAAGCAACACUUCAAAUGUUCGAUUGAAAAGUGACUCCCUCCAUCGCUGAUGAUUGCUCUAGGUGUCCAAAUCUUGCAAAGAUGUUAGUCUUAAUAAAAUCUGAAACAACUUUUGAAUCAUUAGUUUUGGUGGCUUUCGCUUCUACCCAUUUAGAAACAUAAUCCAUAGCCAAUAAAAUGUAAAGAAAACCAUUUGAAGAUGGAAAAGGUCCCAUGAAAUCAAUGCCCCACACAUCAAAGAUCUCAACAACCAAAAUAAGGGUUUGUGGCAAUUGGUUUCUUAGGCCCAAGUUACCUGUUCGUUGACAACGAACACAUGUUGCACAAAACUCGUACGCAUCCUUAAACAAACUAGGCCAAUAAAAACCACUCUCUAACACCUUAAGAGUUGUCCUCUUUGCUCCAAAAUGGCCACCACAUGCAUAAGAAUGACAAAAAGUUAGAAUAGAUUUAAACUCAGAUUCGGGGACACACCUUCUAAUCAAUUGAUCAGUGCAAUAUUUCCACAAAUAAGGAUCAUCUCACUCGUAGUAUUUGGCGGUUUUGACAAGCUUAUCUUUUUGAGCACGUGUAAAAUCAUCCGGAAUCCUUUUGAUGACCUUGUAAUUGAUAAUAUCUGCAUACCAAGGGUCAGUAAUCUUUAAUGAAAACAGUUGCUCAUCUGGAAAACUUUCACGUAAAGGGAUGAGAUCUUCCUCUGUGUUUGAAUGCACAAGUCGGCUAAGAUGAUGUACUACAACAUUCUCACUCCCUUUUUUAUCCUUGAUCUCCAAGUCAAACUCUUGAAGCAGAAGUAUCCAUCGAAUGAGUCGCGGUUUUACAUCUUUUUUGUGAGUAGAUACUUCAAAGCUGCAUAAUCAGAAAACACAAUAACUUUAGUCUCAAUCAGAUAAGAUUUAAAUUUUUCUAAAGCAAAUACAACAGCUAGAAGCUCAUUCUCUGUUGUUGAAUAAUUCAACUGUGCAUCAUUGAGUGUUCGAGAUGCAUAAUAAAUGACAUAUGGCACUUUGUUGACACGCUGCCCUAGAACUGCACCAAUAGCAUAGUCUGAAGUAUCGCACAUCAACUCAAAAGGUAAACUCCAAUCUGGUGGCAUGAUCACAUGAGCCGUGGAUAACAACUCCUUAAACUUGUUGAAUGCUACCACACACUCUUCAUUCAUAUCAAAUGUUACAUCCUUUUAAAGUAAACGGCACAAGGGUCUAGAAAUCAUUGAGAAGUCCUUCAUAAACCUACGGUAGAAACCUGCAUGUCCAAGAAAAGAACGAACCUCCCUGACAGUAGUAGGGAUGGGUAAAGAACUAACAAGUUCUACUUUAGAUUUAUCAACUUCAAUUCCCUUUCCAGAUAUGAUAUGCCCUAGAACUAAUCCAUGCGAAACCAUGAAAUGGCAUUUUUCCCAAUUUAACACCAGAUUAGUUUCUUGACAACGUUUUAAAACUAGGGACAGAUUAUGUAGACAUGUAUCAAAAGAAUCACCAUAAACUGAAAAAUCAUCCAUGAACACUUCAAUUAUUUUCUCAAUCAUAUCAGAAAAUAUACUUACCAUACACCUUUGAAAUGUGGUGGGAGCGUUGCAAAGUCCAAACGGCAUCCUCCGGUAUGCAAAUGUGCCAAAUGGACAUGUGAAAGUCGUCUUUUCUUGAUCCUCCGGAGCAACUGCAAUCUGAUUAUAUCCAGAAUAGCCAUCAAGAAAGCAAUAAUGAGAAUGACCAGCUAACCUUUCUAACAUUUGAUCUAUGAAUGGGACUGGAAAGUGAUCCUUGCGUGUGGUGUUAUUUAUCUUCCGAUAAUCUGUACAGACUCGCCAACUAUUUUGCACACGUGUAGGCACUAGCUCACUAGCUUCAUUCUUAACAACUGUGACUCCGGAUCGCUUCGGAACUACUUGAAUAGGGCUCACCCACUUGCUGUCCGAAAUAGGAUAUAUGAUGCCAACAUCAAGAAGUUUGAUAACCUCUUUCUUGACAACUUCCAUCAUAAGUGGGUUCAAACGGCGUUGAGCUUCCCUUGUUGGUUUUGCACUUUCCUCCAACAUAAUCCUAUGCAUACAUGUAGCUGGAUUUAUACCUUUGAUAUCUGCAAUGCUCCAAGCUAUGGCAGUUUUAUGAUCCUUCAGUACCCGGAUCAGUUUCUCCCCCUCUUCUGCUAUGAGUUGUGAUGAUAUGAUAACCGGUAAUGUUUCAUCCUCUCCCAAAAAUGCAUACUUCAGAUGUUCAGGAAUCGGUUUAAGCUCCAAUUUAGGUGCCUGAAUCACAGAAGGAAGAGUUUUUUCAUUAGAAGUAGGAAGAGAAAUAAAAUAGGAAGAACGCUUACCACGAAUUGGUGAAAGAGACUCAAGAGAGGCCACUGUUUGGAUUAAUUCUUCUUCAAUGUGCUCUGAAUAAUUAAAAUCUCCAUGUGUAAUGCUAUGCACUAAUGCCUUCUCUAAAGUAUCUUGUCCCACACCUUCAUUAAAACAAUCCUGCACAAAAUAGUCAAACACAUCAAAAGACAAACAAGAUUCUAAUUCACUAGGAUACCUCAUAGCAUUGAAGAUUCUGAACUUGACGCUUUCCCCAUCAAUUUCCAUGGUUAAGGUACCAUCGUAGACAUCAAUCUUCGUACGUGCCGUUCUAAGGAAUGGUUUUCCCAAUAUAAGAGGAAGUGCAGUAGGCAUAGGGUCGUGUUCCAUCUCAAGAACAAAAAAGUUAGCGGGAAAAAUGAGCUCAUUCACUUGCACAAGUACAUCCUCUAAUAGGCCUUUGGGAUAUCUAUUUGAACGAUCUGCCAACUAGAUUACUACCUUUGUUUCCUUCAAGUCUCCAAGGUUCAAUGACUCAUACACUGAAUAUGGCAUCAAAUUGAUGGAUGCCCCCAAAUCACACAAUGCUCUCCCAAACUCUUUCCCUCUGAUUACACAUGGAAUGGUAAAGCUACCGGCAUCUUUCAACUUCGGUGGCAGCUUUCUCUGCAAAACAGCUGAUACUUCCUCGCUCAAUGCCAUAGUUUCUUGAUCAUUGAAUCUCCUCUUGUUUGUACAAAGCUCUUUAAGGAACUUUGCAUACUUGGGAACUUGUUUUAUGGCAUCUAAAAGAGGUAAGUUCACUUGGACUUUCCGGAAAGUAUCCAAGAUUUCCUUAUCAGUUUGCUCUUUCUUAGACUUCAUAAACCUACGAGGAAAAUGAACAGGGACACAUGAGUUAAAUGAAUUUUGAACUUCUUUACUUACCUUAUCAGAAUCUUUUUUGUUCAAUUCUGUAUCUUUAGGAGACUUUUCAGUUUCUGUUGAAGCUUCAUCUUGCUCAAGAUUCUUGGUUUGUAGCUCCCCUUGUUCAAUUGUGUCUUUUCUAGUCCUCUUUUGCAUCCUCGACUGCUCAAAAACUUCUUUUCCACUCCUUAAAGUCACAACAUUCAUCUGCUCCGCAUUUGGAUUCACCACGGUUUGGCUAGGCAACCUUCCUGGUUGGUGUUGUUGCCCCAUCAAACUUGCUAACUGACUCAUUUGGCGCUCAAGGUUUUUAAUUGCUUUGUCUGUUUUCUGUUGAUGAGAUUGAGUAGAGUUAGCUAGAGAAGCAAUUAAAUCCUCAAGAGACUUACUUGGAGCUUGUUGUUGUUGAGGCUGAAAUGGUGUCUGCGGUAUUGCUUGAAAGAAGCCAGGUGGACGGUUAUAGUUGUUGGGAACAGAUUGUUGUCCAUUGUCUUGAUUGUUCCACUUUAAGUGUGGAUGAUCGCGCCAUCCUGCGUUAUAGUUGUUGGAAUAUGGAUCAUACUUUUGCCUUUGUUGCCCUUGAAAUCCUCCUAACGCAUUAGCUUGCUCAAGACCACCUUGAUCUAUUAACGAGGGGCACAUGUCCGUGGCAUGUCCCAUCAUUGAACAUACACCGCACACCUGUUUUGGAGCCACCAUAACCUGUUGCACAAGAUUAGUCAAGUUAGCUAAUUGUAAUUCAAUACUAGAGUUAGCACUUACCUCGUUAACUUUCUUAAGAGGUAGCUCAUCUCUCCCUCCAAAUUGUCGUGUGUUGCCAGCAAUGUUCUUUAGCAAUGCCUUAACAUUAGUUGGUGUCUUGUCCAUGAAUGCUCCUCCACUUGCUGCAUCAAGCAUUACACGAUCAGUACCACACAAUCCUUCAUAAAAAUAUUGUAUUAAAAGAUGCUCUGAAAUUUGAUGAUUAGGACAAGAUGCAACCAAAUGUGUGAAUCGCUCAUAAUAAUCUCCAAAGGGUUCUCCAUGUUGUUGUCAGAUUGCACAUAUAUCCUUCCUUAUGCUUGCAGCUUUUGUGGCCGGAAAAUAUUGCUCCAAAAAUGCUUGCUUCACCUGGUUCCAUGUGUUCAUUGAUCCCGGAGGUAAAUUGUAUAGCUACUCAUUUGCCUUGGCUUCUAAUGUAAAUGGGAAUGCCCUCAACUUGACUUGCUCCUCAUCCACAUUUGCUGGUCUCAUUCCCAAGCAUACCACGUGAAACUCCAUGAGAUGCUUGUUGGUAUCCUCUGUUGAGAAGCCAUGGAACUUAGGCAAGUAGUGAAUCAUGCCGGACUUGAGCUUAAAUCCUCCGUCUGCAUUUGGAUAGGUGAUGCACAAUGGUUGUUGAUCCGUAUUCGGCGUUGCCAACUCCCUCAAAGUACGGCUAUCAGCCAUGCCUUCUUGUGGUUCUUCCUCCUCUCCAGAACUCAAAUGUAGUGCAGAAGAUGGUGGUAAGGACACUGAUGCACGCUUCGGCUUGAUUUUUCUCUAAAGCUUUCGAAGUGUUCGUUCAAGCUCAGGAUCGUACGAAGCUAGAUCAAUGCUCUUGGACCUUCGAGUAUGCAUAUACUACGAAGAGUACCUGAAAUAAAAACAAAAAGAAAAACACUAAUGAGACAAGAAAAGAAAACAAUAGAAAAAUAAGUAAUUAGAAAUAACAAUCCCCGGCGACACGGCACCAAAAAUUUGAUAAGAUUAAAAGCACACCACAAAGUAGCACACAAAUGUCCUAUUGAUUUUCCUUAUUAACACUAAGAUUUGUCAAUUGUAGCAUAUGAAAAUAAGGAUCUUUCCCGCAGAAGAUUGUUUUAUCUAACUACCUAAAAUGUCACAAAAACUGGGUUGCUGUCCCUACUGAUCAGCCACCGAAAACUAAUUAUUAGACCGACUUAUACUUAUCUAAAGUCUACGAAAUUUUAUAUGAAGAUACUAGACACACAAAGCUACACUCAAACAAAUUUUUGGGAUUUUUGGAGUUGAUUUUCUAUUUAAAUUAAAUCGAACAAAAACAGACAAAUUUUAAGUAGUUCACAAAUUAAGAAAAACGAGUUAGGGGUAUUGCUAUCCACCACCAAAUAAUCAUGCAAACAUAUAGUUCACAAAUUAAGAAAAACGAGUUAGGGGUAUUGCUAUCCACCACCAAAUAAUCAUGCAAACAUGUUAUGUUUCAUUCAAAUUUCUUUUAUUUCCGAAUGAAGAUGCUCAAGUUGGCUCAAUGUUAGAACUCAACCUAUUACUCUUUCUUACGUAGUAUGUUAAGAGAAUGGCGUUUUCAACUUAACUUAGUCCCUAGCAUGCAAUCUAGAAUGGCGUGUUCAUAGAUUUAACAAGUAGAAAUCAUUAAGAACGAAAAGAGUUUGAGUCAUCACAAGGCAUCGUAAGUACUGGCGUUGUCUUACUUAUCCUAGAAAUUGGUUGACAUGUUAAUCGCAAUUAACAAGUACUACUUUAGAACAUAUGUAGGUCCUCAUUCGACAAGGGCAGGCACACACAUAUUCAUAGCAUUAGAAUCCUAGAUAUGCUUACUAUGUACGCAUCCAUAGAAAACAAAUAAAGAAUUCAUCAAUGAGACAAGUAGUGAACCAAGUUUCAUCCAUUCAUAAAAGUAAUUCAACGAAAUGUCAUAACAAAAUUGCAAUCAUAUUCGGGGCUUCAAAACAGCCCCUAACUUCUAAAAAAUUAGUUACACAUAGUUCUCAAAAUAAACCAAAAGAAAUACAUGAGUUUGAGAAGAUAAAACCGAGAGAAGAGAAUGUCAAGAUUUCCUCCUUCCUUUCCUUCCUUUCUCAACGCAGCAGCCUUGGCUGCUAGUUUUAUUGGAUUUAUUGCCUUCAAUGCAGUUACAAACUGCUCAGCAUCUUAGAAACCUUUGAGUGUUAAAACGGCCUUAACUUCUUCUAGAAAAAAGAUAUUAACAAUCCGCAAAUGUUCCAGAAAAUAGACAUCCGUAGCUUUCCAAGCAUAUAAGGCUCAUUCUCUAAUUCAUUCUGAGCUGUUCGCAACUUGCUUCCAAAGUCAGCUGACCUGCACAGGCAAUUUUGACGAAUUUGUUACUUAAAAUCCCACUUGUGCUAUUUUUCUUUUAUUUGCUUGACAAAUCCUACAAAACACAAAAACAAAGUAAAUAGCUUAAAAAUAUAAGGAACUAACUAAGAAAAGAUAAGUGAAUUUGAUGUAAAAUAUAUAUAAAUAUGAGCUUAUCAGUAAAACACACAAGUCAUCCUCACAUCUUUAUAUCUAGCAAUGAAUAAACAACUUUUAUAUAAUCCACCCUUUUCUAUAUACAAAUGGUUGAAUUUUCACUCACCCAAACUUUGCCCAAGAAGAGAACAAUAUACAAUAAAAAGUUAUCCCUAAACACAACUUUACAAUUUACAAACAAGAAAAGAAAAUAGACUCAUGUAUGUAAGUUAUCAAUAUAUUAACAUAUUAGUCAAGAUUCCAAAAAUAUCUCAAUCUGUAUACCAGAAAAAGAAUAAGAAAUUCAAAUCAUGCAUAUCAGGGCUCCAGGCCACCCAAGUUUUAGUGAUUUAUCUGAGUUUUAUAAGGUUAAGUUGCCCACACGCGUGGGAGAUAGACAACAUCUUUUUCUUUCUCGUGAGAAAAGAAAAAUAAGAGAAAAAUUUUAAUGCAAAGAAGCAAGAACUUGUGAGAGAGAUUGCAACCUACCCAGCAUAGUAGCAUACAGUUGGUCGCCGGGCGUGGAUCCGUGUUUGCCGGAGUUGGCUAGGUGAGAAACUUGAAACGCUGUUGGGUUUGAGUAUUUAUUUAUAAUUUUAAUGUUUAAAAUUAUUUUUAAAAUUUGAAAUCAAAAGCAAAUGAUGCUUGUACAGAUUUGGUGAUGAACCCUAAUAACAGCAAGAGGAAGUUAGGUAAAGAGUAGAAAAACGUCACUUUCAAGUUUCGUGCAAUCCGGACAUAAAACGGAGAUGUAUCUUCACCUGCAUCAUUGGAAAAUUGUAGAAUUAUAGAGAGUUGGGUCAAAUACUCACUUCCAACAAUACCGAUAUUGUCUCCAACUUGUUAAUUACCUGCGCAAUCCGUCAAGUGUGGGUUUUAUCAAAAAAAAUCUCGAUAUUAAUUGGAGUAGGGCUAUGAUAUCUAAACUCUUGUUUCCUCAAAGAUACGAAUGAUGUGGCAUAUUUCAACAAGAUAACCCCUUCUCAAAGAUAAUCACCGAUUAAUUUGUCGAAUAUUCCUUGCCCUGUAACUGCUUCAUGGCAUUAUAGUAUCUAACCAAAUUCAUCAGCAUCAACACACAGAUCACUAGACAUGUCUUGUAUCACAAGGGAGCGCUAGCUGAAGCAAAUCCUUGUAAUUCGAAAGUUUCCGCGAACCCAAUUGCAGGCCGUAACGAAGUUUCUCGAGAGAAUUUGUAAGCCAUAUCGAAAUACAAAUCACACAGAAAAAGAUCAUGAGACUUAAAAUAUCUCAAUGCUAUUAUUUCUCACAACGGAACUUAUACAUAGAAAUUCUUUCAAACGACAGAUAUCCAUAUACAUGAAAUUCUUUCAAACAACAGAUAUCCAUAUACAUUUUAGUUUUCCAAUUGCCCUCCAAUGCCCCGCAGGAAACCGUACUAAUCACACUUCAUAUGGGGGAAGCAUGAAUGGUAAAGUAUCAACGAGCAUGAGCCGAGCCAAGGUUCCGGAAAUGAGCCUACUCGACUAACCUGAGCAUAGGGAAUGAAAAACACGAUGACUAAUAUGACCAAAUACCACAUAACAUGCCCAAUAGAUCAAAAAUUCGAAAAAGAAAAAGGAACAUUAAUGAUAAGGGAGGCAGAAAAAUAACACGAUAAAUUGACCAGCAUAUCGAUUAAUGUUUCCUUCCUAUAAACCCAGUCCCUGACCAGAUUGUGGUUGAGCUCUGCUAGACAACGGUCUCCACCGGAUACCCGCGAAUGCAAUCUUCCCAUGGACUAUGAGGAGAAGGUUUUACACUCUGAAGAGCCUCCCACACUGCACUGUUACACUUGAAACCGCUACCAAAAGCAAUCUGCCAGACACGGUUCCCCUUUUGCAUCCUCCCCUUUGCCUCUGUAUAAGCCAACUCAUACCAAAUCGAACUAGACGAGGUGUUACCGAACCUGUGGAGUGUCAUCCGAGACGCUUCAACAUGAACUGGUAAAAGCUGCAAAUUCUUCUCAAGCUCAUCAAUCACGGCCCUUCCUCCCGCGUGUAUGCAAAAAUGGUCAAAAGCAAGCUUGAAAUCUGGUAUAUAAGGCUUCACUUUUGCGUUGAACAACUUCUUGGCAACCAAAGUAACAAAGAAGAGAAGCUGCUCACUUAAGGGCAGGACAAGCGGACCCAAUGUUGUGAUGUUAGUCUUAAGAGCCCCACCGGCAAUUGCCAUGAGAUCCUUGGACAAAGAAACCCCAGUUUUCCCGGCAUCAUCCUGCUCUUGAUAAACACACCUAAAUGCCUUAUCAUCAGCGCCACAAUGAGUCCUCACAACGUGGACAAGCUUAUACUUUGCCCGACGCCAAUCCAUGGACUUAUUCGAAAGCAAAACUGCUGACCCACCGACACGGAACAAACAGUUGGGUAUCAACAUGGAUUUCUUGUUCCCAAAGUACCAAUUCUGAGUAAUAUUCUCAGUACUAACAACAACCGCGUACGUAUUCCUAUGAAUUUGCAACAUAUCCUUAGCAAGAUCAACAGCUAUAACUCCAGCACUACACCCCAUACCCCCCAAAUUAAAACUCCUAAUAUUCCCCCUCAAUUUGUACUUAUUAACAAUCAUAGCAGACAGUGAAGGUGUUGGAUUAAACAAACUACAGUUCACAACAAGAAUACCAAUGUCCUUGGGCUUAACAUUCGUAUUAGCAAACAGAUUGUCCAAUGCACCAAAAAUCACCUGCUCUGCCUCCUCGCGAGCCGCCGCCAUUGAAGGCCUCGGCGGAAUGUAAUGCAUUGCUUCAGGGACAUAAGUCUCCUCUCCGAGGCCAGAGCGCUCGAGAAUCUUGCGCUGGAACUCAAGCGAGGACUCAUCGAAGUCCCCUGUCAGCUUCGAAUGCUCCAUAAACUGCUGGUAUCUCACUUGCAAAUGCGACGGCGGCUUGUAACACGAAUAGUCCACAAGGUAAACGGAUCUCGGGCGGGUCAUAAUGUAAACGGUGGAUCCAAAAACAACCAUAGCAGAGAAAAUAAUGACACUGACGAGAUUGUACUGGAGCUGGAGCCAGAGCUGGUGAAUGUCAUCCGGGUUCAUCUGGGAGGCUUCGAUGACGACGACCGCCAUUAGAGGAACUAAACAGAGAGUCAGGAGAUGGGUUAUCAAGUAAUGGUAACCCAAUUUCACAUACUUCAAGUUCACAGUCUGCAGGAAAUCCGGCAGCCGACGGCUCUGUUGGAUCCGAACUCCUCCAUUGGUGGCCGGAGAAAUGCACAUGAUGGUUGUGGGAAAUGGGCACUUGGGUUUUAAAAUAUGGGGUUUUGCGAUAUGGGGUUUGAGCGGAGAGGUUGCAGAGGUUUAUAUCUGGCUAAAAGGAUGAAGUGUGUAUGUGAAUAAGACGGAUCUGAGUGGAGAAGAUAAGGAGUUGAAAGUUGAUAAACUAAUACAACGACCCAGUAAGGAUUAUAGACCACAAGAAGGUGAUUAACAUCAUCACAAAUGAAGAUUAAUGAUAUGAUGAUGAUUGGAGGAGUGAGAGAGAAGGAGGGAGGGUGAGAGAGAGAGAGAGAGGUUUAUGAGGGGUUUGGUGUGCUAUUGGUGUUUGUUCUGCUACCACUCUACUAAACGUCUCUGUUUGGCCUAGGAUUUAGGAGGAAAGGAAGAGGAGUGAUGCAAGAAAAUGGAAUGAUAAAAUUUUAGGAGAGAAAUUCGGGGGGAUGAGGGUUUUUAAAUAUUUGGGAGAUGGACGUGUCGAAUGGGGACAUGAGAGAGAGGGGGAGAGGAAGCUUCACGAUUUCGUGCUCCGCUGCACGUUGGAAUUAAGAGAAAUGUUGAUGGGGACUUGGGAGUUUCCCAUGUUGAUGGGGAAUUGAGUGAGAACUAUUGAUGGGGACUAGGACAAAUGGGGAUGCUUGCUUGUGUAAUGUAUCCAAACUUUUCGUUUUUCUUUUCUUUUUGAUUUGGUGAAAAUUUAUAAUAUUGUAUUAAACUCUUGUUAGUCAAAACUUGCUUAUAAUUUCUUUUCUGUAAAAAGGGCAAUGUUCCUACUCUUUCCGAGGUAUCAUCUUGGUCACCAUGGCUGGAAUAAAAUCUCGAAAGCCCCGAAUCAUACCGAAGUAAUCCCAAUUCCGAAUUGAAAUAAUCUCAAACCAAAAAAUCUGAAUCGGUACCGAAUUAUUCGGUACAAGAUUCGGUGUGAGCUAUUCAUUGGUUCGAUAAUUUAGAACCGAACUACAAAUCAUAUAUAAAUAUAUUUUUAAUUAUUGGUUAAGAUUAAUUUCAACCAUUGGAUGGUUUCAGAUUAAUUUGGGCCAUUCAUUUGUUUCUCAUCUUUGCCUUCACUCCAACUCUCUCUUAGUCUCUCUUUCUCGAAUUCGAACCUCAGCAGCCACCCACCUACCCUCUCACAAUCUCACUCAAAUUCCUCUAACGAACUCUCUCAACUCCGACCACCACCACACCUCAUAACUUCAUCCUCACCUCACGACCACACUGUCUCCGACUCUUUACCCUCCUCCCUCCACCCCACACAGUCACACGGUCAACCCUCUCUCUCUCUCAUAAUCCUUUCUCUCACAAUUCUCUCUCUAUGACUGUCUCUGAUUCUCUCUUAGUGUGUGGGUUUCGAAUUGGGGCUUUUGCAAUGGGUUUUGAAUUGGGAUUUCUGUGUAGGAUGAGACCAUCAAAUCCUAGCUAUGACUAGAUUUUCCAGUCCUAAUCCGUCAAGAAAUAUUGAAAUUGCAAUUCAAUAUCGCUAUUUAAACUCCCAUCUUGAAAAGGAUCUAUUUGGGAUUUGGGAUCUCAUUUUUAGGCCGAGAUCCCGUACCAAACCAGCCCUAUUGGUCACAAACUUGAGAGAACUUUGGACAUAACUAAAGUAACUAUUUUAGGGAAAUUAACUCCCACAACAUUCUUUAGAGUUAACAACUUUGUUUUGGCAUACUGCUUGGGAAUAGCUUGGUUUUGGCAUACUGGUUGACUCGGAUACCUAUAUUCCUCAAUAAAAAUAAAUAAAAAAUAAAAACCAUCACUUUUGAUUGUAUAAUUAGGGCUGGGCUCGAUUGGCAAAUUGUGCCAAUUUCCUUGUGCCACCUGCCAACCAUAUAUACAUAAUUACUGAAAAUCAGUUACCUCUAGCCAACCAUCUUCUUACAGUUGCCUAAAAUCGGUUCAGCCAAAAUUAUUGGUUGGUCGUAAAUGGCAUAACUGGUGGUUGCAAAUAAGCUACAAAAAAAAACAGCUCAAGACUAUGCACCGACUCGUAAACAACAAACUAGAAAAGGGGAAAAAAAGUUUUUGCCGCUAUUUUUCAAUUGAUGAUAAGCCAAUAUAAUCAUGACUUAAAAAAUUAAAAUGGAAAUCAAAUCAAAACUUAAUAAGCCAACAACAAUUGUCAACAAACAUAAUCCAAAUAGUUAUAAGUUUACAAACUCAAAAGUCUAACUAAUAUAAUUGUCUAAAUUCAAUUGUAGCAACUAAUGCAUAAACAAAAAAAAAAUCAAAACUCAAAAAUAUGGUUCUGGUUAUAAGAUCUCCUUAUAACUAGGGAGGUGUGCGUUGAAGAGAAGAAGACAACUGAGAGAUCAAGGUUGCUCGAAGUCGUGCAAGAGUUAGAAAAAAAAAACUGAACAACCUUUAUUUUUUAAACCCUAAAACUGAGGAGUCAAGCAUGUAAAAAAUACCUAAAAUAUCUAAAUAGAAAAAGAAAUAUAUAUAUAUAUAAUCCAAUAAUUAUAUUGGUCGAUAUGGUAUAUCGCCGGUGUACAAAAUCCAAUAUCAAAAAUAUCUAAAUACCUAAAAUAUCGUCGGUAUAUAAAAUAUUAUAUAUAUAUAUAUAUAUAUAUAUAUAUAUAAUCCAAUAAUUAUAUAUAAAAAAUACCUAAACCAUCUAAAUAGAAAAUAUAUUGGUCGGUAUGGCAUAUUGCCGGUAUACAAAAUCCAAUACCAAAGCCAUACCAUUAAUUGUCAGUUAGGUAUAAAGCCAACCGAUUAUGAAAAAAUGUCAAAACUAUACCAUACCUUUAUGAACCGACCAAUAUGGUUCGGUCGGUAAAAAGUGAUAAGCUUUUAACCUUCGGAAGAAAAUGUUUUUUUUGUAUUCAAUUUUUUUUUUUCACAAACGAUAUUAUCUACACUAAAGGAGACGGGGUGGAUUUAGCCUCACAAUGGACUAACAAUAAUGUGGUUCAAAUUCGCCUUUAGCGAAAAUCGAACCUAAGACCUCUCACUUAUAAAUGAAGAAGAAUACUAUUAAACCGUAGUACAUUAUUUGUUAAAUGAAAUGAAUUUGUAACUUUCAGAAAUGAUGAAUGUAAGUACAUUAUUUGUUAAAAAAAAAUAAAUUCAAGAUACCAAACUGGCCUAAGUUUCUUUUCUAAUAAGAUGUUCAUAUUAACUUGUAAUGUCAGUAUUUGUGACUUUGUAUGAUUUCUUUUCGUGAUUAUGAUCAUUUUUUUAAUAUUUGAUAACAGAAAGUUAAUUUUUUUAUUUGUUAGUGAUUUUUUGUUACAAAAAAAUCAAUUAAAAACACAAUAAAUUCAUCCUUAGAGGCUGAGCUAACAUUGAAUAUCUCAUAAUAUAACGUAAAAGAAAUGCUAAGGAGACUCUCUCAAAAUAAAACUCUCUAUGAACUAUCUAUCAUCUUAUCCCUUUGGCACAAGAAUUGUGCCAAAAAAAUGAAGUGACAGAUAGUUUAUAAAGAGUCUGCUUAGUACUUCUCAUAACGUAAUUAGCCUUUUAGCCAGUAUAAAAGCAAACAACUUGAUUGAGGAUCCUCUUCAGUCCUGUGAUCUUUUAAUCAUGUCCGUUCAUACAUCGUGCAAUUAGAAUUCAUUUAGAAUUUUUUUUAUUUACAAUUAAAUACAAACAGUACUUGACGAAAACUAAUCAUAUGAUGUACGAUUAAAUGACAUAAUUAAAAGAUUUUUGAAAUCCUCACAAAGAUGACCCGCAGAGUAUCCUCGUUCAAACAACUCUUCGUGGGACAGAUUGGUCAAAAUGAUGUCCAAGUAAUAAGUGCAUUGACCGCUUUUGGAACAUUCAAAUAUAAACGCUGCAAUCAUAUGGCUCAUCACGUUUUCAAUCAUGUUUUCAAUCAUGUUUACUGACCAGAAAGAUGCAAUCAUAUGAAGAUCUGAUCGGUGAAAAAUUACCUUUUUUGCUACAAAUUGGGCUUUAUUGCUUGAGAUUUCACAGGCCUGGAUUCAUUCCUUUUGUUGAUUAGGUUUUUAUUGGCUCUCAAACCAAAUACGCAACCAGGCCAUGACCACCCUCUCAGCCCAAUACUGUAGCUAGGCACAAUUAUGUUUUCAUCCUAAUUAGGGAAGAAGAGCGUUGCUCCUCGCACCCAAAAAUUUGAUCAUCAUACUCAGCAAUUUCACAGGCCUGGAACUCCACGCUGCUGACAUAUCGAAGCUGGCCAACAUGCUUGAUGUAGAUUUCCAAAGAGAAUGACCACCAAACGAUGAUCUCCCUACUGAACGUGCCGUCUUCGUUGCCAGUCGAGUCGUCAAAGCCGGAGAGUGCGUUUCUGGAUGCACAGACGAAGUCGGAGAUGUAGGUGUUGAGAAAGCAGGAAGCAAAAGAGGAAGCCGGAGGAGAAGAAAAGUUGGGACUGAAUGAUUCCCAAGCAGAGAAGCAGCCAGCAUGAAGAAAGAGAGAACGGAGACGAACGUGAAUGUGAAUGUAAAUCUGAACAUGAGCAAAGGACAAACGGAGCUGCGCUACCCGAUUCAACAAUCAGGUCAAUACCCGUUCCCGCCAGUUUAGUGAAAGGAAAUAGCCGCACUCCGCAGUUGGGAAGUCAGUAGCAUGGAAUUCUAACGGGUAAGGGAGGGGGCCUCGUGCUGACUACAUCAGCAGUUUACAAACAAAUUGACGGACAAGCAAACAAUGUCUAACAUUGCAACGAAUUUAUAAGUUGAUGUUUGACAUUUCAAUAUUCAAAAGAUACGGUAUGUAUUUGCUAUGUGACCCAAAGUUGAGCUGGUAAAAGUAAUUUGUUAAUCUCAGUUUACUACUCUGAAGUUUAGUGGUUUUCAACAUUUGGUACAUGAAGUUUUUUUCAUCCCAGAGUCAUACCUCAAGUCUUAAUUUUGGGACAGUUUCAUACAUCAGUUAAGUUUUCUGUCAGAACCUCCGUUAACUGAUGGUGUGGCGCCUACAUAGACAAUGACUUGGCGCCACGUGUCAAUUUGGACCCACAUAAAUAUUAAAAAAUUAAAAACUUAAAAAAAAUUAAAAAAAUUAACUUUUUUGGGCAUCCUUCCCCCCUCCUUCCCGACCCAUUACCUUAUUCUCCCUCCCUUCUCUUCCACACACCCACCCAUCUACCCCACUCCCUCCCCCUCCCUUCUAUCCUUAGCACCCACCCAAGUACCUACCCCAACCUUUGUAUGGUACCAACCCCUACCCUAGCUAUCAGUCCCCAAAACAAUAUUUUUUUUUUCUGGGCCGCUCCUCACCCCCACGACCCCCUCCCUCCCUUCUUUCCUUUCUCUCCUUUGCACACACCUCGUGGACCCAGAGAUCUGGAUCGUCGGAGACGUAGUCGGGGCUGCUGACACUACUGGCUCACUCCUUUGUCGACACUUCUUCUUGUGAUGAAUAUCGCAGAGGGUGCGUUUAAUGGAUCUAAGCCUGGUGAAGAGCGACGCCCCUAUGGGUGGGAUGAUUGGAUUGCUGGAGUUUGGGGGUGGAGCAGUGGAUUCUAGCGAGGGAGGGGGCGGUUGUUAACCUGAGCGAGGGAGGGGGGCGGUUGUUAACCUGAGCGAGGAAUGAGGGAAGAUGCGCUGGAGGAGAGACCUGAUCUGGGACUUGGGCUAGUGGAUAAGUGGCGGUGGGUUAGAGAAGAGGUCGUGGGCGGGAGAGCCGGUGAGCUUCUAAACAACGUCGCAGAAGUGGGAGAGAGACAAAGGAAGAAAGGAAGAGGAAGGAAAAAAAAUUGAAUUUUUAACUUUUUAUUUUUUUUUAAUUUUUUAAUAUUUAAGAGAGUCCAAAUUGACACAUGGCGUCAAGUCAUUGUCUAUGUAGACGCCACGUCAUCAGUUAAUGGAGGUUCUGACGGAAAACUUAACGGAUGUACGAAACUGUCUCAAAAUUAAAACUUGAGGUAUGACUCUGGGAUGAAAAAAACUUCAUGAACCAAAUGUUGAAAACCACGAAACAUCAGGGUAGUAAACUGAGAUUAACCAUUUUUUUUUUUAAUGUUUAAAAUUUGGGUGAAGAAGUUGGUCAUGCCAUGUCAUCAUUUAACGACCAAAUUAGGAUUUGAUUUUUGUUCUUGUUCCUGCUCUAACCUCAUUUAUAGAUUUUAUUUUUAGUUUUUCUAAUCAACCUAGAUAACAAGUUAAUUGAAUUUAUCUACUUAUAUGACAAAUUCUUUUUUAUAAUCAAUAUGUAUCACAAUUAAUGUGUUUCGCUUGUAGGUAUAUCUGUUUUUGUAUUUUUUAGUUAGGUUUCACAUCCCGCGUAUAGGUAUUAUACAUUCAUAUAUUUGUUACUUGAAUUAGGAUCAUAUGUUCUCUAGAUUAAUUUAUGUUAAUAUAUUAAUUCUUUGUUAAAAUAUCAUAAGUAGAUUUUUUUUUGUUUUUGAAGAGAAACGAUAAUAAUAAGUAGAUUUAUUGGAUCUCAAAAAAUGCAUGAAAUUAGAAAACUUUUAUUUAUCUCUAAUAUUUUAAAACUAUAAAUAAAUAUAACAGAAAAAAAAAAGUGAAAAAAUUAAUACUGAAUUUAACCUAAUAAUCAUGCUAAUUUUUUUGGCCCAAAACUUAAUGCACAACUUUUAAGUGUGGUCAUCUAGUACUAUGGUUUAAUAGUACUUCUCUUCACUUGUAAGUAGAGGUCUUAUGUGCGAUUCUUGUCAUUGACAAAUUUGAAUCAUAUUAUUGUUAGCCAAAUAUAAGGCUAGGUCGACCAUCUUCCUCUUCAUUUAGAUAAUAUCGUUUAUUUAAAAAAAAAAAAAAAAAAAAAAAAAAAAAGCUUUUAGAUGUGCAUAGCAAGAAGCAUCAUUUAUCCAUUAGAAGGCCCUUUCUAAUUCAAAUCCUUUUUUAUUAGACAAAUCCACAAGCCCACAGAGAAAACUUGCACAACGGGCAGCCUCUAACCCCGUCCCGUUUGCUUCAUAACUUAUCCACCCAAUAGUUGGACGCCACGUACCCAAUUCCACAACGGACGCUGCUGCCUCCGUUUGCUUGGAAACCACACUAGCUAAAGGCGGUUCCUCCUUUAGCAGCCAGAUAUAAAUACAACACCCCAUCGCUCUCUCUGCGAAUAAGCUUUCGACUUGCUUUCUUCGCGAUCAGAGGUACGUGCAGGUUCUGAAUCUUCGCUUUUUAUUCAAUCUUUUAUCACCUAAUAUUAAUCUUAAUUGUUUUGCCAGAAAUCUUUACUUUUCUUUUCUUAAUUUUUCGAAUCAGAAAUGUUUUUGCUGUGAUCAUUAGCAUCUUUACUGAAAUAAAUCUACGUUUAGCUUAAUUUUGAAUUGUUAAUAUUUCUGCCCUGAUUGUUUUACCCGUUGUUGUACGGUGGACUGGUAUGUUUUCCGGUGGUAGUUUCACCGUGGCAUUUCGUCAAACACUUGGUGUGCGGUUUCUGUAUUCAUAAUUGUGUAGCUCAAACAUACUUUCCUCAUAUUUUAUGUGGUAAAUUUUGUGCAAUUAUUAUGUUUUGUAAUCAGACAAUCAAUAUGGACCGUAAAUUCAACAAAAAUACUGUCUGAUGUUAUGAUAUCAUGGGUAUUGGUUUUUAAGUAAUCUUAAUUAUGUGAUCGGUGAGGGAAAAUGAUUGUGCUUGAUCUGAAUAAGUUGAAGAACUCUUUGCCUUUACAUGGACGUGCUCCUUUUUUAAAAAUUUGGGAAAGAGAUGUCCCUGCUGCACAGAUGUGAUUGUAGAGGUUGUGGGAUAUUUGGGGUCUAAAACAAUAAUCAACCUUUGAAUCUCAUAUUAGUGCGAGCGUAAGAAGAUAAAACGAACUAGCCCACAGAAAAAGUUAACUUUUUGGAAGCUUUUAUUUUACAUUGGUCAUUAGAGAGAGACAUAUAACUCGAGUGGUAGCAAUUAGGGUUCUGAGGCCAUCUGUGAAUGCUUUCGUGGUACUUUUAUAUUCUUAUGUAAUAUUUACUUGAAAUUUGUUUGUUCCUAAUUUAUUUCCCCCCCACAUUUAUCUGUUGUUUGCACAAAAUAUCAAUACAUUCUUUCCAAAUUGUUUGUUAUGCCAAUAUAUGGAUCCAGCUGCUCUGAUUCUGAUUGGUUACAACUGAAAAGUUUGAAUCAGUGUGCUUUCUGUUUGUAUUUCGUUCUGUCUUGUAUGUUUCUGGCACAUAAUUAUGAACCAGUUAUUGCAUUUAUGGUGUGCUUUUAAGAAUUGAUUGGCGUUGGUUCUGCUUCAGUUUUCUACCCUGAAUAUUGAUGGUAUAACUGAAUUUGUUGAAGUGACUUGCUAUGACUAGUCCUUGGAUUUAGUUUGAAAUGGAUCGGUUUGCAUUAUUUUGAAUUUGAAGGCCAUCUGUCGUCUGUCUAGAUCUUUUAUAACGAAUGACUAGCGUAUCAGGUGCUACUGACAAUGGAAUCACAGAAAACUCAACAUGAGCCAUCACCGGCUGCUGCAAACCCAGCCGCCACUUCAUGUCGAAAGAAGAAGAACGAACAAGCCACUUUCUUGGAGGAUUUGAAGGAUCAUAUUGAUGAUUUUGUAAAUGCAUCUAUGGAUGAACACAAAACUUGCUUCAAGAAGACCAUGAACAAGGUUUGUUCCCAGUUCAAAUUUAAUGCUAAUACAACCUAUCUGCAACUUUUUUCGUUGCUCAAUCGGUUUGCUUCUGUUUCUGAUUCAAUAAUUUGCAUUUGUUUUCAGAUGUUUGGAAUGUCAAAGAUCGUCUCUAAGAGGAGUGCUGACACCAAGGAAGUUGAGAGUACUCUGCCCCUUCAAACCACAGUGGCAAAAUAGGACAUCUUCUCUUGCGUAUUAUAGGCAUAUAUCUUGAGAACCAAACUUUGCUCCUGGCCUUAACCAAUUAGAUUUUUGUGAUGUGUAAUUUGUUAAAAUUGUGGUACUGCACUGUCAUUUUUACCAGUACGAAAACUUGAGUUUGUAGGUUAAGUGGCGACUAUUAUGAACUCGAUUACAUAGUGUCAACAACGAUGUUACUUCUCGUGAUUUACUCUUUUGCUAUUCGGGUAGUUUUUAGUAUGUAGUAUGAGAUUGCACAGGAGUGCAUUUGUAUAGCGAACUAUGGUUUUGGUCCUUAUAAUUCGGACGAAGUUCCAUAUUUGUUCUAUUAGUUUCAGUUACCGCAAUUUAAACUCCAUGGUUUACGUACUGUUGUACCUCAAGGACAAAGGCACAACUCCAAUUAUUUUAAUUGAAUUAGCAUGUAAGGGUCGAUUGAACCUGUUGGAGGUGUGGAAUCCCCAUGCACCUGCUUGGCUUGACGUGCUAAUUACUUUGAAAUAGUGACGAAACACCCAAUGUUCUUGAAUUGCAGCACGUAUAAACCAAGUGAUCUAAUUGCGAUGAGUGAAAAAUGGAACUUCACACAAGCUACAAGGACCAAACUCAUACCAUUUGUAAGCUGUGCUUCGGGGAAGUUUUGGUCUAUGGUUGGCCUCUAUGGUGUUGGAUGUCAGUUGUUCGAGUCCGCUUGCCUUCAAACACAAGCAGACACUAGAUAUUGUGGACAACCCUGAGGGCCGAGACCCGUCGAUGUUUUGAAUCUCCGUCAAUAUAGCUUUGGCUGAUUCAGGUAAGGACAAAAACAUCACUUGAUCUCUAAUUCAAGUAAGAACUACAUCAAAUGGUCCAAAUGGUUAAUUUAGGUCAAUUGGUUUUCAAGGCUCGUGAAACUUGUAAUGGAACGAGAACAACAUCUGACCAAUUGUGAUUAUAAAUAUACGAGGCAAAUAAUUAUCUCAUUGGUUGUAAUUCUAAAAUGUCUCCUUGAAUCCAAUCAUUUCAGUUUAUUUUAAUCUAUGCAAAAAAUUAACUAAAAUCGGAAUGGUCUAGCUAUCUAAUGUUAUCCAAUAAAUAGAUGGACAAUGUUUCUCACUCAAACACUGAAAUUGUGAUAACGUUAAUUAAAUGGUUAAACGAUUUUUUUUAUUUAGUUGACCUUUGCAGACUUAAUCCUUAAAGAGUGAUCUAAAAGUAGACAGUUUCCAUCAUUAAGCAACAUUGUAGAGUAAGAGAAAAACUGAAAAGAUAAAAAUGAGAAAGUUGAAGUGAAAAAUUUGCUAGCGUCCCCAUAUAUCAAUGUCAGUGAAAUAAUAGAAAUGUAUUUUAAUGGAAACACAUAUAUGAAGCUUUUGUAUAAUAUAUAUAUAUAUAUAUAUAUAUAUAUAUAUAUAUGUGUGUGUGUGUGUGUGUGUGUGUGUGUGUGAAGCUUUAGGGCCUAUUCAUUAACAUUUUGAAAAAAAAAAUCGUUUUAUGAAUACAAAAAGGAGUGAAAAAUGUGUUUGGCAUUAUAUUUUGUGAAAAUAAACUCAGAAAAUAAUAGAACAUCAAAUUGAUGUUUCAAUUUUUUUUUUUUAAGAAAAAUAUUAUACAAUAAAGUAUACAUUAUUAAAAAAAAAAUAGAGUUUUGAUUAAAAAAAAUUCCUAUAGGUAUGCCACCAUUAUCGUCAUUAUUGCCACCACUACCACAACAUCCUUCAUGGUCUAACCACCAUCACUAUCAACGCCACCAUCUUUGACACUACUACCUCCCACCACCAUCAUAUUAUCCACUGUCAUCACUCCUGCCCCCAUGGGCAUCACCACCUCCACCAUCUCACCGUUGCGGCCACCGCCACCAUCACCACCACCUUCUACCACCAUCACCUCACUCUCCACCAUAUUUACCCUCACCAUGGCCUCCAUCAAUUCCACCAUCUCUACCACCAUCAUCCCGGCCACCAUCUAUCAACCACCAUAUUCACAAUCAUCCUUCAUAAUCACUGUUAACACAACUAUUAUUUGCCACUAUUGUACCCAACACCGCCACCACCACCACCAUCACUUCAUCCACCAUUGCCCCUUACCACACUAUUGCCACCUCCUAUAUUCCUCCACUACUAAAUCUCCAUUGUCACCACUACUACCACCACACCAACUACUAUUGCUACCAACAUCACUUUCAUCGUCUCAACCACCAUCACUAUUAAACACGAAUUUAUAUUGUUUUGACAUUUUUUAUAUUAGUUCCAAACACGAUUUCAAUGUUUUCAUUUUUUAAAAUCAUUCUUGGAUUAAACUAUCAGACUCAUUCUCAUAUCAUAGAAAUGCAAAAUUGUAUUUGUUGUUUUUGUUUUACAAAAUAGCUCCUCAAAAAUUGUUUUGUAAACCGAUACUGGACGAACCCUUAGUGUUUUUUUUUUUUUUUUUGCUAUAAGAAGAAUGUACCAAAUAGUAGAUCUUUGAGGGAAAAACCGCUUGUGAAAAAAACCCUAGUGCUUCAAUUGUGAGAAAACCCUAGUGCACCCACUCCCUUUAGGUCUGUGGGAAAGCGGUAACCCUCCCCUUCGCUCUUGCUUCCUCCAUGCUUCCCACUUGCUUACUUCUCUCCCUUUCUCGUCAUCUCUCCCAUAUCUUCCUCUUUCUUCUCUCUCUUGCCUUCUUUCCUUACUGGUUAUACUACUUCAUCUUUCACUAAUGGUAACUUGCCCCAUCUUUCCAAAUAUGGUGGCAUGGCCCAUUUAUCCACUGAUGGUGGGUCGCCUCAAUUACCGAUUUUUGGUGAUGGUGGGCUUAAGAUCGACCUAUAUUGGGCUUUUGAUCCGUCUCCUUUCAGUUUUCGCUCAUCUAUUGGAGAUUUUCGUUAUACUGCACCAAAUCCAAAUUAGCCCCAAAGACAUAUAAAAUCCCUAAUCUUUACACAUUACUAAGCAUAACUGCUAGAACGACGAAGGGACAGCGGUCACGCAAAGGCAAAUACGAUCGUUGGAAACAUUGGGCGGCGAAGAAGACGUCACACAAAGCUUGUGACAUCAGACAUUGCACGACGAAGGAAAGUGCUUUGUUGCAUGAAAUGAAUGUUACGCGACGGAUUUGGUGGUCUCUGCUCGAAACAAAGAGCGAAGUAUGAGUGUUCGUUGCGCAUGAUACUUUGAGCGACGAAACUAGGGUUCGACCACUAGACCCUUGCACGACGGACAUAAGUUGCAGUAAGAUUUUAAAAUUAAUUUUUUUUAAAUUAAUUUUAUUGUUGUAGACUUAUUUGAUUGAACGAUCUUAGGUUUUAGAGAGAGAGAGGACCGGCGGCAAUUAGAGAGAAAUGAGAGAGUGAUUUAAUUGUGAUGUGUGUUUGUAUCACCCCAUUGUGCCUUUAUUUAUAAUAGUAUGAUAAGUAAAAACCUUUCCCUUUAGGAUUACAACAUAUAAUAGGUAAUCAACUCCUAAUAAGAAUAUAAGAUACAUUCUCAUAUAUACUAGGAUUUACACAAUCAUAUUCCUAUUCUAAAUAUGACUACAACACUCCCUCUUGAGUGUGUAAAUACUCAACAAACUAUCGUACAAGAUCUUUGGCAGAUAAGGUAGAAUAGUUGAUGAAGUUAUCAGCACAACGGGUGAACGCGAGUCUCAAAUUUAAGAAAGUAUGCAUUUGUAGUAAAACUCACAAAACCUCGCUGUGGUAAAACUCAAGGCAUAGGGAAAACCCAUAGACUAAGGAGAAAAGUGAGAAAAAUACAUAAUGUCUAAAACAAAUGUCAAACAGAACGAAAGUAGUGAACUCAAUAGAGUAUGAUCAUCCCAUGAUUGGUGCCUCGUUAAAACCUCGUUAAGUAGCAAAAACACAGUGGGAAAAAUUGAUGCGAAAAUUAACUUAACACACAAAUUAAACCCUCUUGUUGUCAAAUUGUAGUACAAAUGCAAGUACGGAUCGUUCUAAACCGGGGAUUAGAAGGGCUUGCUAAAACCUCUAAACUGACUUAAAAACAUAUAAACAAAGUUAAAAACACUAAACUAGACUCAAAGAACUUAAAACAAACUCAAAGGACUCAAAACAAGCUAAAAACGCUCAAAUCUAUCUAAAAACACAAACUGGGCAGAUUUGGACUCUAACACACUUUUGGGACACCUAAAAACACAAAUCAAAACAGAUUUUGACUAAUAAAACACUUUAAAGUAAAUGGGGUUUUGGUUUUGACGAAUUUGAAAACAAAACAAGUAAAUUAAAGAACUAAUGAAAUCUGCACGAAUUUGAGUAAAUUGAAUGGAUGGAAGGCUAGCUAGGAGGUUCUUCUCCACACAUGACAUACUUGCACAUAAACCAAUUUUCAGUUGUUCUUUCGAUCAAUCAUGAAACUCAACACCCCAGGUUAAUUAAGUCCGCUUAAAUUAAUCUUCAAGUUCUCCUUAAGUUAUUGAAUUGGAUGGGAAAGCGCAUACAACAAUUCAAGCAUUCUUCAAAAGUUCUUUACGUGAACAACACAAUAAAGAUACAAUCAAAGAUCAUUAAGCAUUAUGAAAACUAUAAGUAUUGACGAGGCAUUCAUUACUAUGAUGAGCAUGAAACUUCUGCCAAGAAUUUAUUUAACGCGAUCGUUUAUAAGCGACCUCCACUACUUGUGAAUAUAAGUUUGUAACUAUUAGGUGAAACUCCCUUAUACUCUAGCAUCAUAUUCAUGCAUGCAAACUAAGUGUGCACUCUUAAUAAACAUACAGGAAUAAGUUAUCAAUCAAGCAGUUAAACAAAUUGAAUUCACAACUUAUGAAAGCACAACUGAAGGUAAUUAAAUCAUAUUGCAAGCAUGAACAUGGUUUCGAAUUCCCCCCUAGCUAAAGGGGGUUUAGUUCCUCAUACUCACAAAGAAAAGAUAAACAAAUUUAGACAUUAAAAAAAAGAAUGAAAACACCUAAAAACGCUCCAACAAUCCAACUUGAAUGGCAAGCACGUCCAAGGGUCCUCCUUUUUCUUUUUGUUGCGGCACAAGGUGUGGUUUGAUGGAUAAGUGGUAAAUUAUGGUGGUGGAUGGAUAUAGGUGAGUUAUGGUGAAGGGUGGAUGGGUGGAUUGUGUUCUCUCGGCCAAGGAAUGAAAGUGUAAGUGUAUGGAGUUGUGAGAUGUGAAUGUAGUGUCUUUUGAUGGAUCUUUUUCUCCCUCCCUUGUUAUGGUGAAGGGUGGAUGUAUUUAUAGGCUAGGGAGAGGACUACCAUCUAAUUAAGGUGGUAGUGGUGUAUGUUGUGGUAAUGAGUGGAUGUAAUGGGUGUAGUGGGUGAAUGUUUGGUAAUGAGUGGGUGUAAUGGGUGUAAUGGAUGGAUGUUUGGUAAUGAGUGGAUGUAAUGGGUGUAGUGGGUGAGUGUUUGGUAAUGAGUGGAUGUAAUGGGUGUAGUGGAUUGAUGUUUGGUAAUUGUAGGUCAACACACUUGCACACAAGCAUGCUGAUUUCUAGCCUUCAAAUCUUCAAAAACGUCCAUCCUCAUGUCUCCAUGCUUGCACUGUUCAAUUUUGGCCCAAAAAUGCUCCAAAAUUCUCCAAAUAGCACUUUGUUGCUAACUUUGUUAUUUGAACCUACAAACACACGAAAAUAGCUUAAAGUACUAAAAUAACUAGAAUUAAACUAAGUAAAUGCCAAGAAACAAACUAACUAAGUUGCAUAAAUAUGCUCCUAUCAAAUUCCCCCACACUUAGCUUUUGCUAGUCCUCGAGCAAAACAAAAGAAACAAAAUGAAACAAAACAAACAAAACACAACCUAACCUUCCAAUAUUUGCCUCAGGGAUUUCCAAUGCACAUGACAUGUUAAAAAUUACCAUUCCCACAGAUUUUGGUUAUCUUCACACUUGAGCACAAACUUAAUCACGGUCACUACUUACUAGUUCAAAAUUAACUAAUUAAAACAAUGUUUUGGAUGUAGUAACAUGCCUUAGAGAAUUUGCUCAAUUCCUUACAAGAUACUCUUUAUUUUCACACACAUUUUCUGACUGCACCCUACACUAAAAACUAGGACUCACAUAUGUUAUAACAAAGGAAGCAAUUUUCUGGAGUUAUUAAGCAUGUUUAGAUAUGAUCUCAUGAAUGGUAUGCUACUACUUAGAUGCGAGAACUAGUGACACCAUAUGCUCAUACCAAUUUCAAACUCCACAAAUUGAAAUGCACAACACUCAAGAUUGAAGUCAAGGGUUGUAACAUGGCUUGGGGGUAAUGGCUAACAAAGAAAGGAUAUGAAUAACAAACGUUUUUAAAGCGAUAGCAAGCAAAACAAUGAAAUAGACACUUGGAAUUCACUUUAGAAUGCAAAAUCAACUUUUACAUACAAAGGGAAGAUGCAUGCAACACUUAGGGCUGAAUUCAAUGUUUUGGACCCUUUUUUAACAAACAACACUUUAGAGCUCUUUUUCAUACUUUUUUUUUCUCUACCCGUGCCUUAUAAGGACUUUGGCACACACAGACACAAGAAUCACUUCCCCCCACACUUGCUUUCUACAAUACAUUGAUAAAAAAGGAGUUCAUUUUAGGUCAUACUUUACUAUGCUUCAAGAACAAGGGUAUGGAUGAUCCUAAAACUAGGCUAGGUAAGGAUAGUGUGGGUUAACAAAGAACAUAGGCUUAACAAGGCUCAACGAGGUUAAACUUAAACACAUAAUGAAAUAGGGGCACGACAAUUUAGCUUUGGUGGUCACUACACAACUUCAUCUUGAAUAUGUGUUAUGCAAAUCAAUAGCAUGCUUUGAAUGAAAUAGGCAUGAGUUUUAGCAUUUGGAACUAAAUGAUGAAACGCCUUCUAAGUAGCAACCAAGCAAAGAAUAAUGAGAUCAUGCAACGACUUUAGAAAACAAUGAUGCACAGAUUAUUAACUCUCCGAAUAAACGUCUAGGCUCAAGUCUCACAAGGUUGUAGCGUUCAUUUGAGUUCCUUCCUUCAAGCAUGUUACAAAAACUGAUUUUUCCUUUAUGAUUGCAUGUGAAUUCAUAAAUUAUAACCACAACCAAGCAUACACCAAAGAGUAAAUCAAUUUUCAUCCAUGUUUAUAACUCUCUUUAACAAUCAUGUAAUUAAAAACCAAAUCCUCAUCAUUGUGUUGGAAGGUACCAUAAGACACAAAUAAACACACAAAAACAACUCUUUUUGGGUUUUUCAAAACAAUUUUUUUUUCCAAAUUUUUAUGAGAUUUUCGGAUUUUUAUGUCAAAACACAAUAAAACACUCCUAAAUAGCUUAAAAACACUUAAAAACAGCAAGGAACAACACUGGAAGUAAUGGGUGAUAAACUCCUACGAAUUUCAUGCAAAACAACUUGGUUACCCCCCCCCCCACAAUCAAACAUUGUCCUCAAUGUUUCAAGCAUAAACUCACAUAAAAACAAGCAAACAAACAAACAACGAAUAAACAUGACAAGUAUGGUAAAGUAAAAACCAGACAAAGUAGAGUUUAAUAACGUAAAUCUGGUUUUGGAGAUAGAUGAUCUUGGCGACUUUCCACAGCUUUGAUCUCAAACUGGUUUGGAAUUCUGAGCGAGGAAUAUGAGAGUUCCUUGGUUUCAAAUCAGACUCCUUCUGUUGGGUUGAUUUGAUUGUGCAGUCUGCAUUCUUCUCUGCUUGUUUCUUCUGCACGGCAGGCAGGUAAGAGGUUGAGGUGUUGGUCUAUUUCUUUCUUCAAUCUUUCCAAGUGCCCACCUCUUGCUUUCUUUCUCCUUGUCCCUAGCUGAGGAUGAAUUGGCAAAUUGUCUCCACAUGCUUCAAGGUAUCAUUUUCACUUCCCUUAUUUGUUCCCCAGGCAGAUAUGGUAGACGAAGAGGAAGCAUAAGAUGAUGAAGAUGAGUACUCGAGAGCAAGGCUAGGUAAGCAAUCAGGAAGGGGUUCCAGGCAGUCGGUUCCAGAUCGGAAGAUUGAUACCAAGUGCUAGCUGAUUGCUCUCUUUCUCCUUGUCCUAAAACAAUGACAAGGAGAAGAACAGGGAGAAAGCAUGAUAUGAGAUACUCUUGCUUUCAACCUUUAUGAUAUGAAAUACUUUUGCUUUGGAUGAGUUGUUUGCAGAGGUACCCCAAGGAAUAAGGAACACUGAGUGACUCAAGAGGGUUUGUUGGAAAGGCAUUCUCGGAGAAGAAGAAGGGUUAUGUAUGUCUGUCUUGCAAUGGAGGGUGAAGGGUGACAUUUAUAGGAAUUAAUAACCAGUACUAUUUUUUCACUCUUGUCAGCAACCGUUGGAUGAUUUAAUAGUAAACUUCAGGUGCUUUAUACUUCACAAGAGAUCUUCGACAGAUUGCCCGUAAUUUCUGCAAGGCUGAGUGUGCAUGUGAUAGGUGCUGACACGUCUGGAAAAGUAAGUGCCUCUUCGAUAUCUGGAAUCGGCGAUUCGACAAACUACCCGUGAUUUUCGUAGAGCUGACUCUGUAUGUGACAGAUGCUGACACGUCUGGAAAAGCAGAUGCCUCUCCGAUAUCUGGAAUUGGUGCUUCGACAAACUGCCCGUGAUUUCUGCAAAGCUGACUUUGCAUGUGAUAGAUGCUAACAUGUCUGGAAAAGCAGAUGCCUCUCCGAUAUCUGAGUUUGCCUCUUCGAUCUCUGAAAUCCCGUCGAGUGCAGAGGUUGCAUGUGACAAGUGGGGACAAAUCUGGAAAAAAAAAUUGGCCGUGGUUUCUGAGCAGGCCCAGCUUUUGAGAAAGCUAGCACCUCUUUGAUUUUUGAGUUGGCCUCUUCGAUUUCUGAGCUCGCCUCUUUGAUCUCUGAAAUCCCUUCGAGUGUUUAUUUUUAUAGAGGUACGCAGGACGUUCAAAGCACACUUGAAUUUUUGCCUGUAGAAACUCCCUUCUUGGACUUCUACGAUCUUCACUUGUUCGACCUCUUCUUUCUUUAACACCUCUGAAAAUGUCUGGCCCAUCCGACCGUCGUUUUGACUUGAACCUUGGUGAAGAGGCAGUCCCGCCUUCUCCAGACAACAUAUGGCGCCCAUCCUUCAUAUCCCCUACUGGUCCCCUUACCAUCGGGGAUUCGGUGAUGAAGAAUGAUAUGACAGCUGCGGUGGUGGCCAGGAACCUUGCCACUCCCAAAGAUAACAGACUACUUGCCAAACGGUCUAAUGAGUUGGCUGUUAAAGAUUCUUUGGCUUUUAGUGUGCAGUGUGCAGGUUAUGUGUCUAAUAUGGCCCAACGCCUAUUUGCUCGAACCCGUCAAGUUGAAUCAUUGGCGGCUGAAGUGAUGAGUCACAAACAGGAGAUUAGAGGGCUCAAGCAUGAGAAUAAACAGUUGCACAUGCUCGCACAUAACUAUGCUACAAACAUGAAGAGGAAGAUUGACCAGAUGCAGGAAUCUGAUGGUCAGAUUUUACUUGAUCAUCAGAGGUUUGUGGGUUUGUUCCAACAGCAUUUGCCUUCGUCUUCUGGGGUUGUACCGCGUAAUGAAGCUCCAAAUGAUCAACCUCCGAUGCUUCCUCCUUCUGGGGCUCCGCCGACUGCUGAGGCUCCGCCGACUACUGAGACUUCUCCUAAGCAGCCUUUGUGAAGACUCCCUCUUGUAGUUUUUUUCUGCUUAAUGUUCCUUUUUUUUAUGAAAAUGAAUGUAAAAAUACCUUGCAUAACUGUCAAUGUUUUAAAAAUAAACCCACACCAAAAACAAUUAAACAAGCAACAAAUAAAAAUGAAAAUCAUGGCAAAAUAAAACUACAGAAAAGGGAAGGUUUUAGGAAUGCAAAACCAAUCGUGGAGCAAUUCAAAAAUCUUCCUUAUUUGAAUACGUGGGUUGCCUCCCAAGAAGCGCUUGUUUAACGUCUUCCAGCCGGAUGAAACUUCCUUCUAAACUUGGAUAGAGCCCAUAGCAUGGAAUUGAUCCUUGAAUGGACGGUGAUACUUGACGUGAUCCGGCAAUGGUUUAAAUUCUAGUGUAGGUGCCUGAAUCAGCAAGUUGGAGAAGAUGGCUUACUUGCUUGCUCCAACAUAAACUCAAUUACGAACACCACAUGUUUGAAGGUUGCAGAGAUAUGGGACUUGGCCAGAUUUGGUGUUUUAAGAGUUAUGACUUGUCCCGUGUCAUAAAAUCCAACUUCUUUGGGAAUUUUCGUCUCAAGUGUAUCUUCUUUGAUGAAUUCUAGACAUUCCCCAUCCACUUCUUGCUCUUGAUUCGUUGGAAAGGUUUCGAAGAUGCCUUUCUCACCCUCUUAUUCCUUGGAUUGCAUAAUCCUGCAAGGAAUAAGGACAUUUGGUGAAACGGGGCCAGGACAAAUUGAAUUUAGGCUUACCUUGGUUGUGGUGGACGGCAUAGAGGGUAUAUGGGGCUGCAGCAAGGGUGGUUCUUCCCUUGCUGUGGCCUUGUUAUUCUCCUCUUCUUCGAGCAGCAGUUGUUCAUCCAUGUUUUGGCUUGGUUUGGAUGUCUUGGGUUCACCUCCAACCUCCAUAGCACUUGCCAAAGUGAUAGCAUCAUGGAUUUCAAAAUCUUCCUUCAAAUUUUCAAUAGUUGAGUUGGAGAGUUCACUUUGCUCUUGAAUUUGUGCCAUGAACUCCAUAAUCUGCCCAAUUUGCUUCUCCAAUUCACCCAUCUUCUUGGCUUGAUUUUGCAUCUCUUUAUUUCCAUUUUCUACUUCCUGGUUCAAAGAGGUGAGUAACUUAUUAAACAUAUCAUUAUCUAAAGACGUACCUGAAUUGAAUUGGGUAGAUUGUUGUGGUGGCUGCAUAGGUCUUGAAUAGAACUCCUCUUCUUGCUACCAAUACCCAUCUUGUUGGAAUUGUUGAGGUUUUCCCCGCAUGUAAUCUGAAUAAUCUCUCCAAUCUAAAUUGUAAGCGUUGGAAAACAUGUCAUCCCAUGAUUGGCUAUGACCUUGAUAACCCCAAACAUCUUCAUUCGCAGCGAAUUGAGAACAUUGAUGAGUUGGAUAUCCUUGCCCAUAGGACACACCGUAUGUAGGGACACUUUGCAUUGUGGUCCCUUCGGCAUAUUGUGACAAUUGAGAAGUAAGUUUCGCCAAUUGAGCUUGAAUGGUAGCAAAAUCCAUGUCUUACUUCUCUAGUACCUAAAAUCAAAGAAACAAAACUAAAUCAAAUAUCAUAAGUAAAAAUAAAAGACACAAAUAGAAACAAAGUCAGUAACUAAAACAAAAGACAUGAAAAGAAACAUCGGGGGAUUAGCAAAGUUGCUAAUCCCCGGCAACGGCGCCAAAAAUUUGAUGCGAAAAUUAACUUAACACACAAAUUAAACCCUCUUGUUGUCAAAUUGUAGUAUAAAUGCAAGUAGGGAUCGUUCUAAACCGGGGAUUAGGAGGGCUUGCUAAAACCUCUAAACUGACUUAAAAACAUAUAAACAAAGUUAAAAAUACUAAACUAGACUCAAAGAACUUAAAACAAACUCAAAGGACUCAAAACAAGCUAAAAACGCUCAAAUCUACCUAAAAACACAAACUGGGCAGAUUUGGACUCUAACACACUUUUGGGACACCUAAAAACACAAAUCAAAACAGAUUUUGACUAAUAAAACACUUUAAAGUAAAGGGGGUUUUGGUUUUGACGAAUUUGAAAACAAAACAAGUAAAUUAAAGAACUAAUGAAAUCGGCACGAAUUUGAGUAAAUUGAAUGGAUGGAAGGCUAGCUAGGAGGUUCUUCUCCACACAUGACAUACUUGCACAUAAACCAAUUUUCAGUUGUUCUUUCGAUCAAUCAUGAAACUCAACACCCCAGGUUAAUUAAGUCCGCUUAAAUUAAUCUUCAAGUUCUCCUUAAGUUAUUGAAUUGGAUGGGAAAGCGCAUACAACAAUUCAAGCAUUCUUCAAAAGUUCUUUACGUGAACAGCACAAUAAAGAUACAAUCAAAGAUCAUUAAGCAUUAUGAAAACUAUAAGUAUUGACGAGGCAUUCGUUACUAUGAUGAGCAUGAAACUCCUGCCAAGAAUUUAUUUAACGCGAUCGUUUAUAAGCAACCUCUACUACUUGUGAAUAUAAGUUUGUAACUAUUAGGUGAAACUCCCUUAUACUCUAGCAUCAUAUUCAUGCAUUCAAACUAAGUGUACACUCUUAAUAACCAUACAAGAAUAAGUUAUCAAUCAAGCAGUUAAACAAAUUGAAUUCACAACUUAUGAAAUCACAACUGAAGGGAAUCAAAUCAUAUUGCAAGCAUGAACAUGGUUUCGAAUUCCCCCCUAGCUAAGGGGGGUUUAGUUCCUCAUACUCACAAAGCAAAGAUAAACAAAUUUAGACAUUCAAAACAAAAGAAUGAAAACACCUAAAAAUGCUCCAACAAUCCAACUUGAAUGGCAAGCAUGUCUAAGGGUCCUCCUUCUUCUCUUUGUUGCGGCACAAGGUGUGGUUUGAUGGAUAAGUAGUAAAUUAUGGUGGUGGAUGGAUAUAGGUGAGUUAUGGUGAAGGGUGGAUGGGUGGAUUGUGUUCUCUCGGCCAAGGAAUGAAAGUGUAAGUGUAUGGAGUUGUGAGAUGUGAAUGUACUAUCUUUUGAUGGAUCUUUUUCUCCCUCCCUUGUUAUGGUGAAGGGUGGAUGUAUUUAUAGGCUAGGGAGAGGACCACCAUCUAAUUAAGGUGGUAGUGGUGUAUGUUGUGGUAAUGAGUUGAUGUAAUGGGUGUAGUGGGUGAGUGUUUGGUAAUGAGUGGAUGUAAUGUGUGUAGUGGAUGGAUGUUUGGUAAUGAGUGGAUGUAAUGGGUGUACUGGGUGAGUGUUGUGGUAAUGAGUGGAUGUAAUGGGUGUAGUGGAUGGAUGUUUGGUAAUUGUAGGUCAACACACUUGCACACAAAUAUGCUGAUUUCUAGCCUUCAAAUCUUCAAAAACGUCCAUCCUCAUGUCUCCAUGCUUGCACUGUUCAAUUUUGGCCCAAAAAUGCUCCAAAAUGCUCCAAAUAGCACUUUGUUGCUAACUUUGUUAUUUGAACCUACAAACACACGAAAAUAGCUUAAAGUACUAAAAGAACUAGAAUUAAACUAAGUAAAUGUCAAGAAACAAGCUAACUAAGUUGCAUAAAUAUGCUCCUAUAAAAAAUGCUCCUAAUCGUAGGAAAAAGAGUACAUUAAGAUCAUGUGAGUAUGCUUCUAGAUACUCCCCUUGAGUUAGAUAUAACUUCUAAAUAAGAGAACUACAAGUGAUUCAACUCAGAUAAUUUACGCAUAUCGAUUCCUUAUACGAGCUUUUGAAAAGUAGACUUGGGGCAAUGACUUGGUGAAGAGAUCGGCCAGGUUGUCCUGGGAAUGGAUUUUCUUAACUUCAAUGUUCUGAUGCUAUUGCUACUGGUGUGAGUAAAAGAACUUCGAUGCUAUAUGCUUGGUGUUAUCUCCCUUGAUGUAUCAUUUCUUUAAUUGCUCGAUACAUGCUGCAUUGUCUUCAGAGAUCGUCGUAGGAAGGUUAAUGACUGAUGUAAGACCAAUAGUGCUUCGAAUAUGCUCCAUAACUUCCCUUAGCCAAAAGCAUUCACACAAUGCUUCAUGUAGGGCGAGAAUCUCAACAUGGUUUGAUGAAGUCGUAACUAGCAUUUGCUAGGUAGAGCUCCAAGAUAUAGCAGUGUCUCCAAUGGUAAAGAUAUAACCAUUUGAGAACGUGCCCUAUAUAGGUCAGACAAACAUCCAGCAUCUGCGUAAUCAACAAGGCGAGAAUCAAUCUGAGAACCAUAGGGGGCGGUAACACUCAAGGAUUCGUGGGUAUAGAACAAGCCCAAAUCCGUAGUACCCUUGAGGUAGCAAAAAAUAUCUUUAACACCAUUUUAGUGCCUGCGUGUGGGCGCAUUGUUGUAUCUUGCCAAAAGAUUAAAAUUGAAGAAGAUGUCGGGUUUAGUGCAUUGAGCCAAGUACAAUAAAGCCCCAAUUACACUUAGGUAUGGAACUUCAUGUUCCAAAAUCACUUCCUCAUCUUCUUUUGGAUGGAAUGGAUCUCAUUUAGCAUCUAGAGUCCGAAUGACAAUAAGUGUACUCAAAUGCUUCGUUUGAUCCUCAUUAAAACAUCACACCACCUUUGAGGUGUAUUUCGAUUGAUGUACUAGGAUUCCAUCCGAACAAUACUCGAUCUCCAGGUUGAGACAGUAUCGAGUUUAACCAAGAUCAUUCAUCUCAAAUUUCGAUUUCAAGUGUGAAGCAAUUUCCUCAAGCUCUGCGGGAGGCUCGAUGAGGUUUAUGUCAUCGAUGUAAACUGCAACAAUUGCAAAUCCAGAAUGUGACUUCUUUAUGAACAUGCAUGGGCAUAAUUCGUUGUUCACAUAACCUUGACUUGUCAAAUAUUCACUCAAACGGUUAUACCACAUCUGCCUGGAUUGUUUCAAUUUGUAGAGUGACCUCUUCAACCUAAUUGAGAGUGUUCCGUAGUCUGGAACUAUUUGAACCAGUCAAUGGAAGUCAUUCUGGAACUUUCAUGUAUAUUUUUGUAUCUAGAUCCCCAUAGAGAUACGUGGUUACCACGUCCAUAAGGUGUCUAUUCAGUUUUUUAGAACCUACCAAGGUAAUGGAAUGUUAUAACAUCCAUUACAGGGGAAUACGUCUCCUUAUAAUCAAUCCCAAGGCGCUAAGAAAAGCCUUACGCUACGAGGCGUGCUUUGUAUCGCACUAUUUCAUUCUUCUCAUUACGCUUUCUCACGAAAAUCCACUUGUAGCCAAUGGCUUCAAGUGUGGUGGUGUAGGAAUGAUAGGUCCAAACACUUUACGUUUUGCGAGUGAAUCGAGUUCGACUAGGUGUUUUCGUUCUUAGUUUGGAUCGGUUGACUCGGUUCUUGUUCAUUCGUUUUAGUUUGAUACAUGGUUCUGACAUCGGCAUCGAGUCAUCUGACUCGUGGUUCUUCAUCGAUCGGUCUAAUCGGCAUUAAAUGAAUUCAAUGCGCUAAGCAUGAUGUCAAUAGUUACUGAGUAUGUAAAUGCAUCGGUGACGGUCAUCUCAUUCCUAUUCCAAACCUUAUCCAAUACUACAUAGUGGACCGAAAUCUCGCGAUUCUCGGGAGGCUGGUAUGUUUUGUCUGAAGCAUCACCGUAAUCUAUAAUAACCUCAUGCGCUGGAAUGGAUGAGUGAGCAAUGGUCAGAUUCAAACUAAGGUCACUAGUUGGUGCCAUUUUCCUUUUCCAGGGUUGUGAAUCCUUUGAACCAAAAGGUAUGCCACGCUUCAGGGUUGGAGCAGAUGAUUAACUAGCCACCAAUAUACCUUGCAAUGUGGAAGGUGCGGCCUCCUUACCUUCGGGGAUGGUCCGGCCUUCCCAGGUAGGUUGUGGAUGUAUGCAAGGUACAUCUAUCCUUGCAGGUGCAUUUGUAGCAGGUAUAUGUGAUCUUGUCACCUUUGCUAGAUCGUUAAAAGCAUCCGGCAUGCUUUGAGCAAUGCUCUAAAGAUCUAUAAUUCGUCGCACCUCAAUUUCAGACUAGGAAAUGCAGGGAUCUAAAUGAGACAUAAUGGGAGCAUACCACAACAAUUCAUGGUGUUCUACAGGAACGUUAGCAUGCUCAAAUCCCCCUAAAGAUGGAAAGACUAUCUCAUCAAAGUGACAAUCCAUAAAACAUGCGGUAAAGAGAUAUCUUGUUAAGGGUUCUAAGUAGUGAACAAUUGAUGGCAAAUCAUAACCAACAUAGAUUCCCAAUUUUCUCUGAGGACCCAUUUUAGUACGUAGUGACGACACUAUUGGCACAUAAAUGGUGCACCUAAACACUCGUAAAUGCGAGAUGUCAAACUCGUAUCCAGUAACCAACUGUAACAGUGAAUGUGGUUAGGUAGCGGUGGGCCUCAGGCGGACAAACAGAGUUGCGUGCAAUAUUGCAUAGCCCUAGGCAAAUACUGACAAUUUGGCUCUCAUAACCAAAGUCUAAGCUAUCAAUUGAACCACUUUAUGAAAGCUUCUACCAGGCCAUUUUGGGUGUGAACAUGGGGUACAUGAUGUUCCAUAUCAAUCCCUACUGACAUGCAAUAAUCGUCACAAUUCUGUGACGUAAACUCUCCAACAUUAUCCAGUCUUAUCGACUUAAUCGGAUAAUCAAGAUGGUGAGCCCUUCGCUUAAUGAUUUGAGCUAGGAGUUUAGCAAGCGCAGUGUUGCAUGUGGACAACAAGCAAACAUAUGACCAUUGUGUUGAUGCAUCAACCAACACCAUAAAGUAUCUAAAUGGUCCGCAGGUUGGUUGGAUAAGUCCACAAAUGUCCCCUUGAAUCCUCUGAAGAAACUUAGGGGGGUUGUGAACAAUCUUUAUAUGUGAGGGUUAAGUAUCUAACUUCCCUAAAGAACACGCUUUGCAUGGCGGGAGUCCAACAUAGGGAUGUAAUCGAUGCCCAUGUGAAGAUUUGAGGAUACGGCGUAUCAUGUCACGUCCAGGACAUCCCAAACAGUCAUGCUAAAGCAACAAAGUGUCCUGGAACUCAGGCAUAGGGCCGGCCACACUGUGGGCUUUUAUGCCGCGAAUGGUUGUGAUGUACAACCUACUCGGCAGACGUUCCAACUUCUCGUGUAUACGCUUCUGGCCAUAUUCGUACGAACUGAUACAAAGAAAUUCAGAACCAUUAUCUUCAGUGGUUUCAAUAUAAUAUUGAUUAUCUAGAAUAUCUCUAAAACUUAGCAACGUUCUUCCGGAACAUGGAGAAUAGAGUGUCUCCUUAAUGGUUAAGAUAGUACCAUUGGAUAACAUGAUACGGGCCUUUCUGUAUCCUUCAAUCAAGUUGGAUAGGCCUGAGAGAGUUGUGAAAUGAGCUUUCUUGGGUAUUAAUUUAGUAAAAUACUAUCGUUCACGCAAGAUGGUGUGCAUGGUUGCACUAUCUGCCAGACAACUAACUUCUACCUAGAAAUAAAUUGAUUGAAUUGGUCACAUGCAUAAAUAUAAGUCCAUUCAUUCAAUUAAGCAAUUCGAGAAAAUAAUAUCCAUUCAAAUAACAAUCCAUAAUUCAAAACAAACCAAAACCAAACAAAUUAUUCCAAAUACUUAGAAAAAUUGUUCAAAAUGAAACCAUAAACCUAGAAAAAUAAGGGGGAAGGGCCGGCCAUUCCUAGUGGGUUCAGCCACUAGGGGUAAACACCCUAAAAACAUGUCUAAUUUAUUCAUCAGAUGCCUCCUGAAAAUCUGAUAUCCCUAUUGAUGUAGUAUCAUCUUCUGAAUGAUCCACAUGUGCAAAGUUAGACUCAUGACGGGAAUGAUACUUAACAAUAGCCUCGGGGGAAGCUCGGCAUACGUGUGACCAAUGAUCCCUUGAUCCACAGCGGUAGCACAUGUUCAGUUUAGUAGAAGCAGGCUAAACGGGUGCUUUGCCCUUGUUCUUGAAGUUGGGAGCUUUAAGGGCAAGUGGUGGACACUACUUGGUCACUUUUCCUCUCUUAGGUGCGGCACUUUGUUGACCUUGGGCCCGUGGUAGGGCUUGUCGCCCAUUGCCAUGGGCACGGCGAUUUUUUCAUCAUUUAUGGCUGCUAAAAUUGGUCCAUAUGCUUCAGGUGUGGCGUUCGAGCCAGUCGGUCGAGCUUGAUGAUUCUUCAUCAAAAGCUGGUUCUACUUUUAAGCAAAAAGUAAAACAGAGAUCAAAUCCAAAAACUUGGUGAAUUUUUGUGCCCUAUAUUGUUGCUGCAGGAUAAUAUUGGUGGCAUGGAAGGUCGAAUAGGUAUUCUCCAAGAGAUCUGAUUCAGUUAGUUCCCCUUUGUAGAAUUUCAACAGUGAAUGGAUUCUACAAACUUUAGAGUUGUAUUCAUUCACUGACUUAAAGUCCUGGAAACGAAGAUGUUGCCAGUCGUGUCUUACUUCAAGCAAGUAUAUGUCUUUCUGGUGAUCGAAACAAUCGGCCAAAGUAAGCCAGUGGGUGCAUGGGUCUUUCUCAACGAGUUACUUGGUCUGUAGUGCAUCAUGGAUGUGUUGUCAAAUGAAGAUCAUUGCAUUAGCCUUCUGAGCUUCAUCGACAUAUUUUUCGACGACAGGUGCCUUGAUGGUAGCUCUAAUACCCUUUGCAGUGAGAUGGAGCUUCACGCCUUGAACCCACUUUAGAUAGUUUCUUCCAAAGACUUCUAGAGCGAAGAAAUCAAGCUUGUUUAAGUUCGACAUGUCCUUAAAAUGGAGGGAAAAAACGUGAUUAGUCAUAUGGUAAACCAUACACAUAUAUCGUAGAACAAACAAGUCCUACAGACAUUUAUUGGUUUAAUUUAUGCAUAAAAACAACAUGUUUCAUGCGGUAUGUUUUGAAUGAAAACUUCGGGUUUCAAAUGCACUAAAUUUGAAAGUACAGGUUCAAUUUAGUUUUAUGAACAAUUAGUUCAUAAUGAGAGGUUUUGCAAGAAACACAUAAUGCAAUAUACUAAUUUAAAUAUAGUGGGUUUAAGUUUCUUCGGGAACUCAAGUGUGAGAGUUUCCUUACUAAGAAAGUAUGUCAACAGUUCAAAGUAUAAAAAUAAAUUAUUUAAUUGUUAAUGUCCAAAAGUGAUAUUCAGGUCAAUAAUUUUAGAUUCAUUAUUAGAUUAAUAGACUGCAGGUCACUUUUAAUUAAUUCAAUAAAUUGGGCCAUACAGGGUCGAUUGUAGAAGAAAAAUAAUACUAAAAUAAUAGUAUUGGGUCAAAAAUACUAUAGCCCAAAAAAUAGGGUUGGGUGCUGUAAGCAAAAGGGCUCGGAGGUGGGCUGCAGGCCACGGUACGGGAGACUUGGGCCCAGCACAGGGCUAGCAUGAAUGUGGCGCAGGAAACCCCAGCUAAGUUGGGUUUGGUUUGGGCCGUAAAGGUGAGCUUAGCCGCAUAGGCUGGCUGCAUGUUAUGCUGGUCGGGGCUAAGACAAAGCCCAACAAGUAUGACAGCUUGCUGGCGUGGGCCGAAGCCAAGAACCGGGCUGCAGGCCCGUGUUUGAGAACAAGCCCAGCAUGCUUCUGGCAUGCGGGUUUGGGCUCGGGUUGACCAGGGCUUUCAUGCCCGUGUGAUAGGGAACCCAAGUCGAGGCCUAGUUAUGUCUGAGAAGGAGCAGUAAGCCCAGAGGGCUGCACAAGUGGUCCAAGGCGUUGGGGUGACGCCAUCCCACGAUGGUGCCGUAAUAAAUCACCCAAUUUUUUUUUCUUUUUCAAAUCUAGGGUUGAAAAACCCUAAUUGCUUCUAAGUUAUGAAUAUACUUUGACUCACAUAUUCCACAUAGCAAAUAUAAUUGCGUAGUGCAUGAAAUAAAUAAAUAUAUUGACAAAUAUAUGAACAUAUACAAUAUAUAUAUCAUAAGGAAAAUAUAAACAUAGAGGGGUUCAUGCAUCAUGGGAAAUGUUUUUAUGCUUCAUGGACAUUUCAAAUAUCUUCUUUUAUUUUAAGCGUACCUGAUUAAUAGAAAAAAAAAUAUAAGCCUUUGAAUUUUGUGGAUGAUAGCCUCCUCCUGUGAUCCGUCAAUUCCUCAGCUUCUGGCAAGAACGUGCAAAUAGCAUGGCCUAUUUGAUUUAACGAUCUUAGGUUUUAGAGAGAGAGAGUACCAUAAGCAAUUAGAGAGAAGAGAGAGUGAUUUAAUUGUGAGGUGUGUUUGUAUCACCCCAUUGUGUCUUUAUUUAUAGUAGUAGGAUAACGUUUCCCUUUGGGAUUACAACAUUUAGUAGGUAAUCAACUCCUAAUAGGAAUAUAAGAUACAUUCCCAUAUCUACUAGGAUUUACACAAUCACAUUCCUAUUCUAAUAUGACUGCAAUAUUUAUUUAUUUUUUCCUUUUAAAUGUUGAUAAUAUUGCUUUAUGUAUAAAUUAAUUUAAUGAAAUUAAAAAUAGAAAAUGUAAAGAAGAAUAUUGAAUUAAAAAAUUAUUGAAAAUGUAAAUACAAUGGAAAGAAAUAUUUUAAAAUUUGAAAACAAUUUAAAAAAAAAAAAACUAGAAUAUGUAGUCGCCCACGUCACAAUCACCUACUAGUGGUGUUGUUGGACUGGGAGGUUGUGGCUGCUGCGGCAGAGGACUGGGAGGUCAUAGCUGCUGUGGCGAGGGAUUUGGAGGUCGUUGCUAGAGGUGGUUCAACAUUGGGGAACCGAAUGCCAAAGAUUUGAAGGGUAAGACGAAUUUGGUUUAUCAAAUUGCUUUGGGCCGCAAGCUGAGAUUGCUGGGCGACAAUCUGCUGCUUUAGGUCCAUCACUUCAGAUGUCAACGAUUUGACCUCUUCUGUUCUCUGCCUGAAGGAUGAGGCAGAAAGUUCCCGAAUGCGGGCUUUCCCAAGCCCCGGUGAACAUUCCCAUGCCUACAACCGAGGGUCUGAUCGAGUGUGUCCGUCAAGGGGAAAACACCUCUUGAAUCGGGGUCUCUGAGGGAAGCUGGGAAGCCACCUCUUCCAGAAUGGUCUGGCCCUUCUCCACCAUGGUGGACUAGAAAAAUGCAAUAAACAAAUUAAUUUUAAUAUACAUGUAAUUAAUAUUAAUACUAAUUGAAUAUUAAAAAAUUGGAACAACUUACAUGAAGCUGCUUUGUCAGCUCAUCCCCGUGCCGAACGUACACCACCUUGAACAUGUCAAUCUCAGGAAACUUUGACCCCCCUGAAUAAAAAAAUAUUAACACAUAGAUUACCAAUUGUGUAAUAGAGAGUAAAAAGAAUGAAAACUUAAAAUAAAUAUACGGUUACCUUACGUCACUCCUCCUACCUAUAAGAGAAGCGUCGUGAGCCGGAGCGGUGAAGAAAUUUCUUCUUUGACUGAUUGAUUGAGUUUGCCUUCACUUUUUUCUAUUGAAUUAAAAAAAACGUAUUAGUUUAGAUAUUUAUAACAAAUUACUGAAAAAAUUAAAAUAUUAUUUAAAAAUAUAAAAAUUUGAUUCAAUAUUAUUGAAAUAUAUAUUAUACUUACGAGGUAUUUCUUGUCCUGAAAAUGGUCGCAGAACCACUCUCAUUCAUCCCGGCAGUCCACCAACUCUAUAGGGCACCCAACUGUUAGAGCGACCUUCGGACCAUCAUAUUUCUCAUAAUGCUUGUGAAGGUUGCUCUUCCAUUGAGUAAACCUACGGGCACAAAGGUCGUUGACGUACUGGUUUUGAUUGGCAUUGAGGUUUGUGAGCUCAUAGUGAUGCUGCAAAACUCAAUAAAUAAAUAGUAGUUAAAAUUUAUAAUAUUUGUACACUUUAAUAAAAAUUUAGUAUUUGAAGUUGAAAAUACUUAUCGAUAAUUCAUGAAGAACGGCUUCCUUGACUUUAGGUGGGAUAGCUUUUCAUGACAGCCACAUGAGGGGGUAAUGAUUCUUGAUAACCGAGCCAAUGUCGAUGGCCAACGCACUGUGUUGCUCAUUUGUUGCAGCCGCACGAUGUCGAGGAUCCCACGUAAUGGUGAUCUUCUCGGUCGUGGUGCCAGUGGUCUGUGACAUCUUCAGAAGUCUGCAUGGGCCCCUGGUUUUUUUUUAUUAUUUUUUUUGAACUACCAAAUAAACAAAGUAAACAUUAGACAAAUUCUAUUUUCUACCGAAAAUUCGACUGAACCUCCCCUAAAACUAUAACAUUUCAUAAAACCUGUAGACAAUAUAACAAUAAAAAAAACACAUCCACCCAACAAUUCAUAUAGUUUAUACCAAUUGGGGACUUUAAAACAAAAUUUACAACUUGUAUCAAGUGUUUUCACUUUUAAUUGCAUCACUGGCCGUGAAUUUGUGAAGAGACUACACACAUAAUGGAUUGCACAUGUAAUUAUGUAAGUUGAGAACAAUAUCGAUGUGAGUAGUCUCAUCUUUUUGAAAUUUUAACACACCAUAUUUGUAACUUGAAAAAUAUACUGAAGAUUUUCACUAAUGAGAAAAUAAACGAAUAAGAAAGAUAACUUUUUAAGAGUGUAACCAAAGAAUGUAUCAACCAACUUUUUUAUAAAGAAGAUUGGGGAUCUUUUGUCAUCCACCAACAAAUUUCAAUAUCCUCAGUAUUUUGUAACUAAUGACAUUCUAUGAACCUACCUGAAAAACCAAAGAAUUUAAAAGUUUGAUUUUCACAACAACCAAAAAAACUUUCAAAAUUUCGAUUAUACUAUGAGAAAGAUGCAUUACCUGUCUGGGACCCCUUUCCAUGGACAGAGGAAGUCUCACCAGACUGCUAAGCCUCCUAAGAACUUUGGGGCCAUCGAUGAGUCCGUCGAGUGCUUAGUACAAGAUGCGUCACCGAAGAAGUCAAUGACGUAGAAGCUGUAGACACAGUUGGACCGAAAGGCGUGACUGGAGGGACACCCAUUGUGCCCAUAUCAGGUGAAGAGGUGGUAGCAGCACCACCUGCUGAAGAAGGUGUCUGACUGACCCUACUAGCUGCCCGGCGGUUUGAAAUUUAGUUUGACAUCUACAAAAAAAAUAAAUUAAAAAGUGACAUUCUACUACUUUGACCUAUUAAUAGCCAGGAAGCUAGAGAGAACAUAUUAUGGCUAAGAAAAGUGGCAGAAAUCAUGAAUACCAGAGAUUUACCAUCAGAUAGAAAAUGAGAGACUGACAUCUACAAGAAGUCAAUAAUGAUUAGCAUUAACUAAUUAAUCUGGUUUAGAUAUACUAAAAAAUAUCUUAACCUUGAAAAAUAAGAUGUAUCUUUUCACCCUUAGAUUAAUUUGUUAAUCUGGUUUGGAUACAUUCUUGGUUGACAUGAGUCCUAGGAUCCGAAACAACAACAACCAUACGAGAGAAAAAUGAAGAAGGGGCAUUGCCACCUUCCCCAUCAUGCUUAUGGAACAUGCCAUGCAACUUGUAAGGAAUCAAUGAAUGAUGGAAGAGGGCAAGAAUGUACUUAUUAUGGAUGAAGGUAAGGAUGAAUAUGUGUGUGUGUGUGAUGUGAAAAUUAUCUCACCACACAAAUUUAACCCUCUUUUAUCAAUUGUAGUAAAGAAUGUAAGUAGGGAUCGUUCUGGACCGGGGAUUAGGAGGGUUUGCUAAUAACCUCUAAACUGACUCAAAAACAUAAAACUAAACUUAAAAAUACUUAACAAGACUCACAAGACUCAAAGCAAACUUAAAAUACUCAAAACAACUUAAAACAACUAAAUAAACUUAAACUAGACACUAGGAAUGACUUUGGACGAAAAUUGACUUUUACUUGAAUCAAAACAUUUAAAAACACAAAUUAAAAUAGAUUCUAACUAAUUAGACACACUAAAGUAAAGGGGGAUUGAGUUUUGGACGAAGUUGAAACAAACAAACAAGUAUGAAAAACUAGACAAAUUGUAAAACAAAUUUGAGAAAUAAGAUGAUGGAUGGGAUAGCUAGAGGCUUUUUCUCCACACAUGAUAUGUAUGCAAACAACUCGAUUUCCAGUUACUACUUCAUUGAAUUAUGAACGACAAUGCUCCAAAUUAACCGUGACAUCACUAGUUAACUCUCAGAUUUUCCUUGUUUUAUUGGAUUGGAUGACAUCAUUCGACAACCCAAAACAUUCUUCUAAAGUUCCGUACAUGACAUCAUAAUAGAGAUACAAUCAAAGAUCAUUACAUUUAAUGAAAAUCAUAAGCAUUGACAAAGCACUUGCAACUAUGACAUCAUGUCACUCAUGCUAGGAAUUGAACUUAACGCGAUCGUUUAUAAACGACCUCACUACAUGUGAAUAUAAGUUUGUAACGAUUAUGUAAAACUUCCUUAUAUUCUAGCAACGGAUUUAUGCAUGCCAAUUAAGUGUCGACCCUUAAUUAACAAAUACAAAUAAGUUAUCAAUCAAAUAGUUAAGCCAAUUGCAUUCACGAUUCAAGAGUUCAUAACUGGAAUUUAUCAAAUUAUAUUGCACACAUAAUCAUGACUUUGAAAUCACCCCUAACCAAGAGGGGUUUAGCCACUCAUAUUUACAACAAAACGAAAGGAAAUGAAUUUAAACAUUAGAAACAAAAGAAAGAAAACACCUAAACCCUCCAACGAUCCAAGUUGGAUAGCAAGCACGUCCAAGCACUUUUCUUCCUUUCCUUUGCUACGACACAAGGUGUUGGUGAGUGUUUGAAGGUUUGUUUGUAUGGAGGAAUGGAUGUGAAGAUGAAUGGAUGAAGGUUGUGUUGAAUGCGGCAAAGAGUGGAGAAUUGUGUAGAUGAUGUGUGUGUGUGGGUGUUUUGGAUUGAUGUCCCCCCCUGAUGAAGGGUGGAUGAAUGUAUUUAUAGGCUAGGAAGAGGGUGUAGUGGGUGGUGGUAAUGAGUGGAUGUAGUGGUAGGUGAAUGGAUGUGUUGGGUGAAAUGAGUGGAUGUAGUGGUAGGUGAAUGUGUUGGGUGGUUGUAAUGAGUGGAUGUGUUGGGUGAAAUGAGUGGAUGUAGUGGUAAGUGAAUGUAUUGGGUGAAAUGAGUGUGCUAAAAUGGUUAUUUAUAGGGAGAGAAUGAUGCACAAACUUCAAAUUUCAUCCAUUCCUUUUGCUCCAAGCAUAUGCUAUCCAUUCCAUGCCCAAAAAUGCUCCAAAAUGCACUUCUUUGCCACAUUAACCCUUUGGACCUACAAACACACGAAAAUAGCUUAAAAUACUAAAAUAACUACGAACUAACAACAUAAAUGCCAAGAAACAAGCUAACUAAGUCACAUAAAUAUGCUCCUAUCAGUGUGUGCGCGCGUGCGCCCGGCGUGGGAUUGUAAUUGGACUUUUGAUUCAAGGCCGUGUAUAUUGUUCAUAUAUGGUCGAUUUUGGGCAUCUUCAAAUCAAUAAAGGGUAGCAUACAUGCAUAUCUUGCGCUUUAACUCUUUACAUAUUUUUUAUGGCAUGCUUUCUUACUUGGAAAGAGAAAAGUCAUGAAUUGGGGAAGGAAAUGGAAAUAAACUAAUCCUAGUGUGUUCAAGUAAUGAGAAACUUAUGAAUACCGUAUGGUGGUAAACACAAAGAACUUCACGAAUGAGAGUAAUUUCAUGAUGUUAUUUUGCAUAAUACUUGCAUCCAUCCCAGCUGACGAAUGAGUACUUAAGUACUACGUUUAUUUUCGGUUUGUUCUCCAUGUUGUUCUGAUAAUUUGAUUCUUUACAACCUCUGUGCAUAUUUUCACUUAAUUAUCAUGAGAACAAUUCAACAUAUAGUGGUAUCAUUACAUUCAGAAAACAACACACAUUACAAUCAGAUAUUAUCAAUAUGUGUUUGAAAUUGAUGCCACGAAUUACAAUUUUGAAAGCUUCUAAGAAAAAGAACUUAGUAAGGAUACAAGUGACUCAUAACUUAGACGAAAAACUUGCAGCCUUCUAUUUCUCUCAGCUUCAAUGGAAUAUUCAUUCACACUGACGUUACUAAAUAUCUGAAUUUCAAAGUUGUAGAUGGUAGUUUCGUGUAUAACAAAUGGAAGGUGCGAUUCCUCAUAAUUUCGAAGUUCACUGAGUGCUUAUUCACGUAUCAUCUAAAUGACAUAUAUGGAACUACUAAUCGAUUAAUACCAUUAACAAGAGAAAGGUCUGAACUUGAUGUUAUACCAUGUACAUAUAUAUAAACUCCAUAUAUUUUUACAUAUUAAACCUACUUCCAUAUAAAGCAACUAGAUUUACCCUGCAUCCUGCCUAAUUCGAAAGCCAUCACCCAAUAUUCUCAAUUAGAAAACUAUAACCCAAUAUUGUCAAUUCGGAAACCCUAACCCAAGAUUCCCAAUUCGAACCCUAAAUCCUUGACCCAGGAUUCCCAAUUCGAACCCUAAAUCCUUAAAUAUUCUAAUUAAAACAAUUCAACAGAAAAAAAUGAAAUAUUGCACUAAUAAAUAAUUGAAUUAAGGGAGAACGAAUUAAGGGAUACUGGGUGCUUACCUAGUAAUGAUGUGGUGGCGGUGAGAUGGUGUGGCUUCGGAGUGUGGCGGAUGCAAAAGGGAGAGUGAUAGAGAGAUAGAGAAAUAUUGAGAGCGAGAGAGGGAGAGGGGGAGAGAGGGAGAGACUGAGAUAGUGAGUGAUGAGAGUGAGAGCUGGAGAGAAUCGAGAGAGAUAGGAUAGUGAGUUUGGACAAAAUCGAGAGAGAGAAAAGAUUGAGCUUCGCAUGCAGAGAAGAACUCUACAAAUGCACCAGAAAAAGAAGCCAUGGUCGAUCUUUGCAGCAAAAUGAGUAGUAAACCUUCUCCUUUCUCCAAAAACAAUAGGUCUUAGUUCAAGAUAAAGCGUAAAACUGUGAUAGCAGAGGUCACUAUAUAUAACAUGAUCUAGCCAAAAUCAAUUAUGAUUUCCCUAUUAAAAUCCAUAUAGGAAACUGAAAUCAGUUCCUUGUUCUAUUUGAAUUCUAGAACAACAUGGAUUGGUAAUUCAUUCUCUUUUAAGAUUUUCUAUACAACUUAAAACUAAUAACCGGUUUUCGAUCUAGACUCAUACUUAUACUUAUAUUCUUACAAAUAUAAGAUGUUGCCAUACCAUAUGCCAAAAUUUUGUUGAGAUAUGAGAAAAUGUUUAGUAAUCUAGUCGCGCACCAAAAACAUUUUCCAAAUUUUGUAGCUAUCAAGAAAUGUAUAAAUCACAUGAAAUUAAUUAUUGUAUAUAAGUGAGAUUCAAACCAAGAUAUUGCCAUCUAAUAUGCUACAUCAUUAAUUUGGUAAAAGUUUUGACAAGGUUUUGGUUCAGACUAACAAUAAUAUUGUUAGUAUUAUGGCAUCGACAACGAGUGAUGCUACAUAAAGAAUCUCAAAAUUUUAGAUUGUUCAUUUUAGGACUCACUUUAAGCAUUAUUUAUUUAUAACAGUAUCAAGUUGCUUUUCUGGGUUUUGGCCAAGUGGCAAAACCUCAUCGCGGGAAACAUUAACAAGUUGCUUUUGAAACCAAAAAUUUGCCGCGUAUUCUUCCUAUUAUCUAUUCACAAGAGAUUUCUGUCUCUGUCUCUGUCUCUCUUCCUCUUUCAACCUUCAAAUUCUCAUAAGCUUUAAGGCUAUUCGAGAAGAAAAUUUUAAGGUUACAUAAAUUAUGUUAAUUGCUGUGCUUUAUAUAUUUUUAUUGUAAAUUGUUAUAAUAAGCUAAUUUUUUUAAUGUUUAUAGCUUCAAUAACUUCAGCAUUCUUUUUAUUGGAGCAUAUAGCUUCAGCAUUUUCGAAGAUAUAUAUAUAUAUAUAUAUAUAUAUAUAUAUAUAUAGAGAGAGAGAGAGAGAGAGAGAGAGAGAGAAGAGAUGGAAAUAAGUACAAACUACAUGACAUAAAAUAAGAUUCCACUACUUGAAUCUUACUUAUAGAAUUACAACGUACAUGCAUGCCUUUGGUACAUACAUACAUACAUACAUACAUACUUAAGCUUAGAGUAGCAAGAAACAAAUGAAAGAAACGGAAACUAGUACAAAGUACAUACAUAAAAGAAUCACUGAUUGUGAUUUCUCAAACGACUGAACACAAAACUAUACCAUGACCACAGCGUCAUUGAACAUUAAAAUGGCGCCUAGCUAGCGAUGUAACGAUGAAGAUGAAGCGAUCGAGUGACCAAUCUUUAUUUAUUAACUAGUGGAUAAACUGUGAGUUAUACUGCUCCAGUGAAGCUUGAGGUUUCUCAUCCUGCAAAGCAUAACAAAAGAGUCUCGUCAACUUGGUAGGAUGUGGUCUUGGAAGUCAAUAGGUAUUGUAAUAUGUAGUCUUAUUAUAGCAUGGAAUAAGAUGGAAAAGAAAAGUUGGUGGUGUUAAAAAAUAGAUUUGUAUUUUAAGCAAAAGUAGUAAUAUUUAUAACAGUAAUUUUUGUUUUGGAGGACUUUGCCUAAAUAUAGUGUAAGUGUUUAUAGUACCCACCAGUAGUCCUGUAAUCUGGGAAGGGAACUUGGCCUGACUCAAUAUGCUUGACAUCUUCUACAAGAAGCUCAUAGUGCCUCUUGACUUCCUCCGGUGUUUUGCCACCAACCGCCUUGGCGACAUUGUACCAGCGGUCGGCAGUGUCCUUGUCAUAGACAGCCAAAGCCUUUUCAAAGGCUUUGUUUUGCUUGGCAGUCCAGGAGGAGUCGGAGCCUCUUGAGGACAUUGAGCUUGAUGCCAUUGAAUAAUUUCUUAGAGUGAGAUGGUUUUCUAUAAACACUACAGUUAAAAGCGUGGAAGGAAAAUUAAGGGGAGGGAGGGAGAGAGGGAGAGAGAGAGAGAGAGGAGAAAAGACCAAAGUGCAGGGAAGUGUGUGAUAUGAGCUGAGUGUUGGCAAUGCCUGCUCUUUAUAAGGAGGGGGGAGUUGGGUGGGGGGGUAGUGCCAGUUGGCAAGAGAUCUUGGAAAGAAAAAAAAAUGAUGUGGAAUUUGAAUGAUUUGUCACCUUAGCUACCACAAAAUUAUUUCAAUGAAGCAGUAGUACUAGGACAAAGAUGGAAAACAACAUUGCUUGGAGAUAUCUCCAAGAAUUUUUUAUUUUUAUUGGUCAAGAAUUUUUUAUAGAUAGAAGAAAUCAAUAAAGUUGAUCGGAGUCCUUUUCUUUCUUUUUAACAUAUAUACUCCUAAGCAUGUUUAGUUGACAUAAAAACUUUUUAAAAAAAAGUGCAAGAUAUCAACCAAAGAAAACAGGUUUUAUUCAUGUAUAAUCCUCUUAAAUUUAAGAAUAAUUUUUCUUCUACUUUCAAUAUGCCUUGAAUUUAGAGGAUUAUCCAUUAUAAUCUAAUACACUAUAGCAAAUUGGAAUUGGAGUAAUGUUAGAUAGACUAAAUUUGUAGACUAAAUUUGCAAACUAAAUGAUGUGUCACCAAUAAUAAAUAAACACAUUAAGCAACACUUAAGUAAUAAUUUAAUCAUCAACUUCCAUGUCAUUUAGUUUAUAAAAUUUGAUCUAUAAAUUUAAUUUCUCUAGCAUUAACCGUUGGAAUUGAGGCUAAGCAGCCAAUCCUUAAUACCAAACGAGACCUAGCUAAGUGUCAUUAAUUAGAUGAAAAGGUCUCGAUAUUUAAGUGAUAAAUAGAGUAAAUUACUCUCAUCUAACGACAAUUAACGUAGUGAUGAUGCACAAAAACCUAGAAGUUCUUCUCUUGCUUCUUUUGGAAAUUAACUUAAACCUAUAAAUUAGCAAAAUGAAGCUUUUUGGCCUCGAUCAUGGAAGUUUCCUCCUUGAUUAAGAAAAUGGUAGUUUUAUAAUAGAGAACUUUAACGAAAAGCUCUCGAUACUAUUCACCUUAACGAAAAACCAUAUUUUUACACUAAAAAGUCAAUUAUGAUACUAUUUACUUUACCAUUUAUUUUGUCUUUAUCGUUAAAACUUAAAAUUUUCAAACUAUUUUCAUUAGUUUCCUUUUAUAAUAUCCUUAGAAGAUAAAGCACACCCAUAGGGGGGGAAACAAAGUAGAAAUUUUCAUGGUGAGAUCCUCUUCAUCUGUUGAGAUUUCCUUCGGAUUACAUCAGUUCCCUCUCUGUUUUAUUCUCUAACUUUGCAGGAUCUUAAUGUGGGGACCCAUUCUCAAACCACAGUCAAUCAGAUUGCCUGUUCUAAACUUUCACGUGUACAAGACAAGCCAUUUUUCUUUUUCUUUUCUUUUUUUCCCAAUUUUUUUUUCUUGUUUUUGAAGACUUAAGUACAUUGGGAGGCCUGUGUUCUCCACAGAACAAGUGAUCUUGCUAAUUAGUGUACUGUGUCCUGAACAACGUUCCAAGCACUCUAGCUGGCCUGCAUGGUCCGUACAAUGAUGCAAUUAUGUUUUUUCUCUGAGGAUAGGUCAACAUAAUGUUACCAACUCUUUAGCAGUUUGGGACCCUAUCUGAUAUAGUUUGGUUAUUUGGCACAGUAAACUUACUCAUACUAUUCACUAUCUAGUAAAAAAAAAAGGGAAAAUGUAUCAAUAAAACCGGUUACAAAUUUUUAAUAAAAAAUAAAAAUGAAAGAACAGUAUGUUAUGUAUAAACCACAGUUAAGUUCCCUUUUUAUUGUUUGUUUUGUGCAUGUUCCUCAAAUUUUAUUUUUUACCAAAAGGUUGAGAUGUGUAUAUUUGUGCAUAUUUCCUAAAAAGAAUGUCCAGAGAAUUGGUUGAAUUAAUUGAACUUUAACUCUUAGCUAAUUUGUUCAAAAAAACAAAAACUCUUAGUUAAUUAUAUUACGUACAUUGAUAUUACACAAAGUUAAGAUUGACUUGCUAUAUUGCUAAUUGUCAUUUGAAUCACAACAUCAAGGAACAAAACCAAGUUUUUCAUGAUUAAUUGACAAUUGCAAAUUUGCAACAUAUAGUAAUGUAGAAAACCAUUGUUUGUAGAUAUCUAGUUUCCAAGAUGGUAAAUAGUAAUUUUAUCUGAUCCAACAUUUAUCAUUUCAUGAGAAUUGAACUAGUGACCUUCACCAGCAAAGUGGAGCCUGAAUGGUAAAUGGCAGGUAGUAAAUAAUAAUUGGCUCAGUUAUUUUAUGAUGUUCAUGAUUUUGGCCCUUCCAAGUGCCAAACAAGUCUAAAGUUAAAUCGAGAAAUACAAAUUUCGGUACUGCUAUAUAUAACAAGCAUAUCUACAUAAUGAUCGCCUUUGCUUUUGUCGUUAGCUGUUGCUGCAGAUGUUGGAAUCACUAACCCUAGUUCAUCCAUCCUGCCACUUGCCCUUCAAAUUUUAGCUUAUUUUGAUACACAAAUCAUUGUUCUUAAUUUCUAUAUCUGGUUAUUCCUCAAAUAAAAUGAAAAGUUGGUUCAAAUUUAACCUCUCUUGGAUGAACAAACAGUUUGAAUCUGGCUGGCUGUUAGUCUUUCUUUUUCUUUUUUUUUCUUUUUUGUUUGUUUUGUUUUUGCUUCUAUUAUUUAUGAUGUACAGUUGCAGUCAUAUCCCAACUGAUAUCAUCCUAGUCACGAACUCAUGGGCGACCGACUUGCAAUAAUGUGAUAAAAUCUUUUCCUGGCCACAGUUAAAGUGUCCUAGUUCUGGAUUUUUUGAAACUUCUCAACUUUCCAUUUUACUGCAUGGUUACUACUGAUGCAGGAAGCUUGUUUUUUAGUUUUUGAGCCACUAAUUUGUAGAAUUAAUUCUCUUUCAGUGUUAGGACUUUAGUACGUAGCUAUUAGGGGAAUAAAUAAUGGUAUCAAUUUGAGUUGGUUGGAGAAAUUUUUUGCUAUCACCGGUUGUAUACAACUAUGUUUUUAUCUCUCUAAUCAUAUGACUAGUCCAAACCCUUGUCAUGUGAUGAGAGUGAAGCAUAUUUUAGAGUUUAGAAAUGCAUCCAUAGCAUCUUGCAUCAUAAAUGUUAUGCUAUUCUAUGUUGAGUACCUGUGAAAUUUAAUUAGCAUCAUCCACACGCUGGUGGUUUCGAAGAAAACAAUGCUUAAGAACACCACAAUUAAUUGUGUGCUAGUAAGUUGCAUCUUUUGUUCAGCACAUUAGGUUCCGAGUAGUCGUGAACAAAAUUUAACUUGCAUAACACCACAGGGGUUAAGGACUAGGAGUAUCUAAUUCAAGAGAGUGACAGAAUUUUGUAGGUCAAGAGAGUAUCUGUUUAGAACAAAAAGUUAAGUAUGAGGAAUCUGAUUUUAGAGGGGCGGCGAUGUGAUACCAUGGCUUUAAUCUGCAACUUGGUUAAGGUAGCCCCAACCUAUGGGUCUACAGUUUGCAAAAAUCCUGCAACUAGACCUUGGUUUAGUCAAUUCACAAUCCAGAACCAGUUUGCGUAUCCAAAGACGUAUAAGUUUGGAGUGGCAGCAAAAGGAGAUUUCUAGCUGUAUUUGGAAAUAGAAGUUCUCAGUGGCUGAACUUUUUAUUAUUUUAUAAGGCUAAUCUCAGUCUAGUAUUAUGAAGUUUCUUAAUUUUCAACAUUUAGUACGUAAAGUUUUUUUCAUUCCAAUUUGGUACUAAAGUCAUAAUUAUGAGACAUUUUUAUACAUCCGUUAAGUUUUCCGUCAAAACAUCUAUUAAUUGAUGACGUAGCAUCCACGUGGACAGUAACCGGAUGCCACAUGUCAUUACAGACCCACGUAAAUAUUAAGAAAUUUAAAAAAUUUAAAAAUUAAAAUUUUUUUUAUCCCAUCUUCUAAACCAAGUUAUCAGGCCCAAAAACUGUUUAUUUUUUUAUUUUUUCUGGGCUGCUCCUUACCCCCACGACCCCCUUCCUCCCUCCCUUCUCUCCUUUCUCUCCUCUGCACCCACCCUCCCCCGCACACCCACCUCUCCUUUCUAUACUCUGCGCCUACCCAAUCCUCUAUACCCGAUCCACUAGUUCCAGUGAUUGAGCUAUUAACUUUGGAUCUUGAAGGCAUGCAGGUCCCAAACCUGAGCUUAACCCAACACCCAUGUUCCUCCACCGCCUCAUCUUUCUUCUUCCUACCCUUCGAUUUGCUACUUUUACCCCAACUCUCCACCUUGCUAGGAUUAAGCACCAAACCCAUGUCCUCAAAGUUCAAACUCUCUCUAGAUUCAGAUUCUCAUUGCUCAGAAAACCAGAAAUUUCAAAACCCACAAAAAUCCAUUCGAACCCACCAAUCUGCAAACCAAAAACGACCCAAAAAUCUACAAAAUCUCUGAAAUUUUCACAAAAAAAUGUGACUCUAACCAAAGUCGAAUAGCAAUUCAGAACCACAGAAAUCCAACGCAACCCAAAACCAACUCAGAAACGCUACAAAAUCUUCGAAAUUUUCACAAGAACUGCGACUUGAACCAAAGAUCGAGCAGUCUUAUGCUCGAUAACUGAAAUUGAAUCCGACCCAGUUGGUCAAAAAAGGCCAGACAGAGUGGAGAGAGAGGGAAUGGGGGACAGAAGAGGUGGGUGUGCGGGGAGGGUGGGUGCAGAGGAGAGAAGGGAGAGAAGGGAGGGAGGAAGGGGGUCGUGGGGGUGAGGAGCAGCCCAGAAAAAAAAAAUGUUUUUGGGCCUGAUAGCUAGGGUUAGAAGAUGGUUAUUUUUUUUUUUUGAACUUUUAAUUUUUUAAUAUUUAUGUGGGCCUAAAAUGACACGUAAUAUCUAGUCACUAUCCACGUAAAUGUCAAGUUAUCAGUUAAUAGAGGUUUUGAUGAAAAUUUAACGGAUGUAUGAAAGUGUCUCAUAAUUAUGAUUUUAGGUACCAAACUAGGACGAAAAAAACUUCAUGUAUCAAAGUUGAAAACCAAGAAACUUCAGGAGUAGUAAAUUGAGAUUAACCAUAUUUUUUAAUACUAACGUUGCUGCUCUAAAUCUCAAGACACGUUUGCAGGGCCUAAUGAACUCUAAAACAAUGGGAGUAACUUACUAUCACGAAAUUAAUGUUACUAAUUCGAUGUUAUAGUAUGGAUGAACGAAUGAACAACAAGGUUUAUAUCUCUAGUAUCUAGGUCCUAGGAUUAAUUAAAAAUAUAUUGUAUCAUGUAAACGAUGUAUGUUUGGAAACAUAGUACUGUAACGGCGUGAUUGUUCAAACCCACAAAUUUCUUCUACUUUUGGACAACAAUGUGUAACAAAUAUUAUAUUCCAGUCUUAAUGUCUUCUCCAAACAUAUGGUUUGUCUUACAAAUUAACUACAUUCGAAAUCAGUUUGUCAUCAAACAUAAUCUCGAAAACCCUACUGCUCUCCACACAUUUGUGUGUCCUCGUGUCAUCCCAAUGAAAAGUCCUUUAAUUAUCAAACAGUGACUAGGGUUUUUGGGCUGAUUAAACUGCAGAAGGUAUGUCAAUCGAAACAUCAAAUGUAAGUGUGGCAUCCAUUGUCAAGUUGCAUCAGUCAUGGUCAUGAUAUACUGGCCACAUAUUAAUGGGGCUAUCACUUAUCAUUAGUUGAAAACUACUUCAGCAACUUUCUAGCUAGGAAUCUAUACGAAAUUUUAAUAAAGUGAUGCCUUGAGAUGAUACACCCUCUUAACGAUAUUUGGAAUCCUUAUCAUCCCAGUCCAUCUCCAAUAGGAAGAAAAAUCUCUUAGAUUCCUCCUCUCUUUCAGGACUAAUUCUUCUGGCUGUUGUGGUCCUUCCUUACAACUUGGAGAAAGUCGGUUAACCUUGGACUCUGUUGGCCUCUCCAUGGCUCUAAUUUUGAUCUUAUCGUUUCCAUAUUUGGCUUGAUGCAGAUAUUAGUGAACUAAAAUAUCUCGGACUUUCUUUUGAUCAACAUGCGAGCAGGUGAGCUAAUUCCAAAAAUCCGUCCCCAGUUUAGAUUGUAGGCUACAACUCACUUGCAUGUAGCUGAUAUUGCUAGUAAUCGAUGGCCAGCCAUAAGGCGGGCUUCAAACUUGGGACUUAUGCGUACCUUGCUAAGAGUUAGUUGGUAAAUAUCCUUCAGACUAAGCACUUUAAUUUGCAUUUUAGUUAAGUAUAUAUGGUUGAGAAUCUACAGCUUCAUGGUGAGGGGUCAAUAGUAAAAAAAACCCCUUGCGUGAUGAAACACACAUCGAAAUUUUAAACUUUAUCGCGCAAUAUGUUUAAAAAUAUAAAAAAAAUUAUUUUUUAAAAACUUUGCGCGACGAAUUCCAAAUAUUUCGUCGCCUAAACCAAAUUUAUUUUCUUUUUUAUUUAAUUUUAUAUUUUAAAUUGUAAAAUAAUUAUUUUCAUAGUUUUUUUUUAACUUUGCGCGACAAAUAUUAAUAUUUCAUCACCUAAACUCUAUUUAUUUUAUUUUAUUUUAUAUUGUUAACCUAAAUUAUUUUCUUUGCGUGACGAAUCAACAUUUCGUCGCCUAAUCCUAUUUAUUUUAUUUUAUUUAUAUUUUAAAUUGUAAAAUAAAAUUAUUUUCUUUUUUAUUAUUUUUUAAAAACUUUGCACGACGAAUAAUAAUAUUCUGUCGCAUAAACCCUGUUUAUUUUAUUUUAUAUUUUAAAUUGUCUAAUAAAAUUAAUUUCUAUAAAUUUUGCGCGACGAACCAAUAUUUCGUCGAGCAAAAUCCUUAAUUUGGGUGGGUGCCGAAAAUGGGAAGCGGGAAUUUAAUUUUUAAUUUUUUUUAAAAACUUUGCGCGACCAAGCUUUCAUCGCGCAGUUUUGCAUGACCAAUAUUUCGUCACGCAAAGUUUUGCGCGACGAAUAAAUGUUUCGUUGUGCAAAACCUUAAAAAUUUGGGUGGGUGCCAAAAAUGGGGCGUGGGAUUUUUUUUUUAAGACUUUGCGCAACCAAUCUUUCGUCGCGCAAAAUAAUACGGUUUGUAAAACCAAAAUAAUUCCUCUACAGUUUUCUCACUGUAUCUAUCUAGUUCUCUUACGUCUCAUUUUUUCCCCCAAUAUCCGACCCCCUCUCUCACACUCAAUCUCUCCUCUCUCUCUCCUCUCUCUCUCUCUCUCUCUCUCUCUCUCUCUCUCUCUCUCUCUCACUCACUCACUCUCUCACUAUCUCUUCUCACUCUCUCACUCUCUCCCUAUCUCUCACUCACUCUCAAUCUUGCUAAAAGGUAUUUUCUCUCUAAAUUUUAAUUUAUUUUUCAUUAAUAUGUGUUUUUGGAGUUAAUUUUGGGUUUGGGUGGGGUUUGGGGUUGGAUUUGGGGUAUGCUAAUUUUAGGGGAGGUUAUGCCCAUUUUUUGGUAUGAUUUUAUGUUUUUUUUUUUUUGUUAUUUGACCAUGUUUUUUUUUUUUUUUGUAGGGAAUCGUUGGGACUUUGAUGGUUAAAGUUGAGGAGUUGAGGAUUAUGACACUAUAGGACCAUAUCCGCUAUCACCACCACCACAAUAGACUUGUAUUAGGAUUUUAUUAUUGUAAUUUGUUAAUUUAUAUGUACAUAUUUAAUAAAAUGUAUAUUGUGGAUAAUUUGAUCACUAUUUUUCGUAUUUAUUUUAUUUUGAAUAUGUCAAUUUAAAUUAAAGUAACAAAAAAAAAUAAAGCCAUACAAUUAAAUUAAAUUAAAAAUUAAAAAAAUCUUGCACUAACAAAAGGUCAAUUUAAUUAAAUAAAAAAUAAAAACAAAAAACUUUUGUGGCUCAAAAUCUUGCGCUACCAAAUAUUUUGUUGCGCAAAAUAUUAAAUUAAUUUAAUUAAAUUAAAAAAUCAAAAAUAACAAAUUUUGCGUGACAAACCAUGCUUUCGUCGCGCAAAGUUUUGAGUGAUGAAAUCUUACUUCGCGCAACAAAUCUUAUUUUGUUGCACAAAGUGUUUUUUGUAACUGUGGGUACAGCUUCAAGUUGGCUGCAAAAGCAUAGAAAUCGCCUUUUGGAUCGAUGGAAUCUUUUAUUGAAAAGGGAAAGAGUGGAAAAUGGAACUGUAGUUUUAAAUUGGCGAUUUACGGGAAGGAUAUUUUUAUGGAAUGAACUAUGUGGAAGAUAUAUGCAUGGAAGGUUCUAAUUGAGUGAAUGAUACAUGGUCUCAGCAAACUUUUCACUUUGGACUGCUCUCUUUUGUGCAUCUGUUGUGUGGAUUUAUUUGCUUUGAAGGUACUCAAAGUAGAAUAAAAAUUGGAACAAUCACUGAACAAAUUUAAUCGGCUAGGAAUGAGCUAACAAUAUAUAUAUCAAACACGCGUAAGCAUGCGCGUCACAUAUAACUCCAUCCUGCAAUUAUAGGAGGGGAGAAAUCAGGAGUCGCAGAGAAUAACCAAUGCGAGCAUAUGUGAGCACCACCAAUCAGCAAUGCCGACCAUUUUGGGUGCACCAAGGAAUUGUUAUCAAGUCGUUGGAAGAUCAAGAUAUUCAAGAUCACGUAAUAGCUAGCUAGAUAGGGUUGUGUAGAGUAUAACGACGUGGCUGGGUUUGAAGCAGCAAAUAAUUAACAUGGUAUUUUCGUUCUUGUACGGUGAUUCUUGAUGUCAGAAGAAUCAUAAGGAACAGACCAAGAUAUUGUGGGCGCAAGGAUUCGAUUGUGUCCUCACACUCAUUUUCCUCGUCAACUUGUCGUUCUUCUCAAAGUGCAUAUUGCAAGUCUUGGCUCCACGUUGGUUUUGCCUGCAGUAGAAUAAAUUUUAACAGCUGUGAGUUUAUGCCAAAGCCGACCCACAAGCAAGCCGAACAAGACAUGUGCUUUGGGCAUGACAAGGAACUAAGUUUCGUAUUUUCUUUUCAUACCCGUAUUUUACGAGACUGGCUAUAAUGCUUACUUGUAUAUGAUACAAUCAAAUAUUUGACAGUGAGAUAUAAGUCAUGUGAUAUUUAUAUAAUACAAUCAUCAUCUAACCGUCAAAAUAAUGAUUGUAUUGAGUACAUGUAAGUAUUGUAGUUAAAUUCCAACAUUCUUUGUUUAGUUAAUUCAAACUGUUUAAUCUGACCAUCGAGAUGACUUUCUCACCUCCACAAAUAAAUUGUAAUGAUUUUUUUUUUUUAUCUAAGAUAGAAAUUGUUGUUUGCUACACAUCUAUCAGAGGUGGGCGUACCCUACUAACCCGAGAGCUUGAGGCAUGCAUAAUGUGAACUUGGCAUGAGGUGGUGAUAUGAAUUAUUCUUCCACUUGACUUAAUUCUUCAUACAACCAAUCACUUUUAAUGCCUUCUUAGUUAUAAGACCACGCUACAAGACUCGGCGACAAAUUAGUUAAUAUUAUGUUCUUUAAAUAAUUAUUAUCUCAUGGGACAAAGAAUCAAUAGGGAAACAUCAUUUACAUGAUUAUGUCUUAAGAAAGCUAGGUAGGCAAGCAUUGGUCGAAUUAGAAUGUGGAUUAUUGAUGCAAAUUUCCGCCAUCUUCAGUCUUGACGAAAAUGCACCUGCAAAACAAUUAACAUCUUUAAUCAAGGACCUAAGCCUCACACACCCACGAGGUGGGGGGGGGGGGUUAGGCCAAUGGAUCUCUGAUGCCUAAGUUAGUUUCUCUAUGAGAAUAAAGUGUUUAGGGCCUUUUAAGGGUAGCAAAAGCUUCUGAAAUUUGGUAGAAUAUAGGGUAUUUAUAGGGAUAGAGCCAGCCAUAGUCUUAGGGUUUAUGGAGAAAUAUUAUCAAGAUAUUAAAUAGGAAAUAAUAUCUUGAGAUAAUUGAGUAAUUAUCCCUAAUUGAUUUAAAUUGAGAUUAUUUACUUGAUUGGAGUCAAUCUUCAAUUAGGAAUGUAUUAAAUAUAGAAUUUGGGUAAUUAAUCCUUAUCUUUAAUGCUUUGACUUUUCCUUGCCAAGGGCAGGUGAGCUGGGGGCAAUCGUAUUCAGUUGCUGGGACCUUCAGGGGUGUGAGCUGUGCAUGGGAGCAUCUAAGAAGUCUGCACAUUUGUUGAAGGCAAUCUUGUCUUUCUUGGGAAAAAGCCCAUGUGUCGCCUCUACAAUUAAUGAGAUUAUUUUAGGCUCCACAAAUGCCCCACACCUACUGGGCGGCACGUAGAAAAAUGGCAGUAGGUGUAGAAAUCCCAAGCUAUGUAGGCUUGUAUAGUUGUUUCCCAAUUUGAAUUUGAUAUUCUUUCUUGAUUUGGAGAUAAACUUCUUCUAGGAAAAGGAAACCAAUUGCCCCCAAUACCUAUUUAAUUCUGCCUUAAGCAGGGGAUUAAAUAAAUUUGGAGAACAAUCAUCAUUCCAACAAGGAAGAGAAGCCAAAGGAAAUUUUUCUUCCCCCUCCCCUAACUUUCUUCUUCUCUUGCCCUUGCAAGGAAUCGUCUCUUGUUGUAGUUCUUCUUUUCCGUGCCGCACCAAGGUAAGAAAAAUUUGAAUUUUCUUCUUCUUGAUUUCUUUGGAGUCUUGGGACUUGAAAAUUGGCUCGGUAAUGGUCGAUGAGGUGUUAAACAUACAACAAGGAUGCCAUAGGGCUGCUGGUGGUGCGGCAAGGGAGUCAGCUGGUGUGGGCCAGGGGUUUGGCUUAACUUGGGCCAAGAAGAGAGGUGAGUUGGGGCGUGGAGAGGCCAACUUGGGCUGAACCUUCAAAGUUGGUGAGGGAGAGAAAGAGACCGGUGCGGGCUGGGUCUUUUGCUGGCGUGUCAGGCUAUGUGGCCUUGGGCCCUUUGUGGUCCUGUGGUCUUUGGGCAAUACUGUGGAACGCUGGGCGCGAGAGAGAGGGAUAACAUGGUCUGGGCCGUAGAACCUGGCUUGCUGUUGGGUUCCUGUAGCUUGAGCCUGUGCGGAGAAAGAGUGUGAGGGCCAUGGGGCAUAGCCAGGGGCGUUGGGCUCGCAGUUCUUUUUAUUUUGUUUUAUUUAUAUAUUUUUUUUGCUUCUUUCGCGAGCUGUCUUCCUCCAAUCGCAAAAGUGAUGAAUAUCCUCCAAUUUUGUAUUGUCAAGGUGGUUUUUCUGGCAAGGUGGGCUAUUUCAAGGCUGCGCAUGUCAAGAUCAAUUUUGAGGAGUUGUUUCGGGAUUAUUUUCUUGAGCCUUACGAGCAUGCAAUUCCGUCAGGGGUUUGCGACAAGCGGGUGAAGGAUGAUAGCGGCCAUAAACCAUGCAGUGAGGGCACCACUACUAGGAAGAAGGCUAUCAAAUUCCAUUCGUAUUACUUCGUGUUGGGAUUCAAUUUUCCCAUGUCGCGUCUUUUCCAAGAGGUGAUAUGCUCCAUGAAAUGCACGCCUGCUCAGUGCUCCCCCAAUGCAAUUCGUGCGAUAGUGGGAUUCCUCAAUCUGAGCAAAUUCUUUAAUCUUGGCUUAGCCAUAAAUGAGUUCUGGUACUUUUUUGAAAUCGACCACAAGGAAGGUGUAGGGCAUCUGAGAUCUCACCAUAAGCCGCUCGAUGCUCCCUGCAAAGGUGAUUAUGAAUGGGCAAGAGACACCUUAGAGGUAAGUGGAGAUUAGAAGUUUGACUCCUCUCCUGAGCUGCGCGUUCCAACUGUCUUUAUUAGUGGUAAGUGAACUGCUUCAUUCUUGUCCUACUUGAAUUUUUGUUAAGCUGCUCCAUGACUUCAAUUUACUGAUCGUCAUUCUUACUUCCAGUAGAUUCAGAAUUUGGCUCAACUCCAAAAACUUUGGCCGAUAUGAAGAAAGUGCACAUCGCCUUGGGCAUUUCUGCUGAAUACCUUGAGUGGCGCUGAUUGCUCAGUCCUCUUCGUUGGGAGAAAGGCGGGCUGCCUCCGAAUGAAGAGAUAAAACGGAUAAAGGAUAAGGCGCUUGCUCAUCUAAUCGCUGUUGUAGAGCCUACUGCUAAUGAGGGUGGAAAGAAGAGAUCUUAUUCACCUGCCAGUAGGCUUUCGAUUGAGAAAAAGCCAAAGACUUCUUCUGCUGCUCGUGAAGGCUCGUUAGCUACUAAAAAGCUUGUGAUUGAUUUGACUUCUCCAAAGGGGACAAAAAAGUCCAUUCAGCCUGAGCCUGUGAAAUCUGCUGUUUCGAAGGUGGCCACGUCCACUGCUGAAAAGAUUGCCUAGCGAAAAGGUUCAGUGGUGCCCCCAAUGUCCGAGUUUGUGUCGAAUAGCCCUUCAGGAGCUAAGUCCCGUUCAGCUUAUGAGAGGCUCACUGCUAUGAAGAACAUGAAGGUGGAUUCUAUUACUAAGGUAGCACUGGGCAUGUUCCUCCUUCUGCUACGACUUACUCGUCUGCUGAGAAAGGGAAAUUUGCUCACAUGGGUAGUUGUGAGAGAUCCACCGAGUCUGAGGCUAGUGAGUUUCCCGAGGUUUAUGUGCUGCUGAAGGUUGACUUGCUUGAGGAUGUCAAUGUAUGCGCCAAGUUCAUUGACAGUGUCGUGAAAGUUGUCAUCCGAUCAAACUCUUUUGCGAAACAUCCUGCCUAUUUGAGGAGGUCCUUCCUGAUUGCCACAAUGCAUAAGACUUUGAUCCUAGCAGUUGAGUCUAUGCACAUUGAUCAAGAUGUUGUCAAGUGUGUUAUGGAAGCCGAAGUGGCAUUAAUGGCUUAGCUUCGCUCAGUUGCUAAAAAGAUUGAGAAGCUCAAAUCAGAACUAGUCAUUUUGAAAGGGUCUAAUGUCUCUACCCUCAUUUCUAUACAACUGGAGACCGCUCAUCAGGAGGUCGCGUAUUUAAAGGCUAAGCUUAGUGCGACUCAGUCAAUGAUGGAAGCUGCAGAGAAGGAAGUCAGUCGUGUUUCUCUAGUGGUCAAGGACCUUGAGCGUGUCAAUUCGGAGCUACAAUCUGCUUAUUUUGCCAAUGACGAGGAGUUUGUCUUCAUGCAUGCUACAGUGUCUCGUCUUAAGAAGCUUGUUUUCAUGCAUGCUGUCUGCUAGCGAAACCUAAGAAAUGAACUAGAUGAGCUACAGGGUGCUCACACUAGGCUUGUUGAGGAAAAUGUAUAGCUGAAGAAUGAGAAAGCUAAUCACAAAGUGGCGCUUGCUUCUUGUCAGGCUGAUUUCUACAAGCUUGGCUAUGUAGACCAUCUUCAGGGUAGGCCAUUAGAUUAUGAGUUUUCCAAGAAGGACUUCGAGACUUUCUCUAUUUCUCUAGUUGAUCUACUUGAUUUCUCGUUUGAGGCUGCCUUUGGUGAAGCAGCUGAAGGUCAGGCAGUCCAGGCAGAGGUAACUGAGGAUGAGCUGAUGGAAGCUUUAGCUGCAAAGAGCGAAGCAGUUAUUGAAGGUGUGGCAGUUGAGGGACUAGUGGUUACGCAAGCUACCGACGAGUAACCUUUUUGCUUAGACUUAGGAAUUUUCUUUUUUUUUCCUUUUCGUUUUGCUUUAUUUGAACUUUGUGGGCCUUCAAGCUAGUUUAUCAAUUUCUUAGAAAUUUAAUAAACAGAUUUCCUUGCUUUGCUUCAAUCUUUCUAUUUUGCCAUGUCUUUUGCGAAACUUUACAGUAGGAUGGGCGGCUGGGUAAGUUGCUUCAAUGAAGCAGUCAAUCCCACGUCAUCACUUAGGUUUUAGUUUCGGCUUUAGGGCUUCAGGAGCCUUGCUUGCUUGAGGCGACUUGCAAAACUUUACCGUAAGACAGGUGAUUAUGUUGGCUACUUCGAUAGAACAGUCGAUCCCACGUCGUCACGUUAGGCUUUAGUCUUGCUUUGGGGCUUCUAAAGAUUUACCUACAAGAGGAAAAAUGCGAGAUUUAUAACUUAUAAAGCCAGCGGCCUAACUCGUCACCUUCUCCAUGUAGUGCAGUAAUUGGUUAUGUGCCCGAGACCUCUGUAGAAUGCGCAGUACUUUGUCUGAUCCAUCUUGGAUGGGUAUUCUCUUAUAGACAGUGGCAGCUUGAACCACGACUUGUCCUUGAGGUCACGAAGGAUCGGGUUGAUCGGGAUUAAGAACUUGGUGUACAUUUUGGGCACCGUGCCUCCUUUCAUUAGGGAUCGAUCCUUGCGUCUGCUUCCUGGCUUGUUUUUAUUAUUGAGCGCUUUGUCACUAGCCUUCUUCUGAGUCAUCUCUGUGUCUUUGCGUAGCUACUCAGGCUACUUUUGGGAGGGUUUGGCCUCAUCCCAAAAGGAAUGCUUUUUCGCCAAAGCAUAAGAGUCUGCCAGGGUCAAGUUCUCGUCCAUGAUUACUUCUCUAAAAAGUGGGUGAUUUGUUAGAAGUCCAUUUCGGAAGGCUGAGCAUGCAAUGCUGUCAUCGCAUCCGACGAUCUUAGCAUUCUCCACCUUAAACCUCUUGACGUAAAUACGGAGUGGCUCAUUCGGGUCAUUCUUCAUGUUGAAGAGGUGAUCAAACUUCUUCUUGAUCAAGUGGUAGGACGAAUAUUUCAUAGUGAAAACCAAGGAAAGUUCACUGAAGUUCCUGAUUGAUCGUGACAGCAGGGUGUGGAACCAAUCUUGCGCUUCGCCUUAGAGCGUUGUGGUAAAAAUCUUGCACAUGAGAGCAUCGUUGUUGGUGUAGAGGGUCAUGUCGGUAGUGCAUCAGGUGCCUGUCCGGAUCUUCAUCUCCUUUGAACAAGGUGAAAUGUGAUAGGCUGAACUUCCGCAACGACUCCAUCUGCUUAUUCUCAUCUGUGAACGGUGACCUGCUCAAGUUGACCACAUCUCUACGAAGGGCAUCGUCAGAAGUGCCAAUACGCUGGAAUCCGCGCAGCUGCUCUGCUACGAGCCUUUGUAUUUCUUCCUGGAUUUGUGCUUAGUGAGGCAAUGAAACCUCUAACUGCCCCCGGUGUUGACCUGCUGGUCCAUGUUGUUCUUUGGCAUGUCUUGCUCGUCUGUGUCGCGGUCACGGUAAACUAUGAUACUUGCCGUAACACUGGGCGGGGGCUGCCAGUGGAACUUGAGCUUGAAUGCCCUCGUGCUCUCCUAUGUCCAUCAUGAGGCUGCCUACUCCGAAGCCUCGUAAAAGGAUUUCUUUGUGGGCCUAGCCUCAUGUGGACACUUCUCCUGGAAUGUCCUGAAUGCUCGUCGGAGUGUGGACCCAACCUUGAAUGCACACUGACUCGUGAACUGAGUCAAGAAUUAGCGUUUAUCUGCGUAUCUAGGCAGGAGAAGGCGCUUCCCUAAGGGCCUAAAAGAGAGUUCACACUACUUGAAUGUGAGAAUCUUUGUCAGGACGUCGCUAGACUGAGUCAUGUUCUUCCGCCCUUGUCCUACUUCUAGACACCUCAUUUGGGGCGUACUGCAUCUUGAUAUGCCUGAUAAGUUGGUUCAUUAAGGUGGUCUGCUGUAAGAGGGUGCUCGUCAAAUUAGCGACCUGUUGGGGCAGGUAGGGCUCGUCAUUUGGAUUAGAAAAGUCUGGAUAAUGGGUGUCUCCAUGUAUAGUGGAAGUGUAGUGGACUGCAGGUACAAAACUUGAGCCCAAAGCAAGCAUUCCUGCAGAAAAAUAAGGUGAAAAUAACCUUGAAUCGAUCACGUGAUCGGUGGUCAGAAUCUGGAUCACCGGAGGUAGCCUCGGGUUGGAUUGGGCCACAAGCUGGGUUGUCAAAGUGGGUCGCAGGGCGGGCCAACCCAGCUGGGUGGUGAGGUUCUGCGUGUGGUCAUGUUGGGCUCACGCAUAUGGCAACUGGUCUUGGGCCUGCACUGUGUGCUGGGCCGGUAUAUGAUCUUCGUAUUGGGUCUGGGCUACGCAUGCAAUAGGAAUGGCUUGGCGCUGUGUUUAGGUUAUGGCUACUUGGGUUGUUAGUUGGGUUCUAACUACUGCAUCUUGGGCCUUCUAAGCUCAGCCUGCUUCUCUAUGGACUUGGGCCUUCUGCCCAUGGGCUAAUAAAUAGACCUGGGCCCUCCCGCCCAGGGUUUUAGGAAUUGGGCCGCUGCAAAGGCAAUGUUGCAAGAGCUUGUGCCAUGGCCUGGUGGCUUUGUUGUGGCUACUGGGUCACGACGGUAAUGGUGAAGCAGCUCCGCAGCGGCGGGGCUCCUCCUGCCAUCGCGUUGAGCCUUGAUGAUCUAUGUCGUAGGGCUAUAUCCUCGUCUCCACUAUUCGAUCUGAAUCCUUGUACAUACGGGGUUCCGUUCGUUGUGGUUUCUAAAUUUCCUACCAUUGUAUCAUUUCUCCAAUGAUUGAUCAAGAAGCUUUUCUAAGAAAAAUUAAUUGAUACGACGUGUGAGAAAUUCAAUGUAACAGAAAAUUCAAGAAACCAAUGCAAAUUUCCGCCGUCUUCAGUCUUGACAAAAAUGUACCCGCAACACAAUUAACACCUUUAAUCAAGGACCUACGCCUCACACACCCACGAGGUGGGGGGGGGGUUAGGCCAAUGAAUCUUCGAUGCCUAAGUCAGUUUCUCUAUGAGAAUAAAGUGUUUAGGGCUUUUUUGGGGUAGCAAAAGUUUCUGAAAUUUGGUAGAAUAUGAGGUAUUUAUAGGGAUAGGGCCGGCCAUAGUGUUAGGGUUUAUGGAGAAAUUUUCUCAAGAUAUUAAAUAGGAAAUAAUAUCUUGAGAAUUGAGUAAUUAUCCCUAAUUGAUUUAAAUAGGGAUUACUUACUUGAUUUGAGUCAAUCUUCAAUUAGGAAUGUAUUAAAGAUAGGAUUUGGGUAACUAAUCCUUAUCUUUAAUGCUUUGACUUUUCUUUGCUAAGGGCAGGUGAGUUGUGGGCAGUUGUAUUCAGCUGCAGGGACCUUCAAAGGUGUGAGCUGCGCGUUAGAGCAUCUGAGAAACCUGCCCAUUUAUUGAAGGCAAUCUUGUCUUUCUUUAGUUUGAUUUGGAUAUUUGUGGCUUGGUUCCAACCUCUUUACCACCUCUCAAAAUGAUGGCUUUUGCAGAUUCAAAUCCACCUUUUGGGUUGACAACGGUUGAACUAGGCUAUUUGCCUUGCUCUUUGAAUUGGCCCAUGAAUUACGCCAUUUGCCCCAUUUGCUUCUUCAAUUCAUCUACCUCUUUGGCUUGAUUUUGCAUUCCCUGCACCACAUUGGUUAAUAAUUGAACAAUUUGAUCGUUAUCCAUGAACGAACCUGAUUUUGGUUGGGCAAAUUGUGGUUGGGGUUGUGUUGGUACGUAUAGCCUUGGAAACAUCCCAGGGGGUGGUGGUCGAAAUCCUCCUUGUUGUGGAAGUUGUUGAGGCUCCCUCUAUUUCAUGUUUGGAUGAUCUUUCCAGCCCGGAUUGUAAGUAUUAGCAUAUGGAUCAUAUUUGGGCUGGUUUUGGCCUUGAAACCCAAUGGCUUUGGCACUUUCCCAUCCUCAAUUCUCAAUCAAUUAAGGGCAUUUUUCAGAUUGGUGUCAUUGUAUAGAGCACAUGCCAUAAAUUGUGUUUUCUUGCACUUUGGGUCUUUCAACAACCUGUGACAUAAGAAGAGUGAGAUUAGCCAAUUGAGAUUGAAUUUCAGAAAUUACACUUACCUCAUUCACAUGUUGCGGCCGUGGGGGUUCUUUCUGUCCAACUCCUUCGUAUUGUUAUGCAUUCAAGGCUUGGUUGGCAAUUUGGGUCUUGGCAGGUGUUUGUCAACCAAAGCUCAUCCCGCUGAGGCAUCUAGCAUUUGUCUUUCAAUGGGAAGAAGUCAUUCGUAGAAAUAUUGAAGGAGAAGCUUUUCUUUCAUUUGAUGUUGAGGACAUGAUGCAACGAGAGUCUUGAAACGCUCAUAAUACGCUGGAAAGAAUUCUCCUUGAUUUUGUUAAAUGCCACUAAUUCUCUUCCUCAAAGAAUGACUCUUGACGUUGGAAAGAACUUCUCUAAGAAUGCUCUCUUCAUGCUUUCCCAAGAAGUGACUGUUCCAGAUGCCAAUUCAUACAACCAAUCCUUAGCCUUUUCCAAAAGAGAGAAUGGAAAAGCAAGUAAAUUAAAGACUUAAAUAAGUUUGCACAAAAUUGGGGGAAAAUAUGGGUGAAUGGCUAGCUACAAGGUCCUUCUCCACACAUGACACGCUUGCAUACAAAACGAUUUCCAAUUGCUUUUCCAUUAAACCAUGAACCUCAACACCCCAGAUUAACCGUGAACAGCACUAAUUAACCCUCAGAUUUUCCUUAAGUCAUUGAAUUGCAUGGAUAACACAUCGGCAACCAAAUUAUUCUUCAAUAGUUCCCUACAUGAACAGCAUAAUAGAGAUACAAUAAAAAAUCAUUAAGCUUUGUGAAAAUCAUUAAGCUUUGUGAAAAUCAUAAGCAUUGACAAGGCAUUCGUAACUAUAAACAGCAUGAUACUCCUGCCAGGAAUCUACUUGACACGAUUGUGACUAGCAACCUCGACUACUUAUGAAUAUAAGUUCAUAACAUUUAGGUGAAAUGAUAAGCUCAUAUUUAUAUAUAUUUUACAUCAAACUCACUUGUCUUUUCUUAGUUAGCUCCGUAUAUUUUUGAGCUAUUUACUUUGUUUUUGUGUUUUCUAGGAUUUGUCAAUCAAAGAAAAGAAAAAUAGCACAAGUGGGAUUUUAAGUAACAAAUUUGUCAAAACUGCCUGUGCAGGUCAACUGACUUUGGAAGCAAGUUGUGAACAGCUCAAAAUGAAUUACAGAAUGAGCUUUAUAUGCUUGGAAAGCUACGGAUGUCUAUUUUCUGGAGCAUUUCGUGGAUUGUUAAUAUCAUUUUUGUAGAAGAAAUGAUCGUUUUAACACUGAAAGGUUCAGAAGAGACUGAGCAGUUUGUAACUGCAAUGAAAGCAAUAAACCCAAUAAAUCUAGCAGCCAAAACUGAUGCAGCCAAGAACAAGCCAGUUGAUACCUAUUCAAAUAUCAGAGGAAAUGGAAAUAAAGAUGAGGAUUAAGUGGGAGAAAUUGGCAUAAAGGAUACCCAAAGAGUUACAAUUGUUUUACCAUUUCCUCUCACUUAUUGCCAUCACUAAAUGGCUGUUAGUGGGUGAGUUAAGGAGAAGAAAAUGGGGCAGCAAGUUAAAAAGGGGAAAGGCUGCAGGUUGCAGGUUGAAAAAAAAAAGAGAGGAAAAAAAACAUAAAAGAAAGAGGACAAGGCAGCUUUGCGGAAAGGAAGGAAAGGAAGAAGGAAAUCUUGGCAUUCUCUCCUCUCGGUUUUAUCUUCUCAAACUUAUGUCUUUCUUUUGGUUUUAUUUGAUAAUAAUGUGUAACUAAAUUUUUAGUAGUUAGGGGCUGUUUUGAAGCCCCGAAUAUGACUGCAAGUUUGUUAUGACAUUUUGUUUGAAUUACUUUUAUGAAUGGAUGAAAAUUGAUUCACUACUUGUCUCAUUGAUGAAUUCUUUAUGUGUUUUCUACGGAUGCAUACUUAGUAAGCAUAUCUAGGAUUCUAACGCUAUGAAUAUAUGUGUGCCUGCUCUUGUCGAAUGAGGACCUACAUAUGUUCUAAAGUAGUACUUGUUAAUUGCGAUUAACAUGUGAACCAAUUUCUAGGAUAAGUAAGACAACACCAGUACUUACGAUGCCUAGUGAUGACUCAAACUCUUUUCGUUCUUAAUGAUUUCUACUUGUUAAAUCUAUGAACAUGCCAUUCUAGAUUGCAUGCUAGGGACUAAGUUAAGUUGAAAACGCCAUUCUCUUAACGUACUACAUAAGAAAGAGUAAUAGGUUGAUUUAUAACAUUGAGCCAACUUGAGCAUCUUCAUCCUGAAAUAAAAGGAAUUUGAAUGAAACAUAACAUGUUUGCAUGAUUAUUUGGUGGUGGAUAGCAAUUCCCCUAACUCGUUUUUCUUAAUUUGUGAACUACUUAAACUUUGUUUCUGUCCUGUUUUCGUUUGAUUUAAUUUAAAUAGCAAAUCAACUCCACAAAUCCUAAAAAUUUGUGUGAGUGUAGCUCUGUGUGUCUAGUGUGUUUAUAUAAAAUUUCAUAGACUUUAGAUAAGUGUAAGUCAGUCUAAUAAUUAUUUUUCGGUGGCUGGUUAGUAGGGACAGCAACCAGUUUUUGUGACAUUUUAAGUAGUUAGAUAAAACAAUCUUCUGCGGGAAAGACCCUUAUUUUCAUAUGCUACAAUUGACAAAUCUUAGUGUUAUUAAGGAAAAUCAAUAGGACAUUUGUGUGCUACUUUGUGGUGUGCUUUUAAUUCUAUCAUGAAACUCCCUUAUAUGCUAGCUUCAAAUUCAUGCAUGCAAACUAAAUAUGCAUCCUUAAUCCACAAACAAGAACAAGUUCUGAAUCAAACAAUUAAGUAAAUUGCAUUCACGAUUUAUAGAAUCACAACUGGAAGUAAUCAAUUCAUAUUGCAAAUAUAUUCAUGGCUUUGAAUUUCCCCCUAGCGAAAACGAGUUUAGCUCCUCAUGUUCGCAAAACAAAGAUAAUUAAACUUAAACAUUGAAAACAAAAGAUGGAUUACAUCUAAGAAUGUUCCAGCAAUCCAACUUGAAUGGCAAGCACAUCCAAGGGUCCUCCUUCUUCUUUGUUGCAGCACAAGGUGUGGGUGAAGGUUUGAGUGAUGAAUUGUAUGAAGGAAUGGUUGAAAGUAUGAAUGGUAGUGAAUGGAUGAUUGAAUGGUGCGGCUAAGGCAUUUAUUUAUAGGGGAAGGAAAGGACACGGCUGGGAAUUAAUUUGGGAAGAGUUUAAGACUCCAAAUCCUCCAAGAAAAGGGUAACAAAUCAGAAUCCCAAGAGGAAAAGGGUAAGUGAGGUGCGGCAAGGAAAAAAGGAAAGGGGAAUCCCUUGCCGUGCAAGGGAAAGGGUUUCUAGAGGGCAUUGGUGCGGCAUCCCUUUGCGGCUGGGAUUAGGUCUUCUAGAACCUAACAUUAAGUGUCCAAAUAUAUUUGGGAACCCUCCUUUCAGCUGUAAGUUAGUUGGAUUAGGAUUAGGAAAGUGCUGGAACAAAAUAAGGUAACUUAACUAAUGUUUCCUCUUUUCUUGUUGAUCUCCUUAUCUUCUUUAAAUUAAUUCUUCUUUCUCUUUAACACAUUCCUAGCCUUUUCAGUCUUCAAUUUCAUUCAUCCACCUUGCUCCAAACAUGUGAUAUCCAUUCCAAGCCCAAAAAUGCUCUAAAAGGCACCAAAAUGCACUUUCUUACUACUUUAGUCAUUUGGAUCUACAAACACACGAAAAUAACUUAAAAUACUAAAAUAACUAGGAACUAAUAACAUAAAUGCAAGAAAAAGCUAACUAAGUCAUAUAAAUAUGCUCCUAUAUAUAUAUAUAUAUAGAUUAAAAAAGAGUGUAGGAAAUGGAGGGGUUCGAGAGUAGGGGUACUGGGAAGUAUUCAUGAGGCUACCUCUUUUAUGCUUCAAGAUCUCAAUUAAUUGUUGUUUUUUCAUGGUUAAGAGCAAUGGGGAAUUUUUUUGUCAUUAAGGGUAUAUUAGUACUUUUACAUUAAGUUUUGGUUAGAAUUAUCAUAAAACUAAAAUAAUGGCUAUAAUUCUUUAUGGGAUCUAAAAUAUGUUUUUCCAAAUUUCCCCACACACACACACACACACACACACACACACACAUUUAUAUAUAUUAUUUCAUCGUCAGGCUCACUAAUUUUUGGGGUUAGUAUUUUUAAUCUUGCUUAUGGGGUUAUGCUGCGUUUGGCUACUGUGGAAUUGUACCUACUCAAUUGAAGUAAAGUUUGAUAUUUAUUUACUUGAUGACUUCUAGGAAUAGUGAAGAUCUAAAAGAUAAAUGGAGAAUUAAAUCUAAUAUUCAUUUCGAUUAACUAGUUAAUUAAAUAGAUUAAUGUCUAGUGAGUUUGUAAUUUGUUUCUACAAUUAGGUCAAGCAAAUGCAGUUCUGUUUCAGAAACAGCAGCUGUUACAGUAAAUAAAUCUAAUAUUCAUUUCGAUUAACUAGUUAAUUAAAUAGAUUAAUGUCUAGUGAGUUUGUAAUUUGUUUCUACAAUUAGGUCAAGCAAAUGCAGUUCUGUUUCAGAAACAGCAGCUGUUACAGUAAAUAAAUCUAAUAUUCAUUUCGAUUAACUAAUUAAUUAAAUAGAUUAAUGUCUAGUGAGUUUGUAAUUUGUUUCUACAAUUAGGUCAAGCAAAUGCAGUUCUGUUUCAGAAACAGCAUCUGUUACAGUAAAUAGCUCAAUUGUUUCUGGUGGAUUGGUGCUCCUUUUCAUUUCUUUUUUUGGUUUAGGGCAAUGUCGUAGAUAGACACCUACAUUGUAGUGGACCUAGAUAUACAACAGGAAGAUGAGUUAAUUUUGUUUCUCUAAAAAUUCAGCGUCGUUAUUACUCAAAUAUAAACUGUUAGUUGCAGAUUUUUGUAGCAUUAUUGCAACUUCAUAUCCUUAGUUUAUGUAAUUUGUCUACUUGGGUUGACAUAGAAAGACCAAAAAAUUAAACACAAUUACCUAUCAGAUACGCCGUGGAACAGUAUCCCUACUUUCAUAUUCAGCUUCUCUUACCUUAGAAUAUUUGAAACCUUGCAGAGUGUCACCUCAACCUUUUUUCUUCCCUCAACUCCAUAUGGAAAAACUUGAAUGAACAAAAACUCCCUAGCUAGGAAUCGGUACAAGAAUUAUUGAAACAUAAUUAAUUGGACAAUACAUAAGAAAAUUUUAGUUGUCAGUUAUAAAAGAAGGGUUACAAAAUAAUAGCAGCAAGUUCUCAUCUAAAAAAUGUAGCUCGGAUUGAGUAAAACAUUAACAUGUGAGAAAGCAACUUCUGGUUAGAAAGCUUUCCAUGUAGGACUAUCCAAGCCAUCUUCAAGCCCCAACUGGUAUGGAUCUCCAAAGGGCAAUGCAAGAAUCAUAUGUCUGUAAAAAUAUUUUUCAAAACACUUCUAAUUAGGCUACAAUCUUUGUUAAAAUUUGUUUUAGCACUCGUCCUUCUUGAUUUUAUUGUUUUUGUGCUUAAACUAGCAAUGGUAUAUACUAUAUAUAACAGAAUUUAAAUGAAUAUGAAUAAAUACUCGGAUUGUAAAAUAGUGUAUAAUAGUAGUGCUCUUUAUUAAUUAACUCACCGGGGUUAGUUGCUAGGAAUCGUAUGGCAACCCAUUCACCAGACAGCACACCCACGGUAUUUCUUUCAACGGCGUUGAUCAAAUUAAAGUUUGCAGAGUCCUUAUUCCGGUCAAAGUUCCCGAACCGUUACCCAACAACAAAGAAAUUAAAUCCAUGCAGAUGAAAGGGGUCGCUUUCGGCGCCCAGAAUGCUUGUGUCUUGCAUGACCAACUCCGCCCUAUUGUUCUAUGGAAGUACCAUUAGUUUUGUACUACCAUAGUAUCAUUAGUUAGGAUGCCUGUAUAGUCAAAUGGAAUUAUAGGACUGCUUGGAAAGUCAGGGCUCUCGUUAAGUGGAAUUACAGGACUGCUUGGAAAGUCAGGGCUCUAAACCCCAUUCGAUUGCCUGGAGAAGUUCGCUUGAAGUAGAGCAGUCGUUGUGUUGAAGGAAUGAAGUGUGUCCCGAUGGGUUUAGGGUGUAUCUCUAGGGUAAGCUUUUUUUUUUGGUCAACGAUCUCUAGGGUAAGCUUAAGGCUAUAUUGUUGUGAAUCAGUUUUUCCUUAAUUUAAGGGAAGUGACUGAUUAGUGUAAAGUAGAUAAAGCUUUUCCUUGAUCUAAGGAAGGUGACUGAUUGGGUUAAGUAGGUUAGCUCUAGUUGGCUGUGAUAGACAGCCUUCUUUUAUUCCUCCUAGUCAGCUGCUUGCAGUAGCUAACUAUCCGGACCUCUUCUUCUUCUCCUCUCUCAUAUAUAACUUGUCACUUGUACAUUUGAAUAUAUGAAAAUACAUUGAAACUUAAAGCUAGAAAAUCUACACGUUGGCAUUGCAAAAGAAACGUUAUUAACUGAAGCUGCAAACAUUGUUCCAUUAGAUCCCCGAAAGGUUUGGUUAUUGUUGCUGCAGGGGUUCGUUCCAAGGCCUAUUGUGAAGAAAAAGUGUUUGUUAACCUUAUGGGGGACAUUAGCAGGAAAUUGUGCAUUGGCUAAUUAUUUGUAUCAUAUUUACGGAUUGAAAACAUCUUUUAUGUGAAAUUGAAUGACACACAUAUCCCAGUAAUCAACCUUGGAUGCUAAUUUUAGAUUUUAAUGCCAUUACUAGUUUAAAUGAAAAAGUAAGGGAUCAACGAGUAGUCACAAACUACAUGUUAAUUUGUGGACUUCCAGAAUCGAGGAGCCUUUCAAGUCUUAAUGCUUCUUGAGUUCCUUUUACGUGGACUAAUAGUCAUAAAGAUAAUAUUGUUAUCUUUGAAAAGCUUGAUAGAGUUAUGGCCAACUCUUAGUGGUUGUAUACAUUCCCCAAGUAUAGGGUUCAUAAGGCCAUCUCCAACCGAGGGUUGGCCAGAGGGCUCGUUUUAGCCCUCUGGUCCUCCAAGAUAUUAAUAUUUUAAUGAACAGUACAAGGCCAUAUUUGCCUCCAUCUCCAAUCGAGAGCCAAAGGGCCAUAUGACUCAUUUUAGCCCUGUCACAAAAAAUCGUCUCCAACCAAAGGACAUAGGGCCAAACAUAAUUUAUUAUUUAAAAACUACAAGUUAAAUUCAAAUUUAACAGCUAAGUGACAUUAGCAUGAUGUCAGCUAGCAGUUGGUAGCUGACUUCAUGCUGACAUUAGCUAGCCGUUGGAUUUGAAUUUAUUUUUGCUAUAAAUAGGGUGGAUAUUGGGCUAUAAUUCACACAACUUUGAAUUCAAUCUAUUUCAAUUCAAUCUCUUUCAAUUCAAUCUUUUUCAAUUCAAGUUUGCCUUUUAAUCCAAGAACUAGUAGUAUCUCUAUAAAUGAGUACAUGAGGCACUAUAGAAUGAUACGUUCUCGUGCUACAAACAAGUACCUACAACAGGAUCUUGUUGCACAUCUUUGGGCCAAAAGAAGCAUGGAGUAGGCGUUUAAGUUUUAUGUUUUUAAAAAUAUUGUAAGUUUCAUGCUGUUAAAUGUUUUUUUUUAUGUUGUAUAAUUUGUAUGUUGGUUAAUGUUAUUUAAUGUUGUUUCAUAUUGUUUAAUGUUGUUUCAUGUUACUUAAUUUAAUUUAAUGUUGUAUAAUGGCUUAGGACAUUAUAGGAAAAAAAAAUAUAAUUUAAAAAAAAUAUGAAACAAAUUUUGUGAAAUAACAGUUAUAGGAAAAAAAAAUAGAAGUUAAAAUAAAAUGAAACAAAUUUUGUGAAAUAGAAGUUACAGGAAAAAAUGGAAUUAAAAAAAAUAUAUGAAACAAAUUUUGUAAAAUAAAAGUUAUAGAAAAAAAAUAGAAUUUAAAAAAAUAUUAAAAAUAGAAGUUAUAGGAAAAAUUUUGUAAAUAAAAAAUAAUAAUAAAACUGUAAAAAAAAAAAAUCAAAUGCACAGCUAGCUGACGUCAGCUAGCCGUUGCAUUUGAAUUUUAGCUUUAGCAUUGGCCAGCCUCGAGCUGGCUAGCUACAUGCAGCCAGCCCUCCAGCCCUUUCAGAUUCCAUGGGGCCCUCUCAGAUUCCACGAGCCCUCUGGCCUAGCCUCGGUUGGAGACGGUUUUUUGGUUAUUUUCGGCAAUUUGGCCCUCUGGUCCCUUUAGUUGGAGAUGGCCUAACUUUCCUAUUUUUGGCUCUAACCAUAGCCCCGUUAAACUAACUUUUUUGGACAAGACUGCUAACUUCUAAACAAAUUUCAAAUUUGAAGCUAUUUGGCUUAAUGAUCCUGAUUGUACUAAUUUGGUUAAAGAAAGUUGGUUGGCCAAUUUCCAGGGUCAUCUAAACGAUAUGUUCAGAGCUUGUGAUAAUUCCUUUAAAUUCAAAGCGAAAGCAUGGAGUAAAAAUAUCUUCGGUAAUGUGACAAAGAAGAUAAAAGAGCUCCUAAGUGAACUGGCAACUGUUCAGGACUGUAUGAAGAAUCCUAAUAGGAAUGAUUGGUUGGAGAAGGAAAGGAAAUUAAAUGAUUCCCUUGUUGCUUUGUACAUGGAUGACGAAAUUCUCUGGGCUCAAAGACUUAAGGCUAACUGGUUGCAGCUUGGGGAUAGAAAUACCAGGUACUUCCAUACCUAAAUCACUAUAAGGAAAAGAAGAAAUGAAAUCAUAAAAAUUAAAGAUGAUCAUGGUAACUGGUGGGAAAAAAAGGUAAACGUAUGGAGGAUCUAUUUAUUCAAAAGUUUAAACAAAGGCUCACCAGCACCAUUCAAAGUCACAGAGAUAAUAAGGUGGAUGAAUCCAUAAGUGUUCUAAAUCCUGUAUCUCAGUAGAACAACAAUUUGCUCAUAAGGCCUGUAACUGAGGCUAAAAAUUUUUAGGCUGUGAAAGCUAUUGGGAGCUUAAAAGCUCCUAGUCCUGAUGGUCUCCACGCUAUCUUCUAUCAUGAAUGUUAGGGUCAUGUUAAGGGCUAGUAAACCUAUCCUUAAAAAUGGAAUGAGAUGGAUUGUUGGAAAUGGUAAAAACAUAAUGUUUUGGUCCCAUAACUAAAUUUUUCCUUUCCCAUUGUCCACUCCUAUUCAAGAUCAAUUAAUAAACUCUUUAAAUUAAAAUAUGAAAGUUAGUGAUGUCAUGGUAGAGAAAAUAUAGAACAAUGAGUUAAUCCUUCCAGUGCUGCCUAACGAUGUAGCAAAUAAAAUUUUUGCCAUCUCUAGCCCUUUAAAUGAUAUGGAGGAUGAGUUUAUCUGGGACCAUCUUUUAAUGGAAAUUUAUCAAUUAAAUUAACUACUUGGAUUCAAAUUGAUGAUGCUCACAGUAAACUUUUCAACGAUUUAUUCAAGAAAGUGUGAAAACUUAGUAUUCCACAUAAAGUUAAAUUUUUUGCUUGGUUGCUUAUAAGAAAUAGAUUGUCUACUUACAAGAGAUUAGAUAAGUAUCAUCAUAAUGGCCAAACUCUUUGCCCUUUAUGCAAUAUUGUAGAGAAUGAUCAACUACACUGUUUUGUUUACUAUAAUCAUGCUUAAGAAGUUUGGAAGCUUUGUAAUAACAUGCGUCCACCGCCACCACCCCCCCCCCCUUCCCCUCCCAUUACCAAUAUGAAUGAUUGGUUAGUGGGGAUGUUAGCUUUAGAUAAAAUGAUCUUUCUGACCUUAGAAAAAUCUCAAUUCUUUGUUGGCAAAUGUGAAAUGAUAGAAAUAAUUUUGUUUUUAAACAGAUUAAACCUUAUCCAACUUUCUGUCUGAUGACAACGACUAUAAUUGGAAAAGAUUUCCUAAAGGCUAAUUUGAAACAGAAACCAAGCAAGACUAAGCAACACCAUUAGAUGGAAAAUGCCUACAGAAGGCUUUUAUAAGCUCAAUUUUGAUGGGUCAGUGGAGGACACUUUUGCUGCUAUGGGUUUUAAAAUAAAAAAUCAUUAGGGGUGUGCUCGCUCGACAUCUUGGACCAAUCACUAUCACCAUGGAAGAAGCUUAGGCUCUCCGGGAUGCUCUGGCUUUGGCCAAAUAACGUCAAAUCAGGAAAAUUGUGGUCGAAAAGGGACUCAAAGGUUGUCUUUGAUGCAGUUUUUGGAAAGUGUACAGUACCAUGGAGAAUUAAGUCCAUCGUUUAGGACAUUAAAUGGCUUACCUCAUCGUUUGAGCUAGUAGAAUGGAACCAUUUCUACAACGAAGCAAACUUCAUGGUGGAUGCUAUCACUUCCCUUGAGCAUAAUUGUACUAAUUUAUAUAUGUGGGAUGGGUGUGUUCCUCACCAAGCCAGAAAAAAAAAGCUCUCUUGUAUUAUUCUCGAGGCCUUGGGUGUCAUUGAAGUUUCUAUUUAAUUUAAUCUUCUUUCUUCCUAAAAUAAAUUAACACAAAUACAUGUGUGAAUGACUAUAUACAAUUGAUAUAAUAUGGUCAUGUGCAUGGUCUAAAAUAUCCAUAAUAUCCCGAUAUUUCCAUCGAAAUUUCCGUGUUUUUGGACUACAGAUAUUUUUUUGGACUACCGAUAUUUCCGAUAUCAUCGAUAUUUAGACCUUGCUAAGUCACUCAUGUAUCUUACCAUGCAAUGUAUAAAGUGUAAAAUAUUGUACUAAUUCAUUAUAUAUAAAUGAUUAUGGUGUGUUUAAACUUCUUUCAUUAAUUACUACAUAUUUUCUACACUCACAAUGUUUGCCAGCUCGCUAUCUAAUCAACUUAAAUCAGUUAUACCUAUCAUGCAAUGCAUUUCCUUCCAAUUUUUUGUGUUAAACUAAUAGAUAAUUGACUAAAUAAACAUCGUGCAAAGUUUCAAUAAAAAUUUCCAAUUUUUUCUUAUAAUUUCCGUAGUUUUUAUUCAAUUUUUAUCGAUAUCGAUAAUAUCUCGAUAUUUCCAUCGAAAUUUCCGUGUUUUUGGACUACCGAUAUUUCCGAUAUCAUCGAUAUUUAAUACCUUGGUCAUGUGUGGGAAAAAUUAGGAAUUCUCAAAGGAAUGAGCUAAAUAUAAAAUAACAAAAGGAAAGGAAAAAUAAUGCAGAUCAACGGCCACCAAUUUAAUAACGGAAGCACAACACAAAAUUUAAAGACCAUCAGAAAAGAGGUAAUCGGCUUAGUUGUACUUGAAAAUGAUUGUUAUUAUGUUGCUUUGGGCUUUUGGAUGAUGGGUUAUGGUAAAGCCUCGUUUGGGCCAAAAGUCUUAUCUUGGACUAUAAUAGCCUAUUUCACUUCAGUUGUUAAUUACUUGCGCCCAAAUCUACUUGGACCAUAACAUGUGUCUUAAUUGUUACUUAGUACUACAGUAUAGUGAUAUUCUUCUUUACUUGUAAGUGACAGGUCUUAGAUUCGAUUCUCGCUAAAUGCAAAUUUGAACCACAUUAUUGCUAACUCAUUGUGAGGCUUAGCCCACUCCCUCACCCCGUUAGUGUAGAUAAUAUCGUUUGUUCCAAAAAAAACAUAUGUCUUUAUUUUAUCUUAAAGUUUUUCUAGAGUUGAGGAAUUGGUUGCAACUUUUGUUUCUUAAAUUUUGUGUUCUAAACUCUCUUUUAUUUGUCAUACAUAUAUACAAUAAUGUCGCUUUGAAUAUAUUAAGUCAUUCCGGAACCUCUUCUAACUAACGAACACAUACCUCCUUUCACUCUCCCUAUUAUCAACUUAUCACUAGGCAAAAAGAGGCGUCACAUUUGGUUUAUGACUAAUUGUUAAAUUGAGCAAUGAGCAUUGAAAAUAGCUUAUUUUCAACAGGUAAAAAAGACUAACCGUUAUGCCUCAUGUAAAUACAAGACCAGGACCGACUGUGAGAUUUUGGAGGCAUGAGGUAGGCCAAUGAAAGGGGGCCCUUGUGUUCUUAGGCAAUCUUACGUUUUUUUUUCCUUUUAUUUUUUAUUUUUUAUCAAUUAGGCAAUCUUACGUUGUACGUUGAUGUACGUUGCUUUUUGGGUUAAAAAUCACUAAUUUAUUAUUAUAGAAUGCCUUAGAUGAUACAAGACUUAAAAAAUCACAAUAAUAAAUUAUUGAAAAACACAUUAAUUUCAUAGUUUCUAUUUGAUUACCUUAAAUCGCAAUCUUGUAGAUCUUGUGAGAUUUGAUUUCCACCAAUAGAAUAGAGAGAUUGAAAUUUGAAAGAAAAGAGAGAAUUGCAAGAGACUUUGGGUGCGUUUGUUUGGGCUCGUUAACUCUUACUGGACUCGCGUGGAUUAUUUCCACCGCUAGAAGUCUUAGCGAGACCCAGAAACCCAUGAGACUGCUAAGACAUUCGUUGCAUUUUCAUCUUCUCGCCUUCCUCUCUGCAUCGCAUCCUCCCUCUCCUCUCUUUGCUCGCGUCGCCAACAUCGUAUCGUCUGGUAGUUUUGAUUCUCCCGUCGCGUCCUCUAUGCACUUUGGUCUCGACGUCGUCCGAUUCACUCCGAGCUUGCAUGCACCCUCGCUGGUAGACAAAGCCCAAAUUUCCUGGAAUUACAAAAUCCAUUCAAAUCGCAAAACCCACACUUAAAAUGCAAAUCCCAAAAUUGAAUUGCAAAAUCAAGUUCGUCUGAAGCUCACCAUCUGCACAUCUUUUUCAAUCGUGAAACACAGAUUUAUGCGGAACAACUUUUCAAGAUAAUAAUAAUAAUAAUAAUAAUAAUAAUAAUAAUAAUAAUAAUAAUAAUAAUAAUAAUAAUAAUAAUAAUAAUAAAAAGAGAGAAACAGGGAGAGCUUUUUUGAGAGAAAGUGUUCUUGAAAAAGGGGAGAAAUGAAAAGAAACCAGAAAAGAGGGAGAGCAUUCAGAGAUGGUUCUGGAAAAAGGGAAGAAAGGAAAAUGAACCAAAAAAGAGGAAUAGGGGUGGGCGCGGUGCGAUGGGCUGCGGUGCGGUGCGGUGUGGUUUUGAAGUUAAAAUCGAAAUGAAAUCAAACUGUUUGGUUCGGUUCGGUGUAGUUUUAAAAGGUUUCGGUUUGAUUUUUGAGAAAAAAAUGUACAAUUUAAAAUAUACAUCUAUUUAUACAUAAGAUGGUCUUAUUUUCCUCAUAUAUUAAUUAAUGAAUAUGCAGCAACAACAAUGCAGCAAAAAACAGUGGCAAAACUGCAAAAAAAGUGCAGCAAAAAGCAGCAGCAAAACUGCAAAAAACAGAAAAACAGCAACAAAAAACUGCACCAAAACUGGAGCAAAAAACUCAGUAAAACUGCAACAAAAACUGCAGCAAAACUGCACCAAAUUUGCACCAAAACUGCACCAAAAAACUGCACCAGGUUGCACUGUCGCAAACUUACAGAGAUGCAAGCAGAAGUAACCAGGUCGCAUAAUUAAAGAUGAGUUUCAAGAAGACGAGUUAAGGAAAAGAUGAGUUUUAAGAAGAUGAGUUAAGGAGAUGAAGAUGUGUUUCAGCCUUCAGGAGUCGAAGUGCAAAACUAAAUGAUAAUGAUAGUCUAGUAACCUAGUUGAACUAAUUAAAAGUUUAAAAUAUAACAUUUAUUUAUUAAUUUUAUUAUAUGGUGCGGUUUCGGUUUCGGUGCGGUUUUGAAAACCCAAAACCGAAACCAAACCGUUUUCUUUGCCGCGGUUUGGUUUCGAAACCAAAACCGUUUCAAAACCACAAAACCAACCGUUCGGUGAGGUUCAAUUCGAUUCGUGUUUCGGUUUCGGUUUUCGGUUCCAAGUGCCCACCCCUAAAGAGGAAGAGCUUUCGUGAAAAGAAAAGAAUGUUCUAAAAAUAAAAAAUAAAGAAAAGAAAAAAAGAAAAGGUUAUUUUGCUUGUUAAUUCGGCACUGCACCAAAUGCUUCACUAAGUUAAUUUAGGUUAUUUAGUCUAAGCCAGUUUAACUUGGUCCCUAAACUUAGAGCUGGUUUGGUAUUGCUAUACUUUGAAAAAAAAACUGCUUCUGUUGUGCUAUGAGAAUAAGCUCAUUUUUGCUGCUUCACGUUUUCAGUUUUUUUUUUAUUAACAGAAGACACCUCAACAUGUUAGUUAGACACCUUAGCAUUUGAUUAGCUCAGUGGUUAAGUUUUAUCUAAAUAUAACAACUGUGAUUUUAAAGACUAUAUAUAUUUGGAUAAUCACUUGUAUUUUGUAAGUAUUCAUGUCAGUAAAUACAACUUGCUCUCCAAGAUCUUUUCUCUCUCUAACAUUUCAUUCUCUUUCUUGUUCUUCACACUUUGUUUCCAUUGUUGAAUCUUUGAGUUCUUGAGAUCAUGAUUUCUCUCUAGUUAUCAUGGUAUCCAGAGCUUAGGUUUCAAUAAAUCUAAGAGGAGGAUCCUGGUUGGUUCAUCUGGCGCUGCGAUAGCUGUUUGGCGGUGGAUUUGGUGGUUGUUUGGCUGGAAUUUCAAUUGUUGUUGGCAAUCGAUUUCUUUGUGUUUUCGUCACAUCAGGUUUCGAUUUCUUUACUGGUUAAUGCUACCUGUGUUCGAUAUUUGUGAAAUUUUUUGAAUUAUCUGUUUGUGUUGUUGAAUGCGAUGAUUCUGUGUUGGUAAUUUUCUAAGGCACAAAGCCUCUAAGUAAUUGUUUGGGAAUUUUUCAUUCAUCUGAUCAAUUCAAAUUCGAGCACGAAACUCCUUGUUAUCUGCAAUUUGUAUGUGAUUUGUCUCCCUGCAGUGAUUUUGUUGAAGACUGGACAUUUGAGUUUGUGAUGAGUUUUGUGGAUUGUUCUUUGUUUUCUUUUGGCAUGAAACCUGUUGAUGUUAAUUGUUGGCACGAAGCCUGUUGCUACUCAUUGGUGGCACGAAGCCUGUUGAUACUCAUUGGUGGCAUAAAGCCCGAUUUAUUCAUCAAUUUCUUGAGCACGAAGCUCUCUACAAAAGUUUUUUUUUUUUUUUUUGUGUUUAGCUAUUCGAUCGAAAAUUCUUUUGAAGCAUGGCGAUGAAUUCUAUCAAGAUGGACAGUUUAUUGGGCAUGUUAACUAUGCGAUUACAAGAUGAUAAUUUUGUGAAAUGGUCCUUUCAAUUUUGAUCUAUUCUUGAAGGUUAUGACCUAUUUGAGCAUUUUGAUGGUUCCUUUGUGUGUCCGUCGAAGUUUGUGGUUACUAAGGAGACUGGGAUUACUACUGAGAUUACAAAAGCCGAUAAGGAGUGGAUUAAACAAGAUAGAGCUCUUGUGAGUCUAUUACUUGCUACACUUGGUGAUGAAGCUGUUGAGUAUGUUGUUGGUUGCAAAACUGCUCAUGAAGACUGGACGAAUCUUCAAGACCGGUAUGCUACUGUGUCUAGGGCUCAAAUUAAUCAUUUGAAGACUGAGCUUCACACUAUCAAGAAAUGGGCUAAUAGUGUAGAGAAGUAUAUGCUCAGACUUAAGGCUUUUAAAGAUCAAUUAAUUGCAGCUAGUGAAGUAACAUUUGAGAAUGAUCUAAUUAUAGUUACUUUGGCUGGCUUACCUGCUGAGUUCAACAUGAUUCGAACUAUGAUUGUAGCUUGUGAGACUCCAAUUUCCUUUAAGGAAUUUAGGGCAUAAUUGUUAGCUGCUAAAAGAACUGCUAAAGAUCUCAUUCUACUUUGACUUUUCCAAUGUCCGACAUGUAUUGCCAUGGUGAAUCUUCUAAUGCUGCUCAAAACUCUUAGAGGUCUUCAUAAUAUUUUGAUGAAGGUUAUGGUUAUGUUGGUCAAAGUCGUGCUGAAUCUUCGAGUAAUGGUUCCAGACCAAAUGGUGGGCUAAUUUCUCAAGCUCAAUUGCCUCCAUUUCAUCAAUAGGGAAAUGGUCAUUUUCAAAAUCAAAGGAAUUAUCAAAAUUAUGGCAGCAAUAAUGGAAGAUUUAAUAAUCGACCCAGAUCUAAUAGAGGUAACAAUGGCAGAUUUUCUAGGAAUUCCACCAUGCCUUCUAAUAAUUUUGGUAACAGUGGAGGAAUUGGAAUGGCAACAUUGGUUCUAAGUCUACUCUGAUUCCUAAAUGUCAAAUUUGUAAUAAGCGUGGGCAUACUGCACCAAAUUGCUUCUCUUGGUAUUUUGCAAGUUCUAGCACUGUUCCUUCAAUUCUAGAGUGUCAAAUAUGUGGGAAACGAGGGCAUACUGCUCUUAACUGCUACCACAGGAGCAAUUAUGCUUAUCAGGAUGCUCAACCACCAUAUUGUCUCACUGCUAUUACUGCACAAACAAAACCAAGUUUUGCUUCUUCAUAACCAAAUUGGGUGCUAGACACAGGUCACAUGAUAGUAGAUUUGGAUAACUUGACUCUGGUGGCCCCUUUUGAAGGAAAUGAACGAAUUACAGUGGGUAAUGGUUAAGGACUUCCGGUUGCUUGGGUUCCAUUUUCACUCCUUCGAAACUAUUAACUUUGCAAAUGGUUUUACAUGUUCCUAAAUUCGUUGCUAGUCUAUUAUUUGUUGAUAGACUGUGUAAAGAUAACCAUUGUUAUGUUAUUCUUGAUGAGUUUGGUUUUUGGGUGCAGGACAAGGCAACAAAGAAAAUCAUCGAAAGAGGAAGGAGUAGUAGUAGUGGCUUGUAUUACAUCCCUCAGCAACAUUUUUUCCAGUAUUCUCAGCUUUUGGACACUCCACCACAUGCUUUUUUAGGGAAGCUUGUGAAGUCUUCUAUUUGGCAUCAUCGACUUGUUCUAUAACCACGAGUUCAGCUAUUUCAUCUGUACUUGAUUCCACUUUGCAAAAGUUAUCUCAUACCAUAGUGUCUGUUGUUUUACCAAGGCAUUUGAAUGAGUUUGAGGAACAAUUAUCAAAUAUGGGAGUGCCAUCUUUGUCUUCUCAAAGUUCCAGUGUAUCUGCCAGUUUAGAUAGCAUCUCAGCACAAGUUACUACUCCUACUACUACUCUACUAGCAACUUCUUCUUCCUCUCAAGUGUUGCUUAUCCAUACUCAGACCCCAACUCAAGUAUCUUUUUCUUUUCCUGAGCCAUGAUAGGAGCAUAUUUAUGCAACUUAGUUAGCUUGUCUCUUGGUAUUUACUUAGUUUAAUUCUAGUUAUUUUAGUACUUUAAGCUAUUUUCGUGUGUUUGUAGGUUCAAAUAACAAAGUUACCAACAAAGUGCUAUUUGGAGCCUUUUGGAGCCUUUUUGGGCCAAGAUUGGAUAGUGCAAGCAUGGAGACAUAAGGAUGGAUGUUUUUGAAGAUUUGAAGGCUAAAAAUCAGCAUGUGUGUGUGCAAGUGUGUUGACCUACAACUCCAAACAUCCAUCAAUUACACCCAUUACAUCCACUCAUUACCAAACACUCAUCCACUACACCCAUUACAUCCACUCAUUACCAAACAUCCAUCCACUACACCCAUUACAUCCACUCAUUACCAAACACUCGUCCACUACACCCAUUACAUCUACUCAUUACCAAACAUCCAUCCACUACACCCAUUACAUCCACUCAUUACCAAACACUCACCCACUACACUUAUUACCAAACACUACACAUUACCCACUACACCCAUUACAUCCACUCAUUACCAAACACUACUCAUUACCAAACACUCGUCCACUACACCCAUUACAUCCACUCAUUACCAAACAUCCACCCACUACAACCAUUUCAUUACCAAACAUCCACCCACUACAACGAUUACAUCCACUCAUUACCAAACAUCCACCCACUACAACCAUUACAUCCACUCAUUACCAAACAUUCAUCCACCACACCCAUUACAUCCACUCAUUACCACAACACUUAUCACUACCACCUUAAUUAGACGGUGGUCCUCCCUAGCCUAUAAAUACAUCCACCCUUCACCAUAACAAUGGGGAAGAAAACGAGAGAGAACACAAUCCACCCAUCCACCCUUCACCAUAACUCACCUAUAUCCAUCCACCACCAUAAUUUACCACUCAUCCAUCAAACCACACCUUGUGCCACAAAAAAGAGAAAAAGGAGGACCCUUGGACGUGUUUGCCAUUCAAGUUGGAUUGUUGAAGCGUUUUUAGGUGUUUUCUUUCUUUUGUUUUCAAUGUGUAAAUUUGUUUAUCUUUGCUUUGUAAGUAUGAGGAACUAAACCCCCCCCUUAGCUAGGGGGAAUUCGAAACCAUGUUCAUGCUUGCAAUAUGAUUUGAUUACCUUCAGUUAUGAUUUCAUAAGUUGUGAAUUCAAUUUGUUUAACUGCUUGAUUGAUAACUUAUUCGUGUAUGUUUAUUAAGAGUGCACACUUAGUUUGCAUGCAUGAAUAUGAUGCUAGAGUAUAAGGGAGUUUCACCUAAUAGUUACAAACUUAUAUUCACAAGUAGUGGAGGUCGCUUAUAAACGAUCGCGUUAAAUAAAUUUUUGGCAGGAGUUUCAUGCUCAUCAUAGUAACGAAUGCCUCGUCAAUACUUAUAGUUUUCAUAAUGCUUAAUGAUCUUUGAUUGUAUCUUUAUUGUGCUUUUCACGUAAAAAACUUUUGAAGAAUGCUUGAAUUGUUGUAUGCGCUUUCCUAUCAAAUUCAAUAACUUAAGGAGAACUUGAAGGUUAAUUUAAGCGGACUUAAUUAACCUGGGGUGUUGAGUUUCAUGAUUGAUCGAAAGAACAACUGAAAAUUGGUUUAUGUGCAAAUAUGUCAUGUGUGGAGAAGAACCUCUUAGCUAGCCUUCCAUCCAUUCAAUUUACUCAAAUUCGUGCAGAUUUCAUUAGUUCUUUAAUUUACUUGUUUUGUUUUCAAAUUCGUCAAAACCAAAACCCCCUUUACUUUAAAGUGUUUUGUUAGUCAAAAUCUGUUUUGAUUUGUGUUUUAGGUGUCCCAAAAGUGUGUUAGAGUCCAAGUCUGCCCAGUUUGUGUUUUUAGGCAGAUUGAGCGUUUUUAGCUUGUUUUGAGUCCUUUGAGUUUGUUUUAAAUUCUUUGAGUCUAGUUUAGUGUUUUUAACUUUGUUUAUAUGUUUUUAAGUCAGUUUAGAGGUUUUAGUAAGCCUUCCUAAUCCCCGGUUUAGAACGAUCCCUACUUGCAUUUAUACUACAAUUUGACAACAAAAGGGUUUAAUUUGUGUGUUAAGUUAAAAUUCGCAUCAAGCCAUCUCAUACAUCUACAGAGUUUGAUACUCAAAUUACUCAUUCAAAUCAUGAACAUGAUGUGUCUAACACUGUUGUGCCUAGUAAUGUAGUAGUUGUUUCUUCUGAUCAUAAUAUGGUUACAAGGUUGAAAAGUAGUGCAAUCCAAAGAAGGAACUAUGCAGCUUAUCAUGCAUCUUUAUCUGAUAAUGAGUUUACCCUUCUUUCACAUACUGAUGAUGUAGUCUUUUGUGGUUUUACUUCUGUGUUGGAUACUCAUGAUUCUUCUGAGCCUUCUCAUUAUAAAAAGGCAGUUCUAUCUCAGCACUGGCGCAAUGCUAUGACAGAAGAAUUUAAUGCUCUUCACAAACAAGUUACUUGGGAGUUGGUACCUUAUCCAAAAAAUAAAAAUGUCAUAGGUAGCAAAUGGGUGUAUAAAAUCAAGAAAGAUCAAGAUGGCAAGAUAUUGAGGUACAAGGCUCGACUUGUUGCACAAGGAUAUAGUCAAUAACAAGGCUUGGAUUAUGAAGAAACGUUUAGCCCGGUUGUUCGACAUACUACAGUUAGGCUUGUUUUAUCUCUUGCUACUAUGCAUAAGUGGGACUUAAGGCAAUUAGACGUGAAAUAUGCAUUUUUACAUGGUGAAUUACAAGAAGAGGUGUUUAUGAAACUAACUCAAGGGUUUCAAGAUCCUUUAUAUCCUAACCAUGUUUGCAAACUUCUCAAAUCUUUGUAUGGUUUAAAACAGGCACCACGAGCCUGGAAUGCAAAGUUUACCAGUUAUCUUCCUACUUUGAAGUUUCAGUCUUCUCACUCUGAUCUGAGCUUGUUUGUGAAAUUCUGUGAUGGUGAUGUAGUAAUUCUUCUUUUAUAUGUCGACGACAUUAUUAUUACAGCAAGCAAUUGAUGAUUUGGCCUCUGUAUUUGACAUGAAGGACAUGGGCAAACUCACUUAUUUUCUGGGACUUCAAGUUACCUACAGAGAAAAUGGGGAUAUUUUUCUUAGGCAGUCAAAGUAUGUCAUUGAUCUUCUUAAUAAGGCAGGUAUGGUGCAUUGUAGGCCUUGCUCCACUCCUAGUAAACCUCAUACACAGUUAUUGAAGGAUGAAGGAGAAUCAUUGUCUGAUCCCACAGUUUAUAGAAGUUUGGUUUGUGCAUUGCAAUAUUUGACCUUUACUAGGCUAGAUAUUGCAUAUGCAGUCAAUUAUGCUUGUCAAUUCAUGAAUAACCCAAUAGAAGAUCAUUUCUGUUUGGUGAAGCUGUGCAUACUUAGGUAUUUGAAGGGUACUUUGACCUGUGGCAUUACUUAUUCAGCUACUGGAAAAUUGGAGUUGCUUGCCUAUAGUAAUGCUGACGCAGCUGAUAUCAAUACUAGACGAUCAACAACUAGAUAUGUUGUUUUCCUAGGAUCUAAUCUCAUUUCUUGGCAGUCAAAGAAGCAAGGCAAUGUGUCUAGGAGUUCAACAGAGGCUGAAUAUAAAGCAUUGGUUAAUGCAACAGCUGACAUUGCUUGGAUUCGACUGGUUCUUAAUGAUCUUCAUAUGUUUCUUCCUUGUGCUCCUGUGUUGCAUUGUGAUAUUCUGUCUACAUUAACUUUGUGUUCUAAUCCAGUCUUUCACACUCGGAUUAAACACUUAGACACUGAUUUUCAUUUUCUUCGUGAAAGAGUACAAAAAGGGGAUAUGGAGGUUCAGUACAUUCUUAUAGAUGCUCAGAUUGCAGAUGUCUUAACAAAAGGAUUACACAAUCCUUUGUUUGUUCGUCAUUGUUCCAAUCUCAGACUGGGUUAUCCCAGCUGAGAUUGAGGGGGAGUAUUAACAAAAGACACUUCAACAUUUGAUUAACUUAGUGGUUAAGUUUUAUCUAAAUACUAUGAUUUUAAAGUCUUUAAAUAUAGUCUUUAAAAUCACAGCUGUUAUCCAAAUAUAUAUAGUCUUUAAAAUCAUAGUUGUUAUAUUUAGAAUCAUGUUUAGCCUCCCUCUCGGUUGGAGAUGUUUUUUGUCACAUGGCUAUGUUUGGCCUAUGGUCAUUUGGCCCCUUCGGUUGGAGAUUGUAUGAAAUAUGGUAUGGCACUGUUCAUUAAAAUAUAAUUUCUUAGAGGGCUAUAGUGUUAAAAAGAGUCAUCUGGCCUUCUUUCGGUUGAAGAUGGCCUCAGUCUUUCUACUUGGGCAUUUUCUAUUAUAUGGAAUUAAUUUGAAAAAAAAAAAAACAUAAAUGCAUCCUUCGUGUUUCAAAUUGAAAACAAUUCACAAAAACCAGUUUUUUUCCCCACUAAGCAAGCAGUUUUUUUUUUUUUUUUUUGUUAUUUAUCUUACUUUUAUAGUGUGUGUGUAUAUAUAUAUAUAUAUAUCCAAAUAGAUACAUAAAAGAAAUUUGGGGCUAGUAAAUCAGAGGUCCUAGGCAGUCGCCUUACUCAGCUUCCCUCAAGGCUAGCCCUAUGUCACUAUAAGAGCAUUUCCAACUGUUGCUUAUAAGCAAGGGCAAAGGCAAUGCAAUUGCCCAAAACACCUCCAACAGGACAAUAAAAGAAAUAAAGGCAAGUGGUGGACCAAGCCAUGCUAGCCCAAAUGCCCAUGUAAGUUAAGCAUUGCCUUCCUCAACAGGCAUGGCUGACUCAGCCACGGUCUUUACGUUUUUUCCAAUUUGUAACACAUGUCCAAAAUCAGGGUGUGAGCCAACAAAACCUGCAAUAGUAGGCCUUGUUGCAACACUAAUUGAAGAGCCUAACGGCUCUAUGACGUGGCACGAUGAGAGCCGUUGGAUUUCCAACAACCUGAUGAUCUGGACUAUUGGAUUUUCAAUGGUAAAGAAUUUAAAAAGUUAUCGAUGCACCAUGUUGCACGUUCUAGUGCGUCAGAUUCAACAAUAAAAAAAAUCAAACGGUCAGGAGUAAUUUGAUUGUUAAAAAUGGAAGGAAAAAAAGAAGAAGAUGGCGAUGCAACAAAUACGGAAGAAGAUUCAUACACAAUUUGUCGAGCUGAUUCAACGCAUAUCCAGGUCUGAGCUAUCUCUAUUGAGUAUAUGCAAACAUCUAAGUAAGUCAACAUAGAGAGUUAAAAUCUGGGCAAGAAGCCCUCACAAAAGCAUAAUCUAUUUAUCAAAAUGGCAAUAAUAUAGCCAAUAAGGUAAUAACAUUUUAUUAUUAAUAAAUUUCAAAUGUGAUUAACAUGUUAUUAUUUGGACCAUCAGGUAAUUAAAAGUAAUCAUUGAUUAUGUAAUUUAUAAUGUUGUUUCAUAAUUCUUUGCUUUGCAUUUGAAAUUAAAUUAUUAGAGUUAAACAUGGAGUUUUACUUUCAAAGAACAAACUUACAAAGUGCACACUUAAACACUUACAAGGCAUAUAUAAAUAAAUAAUAUAUAUUUGUGAAUAAUAAUCGCCCUUAUCUGCGACAACUCGUCCUUAAUUUUAAGUUUUAUAAAUUUUAAAAUAGUGAUUUUAUGAAAAUGCCCUUAGAGGCAAGGAUGUUUGACUUUCGUUGACCAUUCGAAGUCACAAUUAAUGUUUCCGAAUAGAUUUUGAAGCUACGAACGCAUAGGCAAAAGCCGUUUGCGAGUUCGGAUUAUAACAGUAUAGUUACGGACAUUUGAAGUCGUUUCAUUAAACAAUAGAUUUAAAGGAAUAUAAACUCCCACCUUGUGGGAAAGAGGCCAUUCAGGCUAAAGGGAAGGAACCAAUCAGUUAAAUGGUGGAGGACCAAUCAGAAUUUAGGGGGGAGUGAGCAACCAAUCAAAGAGAAGGAGGAAAAAAAAGAAAAGAAAUGAAGCUUUCCUUCUCGACGACUUGUGCACCUGCACAGGGCUCAACCAAUUCCGCCAACUUUCGCCAUUUUCCCCAUCAAACCGCCAUCAUCCAACACCUGCAAUCCUUUCCACAACCUCCCCUCUACCAUCUCCACCCAAAUUCGAAGGUUUUUAAGUCCAAAACCGUGUAGAACCUCACCGGAGCACCGGAGGUGCUUGACGGUGAUUCCUCCGAUCCAGUGAGUUUCACCACCCACCACUACCCUUAAUCAACUCCCCUUAGACCCAGGAAUAAGAUCCAACCAGUGAUAGGGGCGUUGGAACACCGGCAAAGUCGAAUCGAUGAACACCUAUUAUAGGGUUUCAGACGGGUUCGUGGCGAUUUGAGGUUUUUUCGGCCAAAUUGGACUUGGCCACAUAUAUAAAACUUGCUCUACUCAUUGAGAUCUUCAUUUAAUUGAAAUUUGAGAAUUUUUAGAAAUAGUUUAUUUUUCCGGCGAGUUGGGACGGUCGACUGUCGUUUGCAGCGGCAUGUGGGCCGAGGCACCCCCUAACCUUCCUAAGCUAAGUUUGAUACCCCAAUUCCAUAUGUGAAGUCAGAUUGAUGAAAUCUCAUCGUUUGAACAUAGUUUUGAUAGAGACCGCUACUUGAUCCUUGUAUGAAUUGACGAACCGACCGUUGGAUCAUCACCAAAAUUUAAUAUAUUAUAGUAUGUAAUAUUUUAGGAUAUUAGAAACUUACGGAUUGGGAAUCCAACUUAUGGAUCUUCCUAAAAUGGAUUUGUAAGUUCGUAAAAUAAAACGUUGACCGCCACUUGAAUUUGCAAUUGGUGGAGAUCCAACCAUUGGAUCGUAAUGAAACUUUAGUAUGAUGUUCUAGAAGCAUAAUGUGGAUCUUUUGAAGUUACGGAUCAAAAAUCUAAGUUGCGGAUCUUCCGGAUUGAGUUACGUAGGAUUAUGGACCCUACCGCCAACCUUUGACCGAUGAUUGAAUUUUGGUCAAUGGGUUUCAAAUCAUUCUAGAACGUCCUUAGGGGAUGUGUUUUAUGUAAGUUACGUGUUCUAUCGAUAAGAAUUCUAAGACGUUAUUUGAUAUUUAUUCUAGGCGACGAUUGUUCGUGAUGCCUCGAUAUUCGUGCUAGGGAGUUGUAGCCCGGACCUCAGGUGAGUGGGUCUUUUUCUUUUUAUAGUGUAUAGAUAGAUAUAUAUAUAUAUACACACACACACACACACACAUAUAUAUAUAUAUGGUUGAUAGUUUCCACAAAUGAUUUUGAAUUGAUUUAUGCAUAUCAUGCUAUGAUUAAAUAUUGUUAUUAAAAACUUUGCAUUGUUAUGAAAUUGUGAAAUGCCAAACGAUCCUACGGGAUGCGCAGGUUUGAUCAGGUGAGUUUAAUUUGUGAUUGGAAUUGUUGCACCAUAUUGGCAUGCAUAAAUUCAUUUAGUGCUCAUCAUUGUUGCACCCCAGUGUUAGUCAUCCUGUCCUGGGCCAGGGCACAGCCUUCACGUGUAUGUUCACCUCCCGCAUCGCACACUUACCUUGGAUCCAAGUAGGUGCUAGCCUAUCGUAUAGACUCGAUUAGGCAGUUUGAUGCGAAAAUUAACUUAACACACAAAUUAAACCCUCUUGUUGUCAAAUUGUAGUAAUAAUGCAAGUAUGGAUCGUUCUAAACCGAGGAUUAUGAGGGCUUGCUAAAACCUCUAAACUAACUCAAAAACAUAAAAACAAAGUUAAAAACAUUUGAAUAGACUUAAAGAACUCAAAACAGGUUCACAAGACUCAAAAUAAUUUAAAGACACUCGAAACUGCCUAAAAACACAAACUAGGCAGUUUCUGACUCUAACACAACUUUGGACGAAAUUUGGGUUUUGACUUGACUCAGAACACUCUAAAACACAAACAAAACAUAUUUUAAACACUUUGAAACAAGAAAGUAAAAGGGGGAUUUAGUUUUGAUGAAUUUGAAACAAAUAAACAAGUUAUAAAACUAGGCAGAUUGUAAAACGAAUUUAAGAAAUAAGAUAAUGGAUGGAUUAGUUAGAGGUCCGUUCUUCACACAUGACACACUUGUAUAUGAAUUGAUUUCCAAUUGCUUUUCAAUAAACUAUGAUGCUCAACACCCCAGAUUAAUUAGAUACGCUUAAAUUAAUCCUCAGAUUUUCCUAAUUUCAUUGAAUUGGAUGAUUGCAUACAACAACCCAAAGCAUUCCCCACAAGUUCCCUACAUGAAUUGCAUAAUAGAGAUACAAGCAAGAAUCAUUAAGUUCUAUGAAAAUCAUAAGCAUUGACGAAACACUUGUAACUAUGAAUUGCAUGAAACUUAUGCCAAGAAUUCAAUUAACGCGAUUGUGAUAAACAACCUUCACUACUCAUGAAUAUAAACUUGUAACGAUUAGGUGAAACUCAUUUAUAUUCUAGCAUCUAAUUCAUGCAUGAAAACUAAGUAUGCAUGAAAACUAAGUAUGCAUCCUUAAAUAACAUACAAGAAUCAGUUAUGAAUAAAAUAGAUAAUUGAAUUGCAAUCACAACUUAUCAAAUCACAAUUGGAAGAAAUCAAUUUAAAUCUCAAGCAUGUUCAUGGCUUCAAACUUCCCCCUAACUAAAUAGUGGUUUAGCCACUCAUAAUUGCAACAAAAUUAGAAAAUAACAAAGUAGACAUUGAAAGCAAGAACGAAGUACACCUAAAACGCUCCAAAGUUCCAAGCUUGAAACGCCAAGGGCCUUUGUUUUCACCACCUUGUUGUAGCAUAAGUGUCUAGGAUGUGUAUGGAUAUAUGGAUAGAAUGGAUUUGCAUGACAUAGAAAAUGGAAAUGUAUGGAGAUGUGUUUGAAUGUAUGGAUGAAAUGGAAUGGAGCUCAAGGCAAGGGACUUGUGUUUGUGAAUGAAGCUCUUUUGAUGGAUCAAGAUUGUCGUUCUUUGGAAGGGGGGUGGUGGAUGUAUUUAUAGGCUAGGGAGAGGACCACUCCAUUUCCUUUGCAUGUGCAGAUUGCAUGGGUGUGUGCUGUCCAUGUUUCUCCUUUCCUUUUCCACCCAUUUUCUGAACCUUUCAGUGUUACAAUGCCCAUAACCUCUUCUAGAAAAAUGAUAUUAACAAUCCGUAAAUUGUUCUAGAAAAUAGACAUCCGUAGCUUUCCAGGCAUAUAAGGCUCAUUCUCUCAUUCAUUAUACGAUGUUCGUAACAUGCUUUCAAAGUCAGCUAAUCUGCACAGGCAGUUUUGACGAAUUUGUUGGCUGUCCAUGUUUCUCCUUUCCUUUGCAUGUGGUUGUGUCUUCUCUUUCUAGCUGUGCAUUUCCACUUGAUCCAAAGCCAAAUGAGUGCAAUCAUAACCCCAUUUGCUGCUGAGUGUUGAUGACAAAGCAAAACACAAAACAAGUGCCUUUACUUUCUCAUUUUAUUAGCCAAAUCCGCUUAGCCCUUUUCUAAACCUUUAAGUGUUACAAUGCCCAUAACUUCUUCUAGAAAAAUGAUAUUAACAAUCCGUAAAUUUCUCCAGAAAAUAGACAUCCGUAGCUUUCCAGCCAUAUAAGGAUCAUUUUCUCAUUCAUUAUGAGAUGUUCGUAACAUGCUUCCAAAGUCAGCUAAUCUGCACAGGCAGUUUUGACGAAUUUGUUGGUUGUCCAUGUUUCUUCUUUCCUUUUGCACACACAUGCUUCAUCAUUUCAGCCAAAUCAACACAUGUUCUCCAUCACAUGGCAGCUAUGAUGUUUGUUAGUUGUAGGUCACACACUUGCACACACAUAUGUUGAAUUCUAAUCUUCCCAAAACGUCCAUCCUCAUGUCUCCAAGUGCAUGCAAUCCAUUUCAGCCCAAAAUUGCUCCAAAAUGCACCAAAAUGCACUUUUCUUGCCAACUUUGUUAUUAGGACCUAACAACAUACGAAAAUGGCUUAAAACACUCUUAUAAGCAAUAACUAACUAAGUAAGUGCAAGAAAACAUGUUAACUAAGUCGCAUAAAUAUGCUCCUAUCACAGUUCCGACUCAUAGAUGACCCACGAUUUAUCGCUAGCCAUCACGUGAUCAUAGGACUAAAGCGUAUAUAUUUACACCCAGCUUGUCGUACAGGUCACACUAGGUGACUCCGACUCGUGUGCUAGCAUAGACUGAUGAGCAAUAGGUCCAUUCAUACAUGUCACAUUAGGUGACUCCAACUGGCACGCUAGUUGAUUAUUCACACCUGACUUACAUUUAUUUUUAUUGAGAUAUUGUGACAUGGCAUGCUUUUGUUGUCACUGCUUUUAUGCAUUGGUUCUUUAUGUUUACGUAGUGUUAUUUUCUGGAAACUAUACAUGUUUUACGGCAAGGGGUUAUAAUGUUUUCAUUGAAACUUUAUUUUUAGGCCCACUCAUCCUUGUUUUUCAUCCCUCCAGGUUUUAGCAGCAGAACUUUGUAUCGACGAGGAUUCUUGGCAAUUCUCAAUAUAGGUGGCUACCUUUGAGGGUAUAAUCAUUAUCCUAUCUUACUGUAUUUCACUUAUGCUCUGACAUCACGUGUGAAAUGGGUUCAUUCUCGCUCAUCGCGCACUCUUGUAUUUAGGCACUUUUAGGUUUAAAUUUAUUCACAUUUUCCAUCACACUACACUUUAUAACUUCGUCACCUUCCAGGUGUCGGCCAGCACAACAUGAUUUGGAGUCCAAGUAGACAUUCCGGAUCGAGGUGUGUCAUUAUCCUUGUUGAUCUAGUGGAGUUACACAAUGACAAUUACUUUCCAAAAGGGCAAUUGCCUUACUCCAACGAGUGUAACUGCUCUAAAGUAUCUCAUUUAGCAUAAAGAAUUAUGAGUAAAUGGGCUUAAACUUUGGUGCUCUCAAGUAGUCCAAAGUCUCAAUUAAAGAGCUUUUCAUAGGGUUUAUAGAGAUUGGCAACCUUCCACAAAUCAACUCCUCUUAAAUCGUAUGUAUUGGUUCCAUAUGAACUUGGUUGGUGUAAGGUUUAAACAAACGUUUUCGAAUGAUUCAUGUCUAUGUAGCCAUUUGCAAUUCACCUCAAUCAUUUAAUCAUUUCAAAUUCCUCUAUUUAAUAUUGCACAAUGCAUUUCUAACUAAAGUAGCCUAAAUUCAUUGGUAUUUGAUAACCUUCAUUCAAAUACAAUAAUAAAUCUAGUAUUGUCUCUAGCAUUGGUUUUAGCCUUCGGGUCUUUCACGUGAGAAGCAGUUAUAUGAGACGGGUUCAUCAUUACAUGAUUUUUUUUUAUCUAAUAAUGUGUUGUUAUGUAAAAGUUUUUCUUUACAUGGCAACAUAUUAUUAUAUUGAGACAUCAUGUCAUGUAACAGUAAACUCAUUUCAUAUAAAUUGCUCAUUUUUUUUACUCCAUUAUCCUUUUUCGCUUGGGCACCAUAAAGAAGUCAUCCAAUGAUCGAUGAUCAUAAAAAUUAAUAAAAAGAUAAUCUUUAGAAUUAAAGUGGAAUUUGAAAUGGAAUCAAAUUUGAAUUGAGAUCCAAACCUUCGUAUUAAACUAGAACAAGUUCACUAAAUAAAGGUGAGGCCAACCACCAACCAAUAUUUAUACAAAAAUAAUCGCAUUCCACUCCGACCCUACCGAAUUCUUCAGGCCAUUAACCACCAUUGAAUAAACAGUACAGAAAAUCAUAAAGUAAUUAUGCUCUUAAACCGAAAAGAAAUCGAGAGUAAUUAAUAAUUAGUGCCAAGAUAUCAUUAAUAUUAUUUUUAAGGAUUCGGACGCGUAUAGUGAUAUAUUCUAUCAUUACGUCUCUCAGAUUCCGCAUCGAUUGGUGCGAGAUAUUCUAUCGUCAAUGUUUCUCGGACACUUUCUUGUUAAACCCAUUUACUACAACUAGGGAUUAAAUUUUUUGCCAAAUUACCAACCAUAUUAUACUAAAGUUCUGUAAAAAAAUUUGUAUCAUUGGUAAUGAUACGAUAUUUGUAUCGUACCAUACAUUUUUGGAAGAUAAUAGUAUUCAAAAUCAUUACCAAUUAUAUACCAUACUGUAACACUACUAUUAAUAUUAUAUAAUUUAUUUAUUCAUUUAUAUAUAUUUACGUAUUAUUAUAAUUAUAUAUGCACUUUAUAUUUUUUUUCCUAGUCAUUUAUCCAAUCAUCUCACAUUCUAACCUCUACUUUCCCAAUAAAAAAACAUAAGCCUUCUUACGCUGCGACUCUUCAUCUUUUCACUCAUCUAGCCACCGACUUCAUCUAUGUUGCUCUAGUUUCGGCGACUGUCUCUCCGGAGUCCACCUCAUCUUCUCCUUUAUCAAAUUGGGAUGUCUUUCUCCCUGGCUUUGUCUAUCAAGUUAAUUUUUGUUUAAUUUUAAAGAAUGUAAAGAUGAAAUUUAAGAAUCUUUGUACUAUUUUUUUAGGGAUAUUGGGUUCUUUGAGCAAUUCUUCCAUCUGUUUACUUCUUUGUUUCUUUAAUGAAUCUUUAUAAAAUUCUCAUAAUUAAAUAAAAAAGUUUUAGAAACCCAAAAGGAGUGACCCAAACACGUUUGGGCCUUGAAUUGGGUUGGAAAAAAAAUCAAAUUUUGGCCCAAAAGAAUGACCCAAAACAAAGUGGUAAUUACCAUUACCAUAUCAUGUCAACCGAACUAUUUGGCAUGCCGAAAUUUGGUAUAUCGAAAGUUUGGCACAGUAAUGAUAAUAGAUUUUAUCAUACCAAAAGUUUGGUACGGUAAUUGAUACAUGGGUUUUGGUACGAUAAUUGUACCAAUACCACCCCUAACUACAACUAUCCAAUCAAAGACUAAUCCCGUUUCAUGAGAGAAUUAUGACUAAUAUCAAUUUCACGAGAAAUUUUUCAAGGUGACAGGAACCCACAUAACCAUGGACACUUUAUGUAUCCAUUUAAUCGGAGGAUGUCACAUGCCUAACCGAAGAAUCUACCUAAUUUAUUUUUAAUGAAAUUACGCUGUCUGUUCUAUUAAUAAAUCCACAAGGUUUAUCUUUUAAAAUGUUAAUUAAAUUAGAACUAAAACAGAAAAAUAAAAAUAAAAAUCUCCAAUCCAAAUAACCCCGUCCCCGGCGAGACACACCACCCCCGAUCCCACCACCACCACCUCUGAUCCCGUUCAAAUCUGGUACCGCCACCACCUCCCUCUCUUGCUCUUCCUCAUAGACGAACAAUAACAGGCACAGUGGCAGACGUCGACGCUAUUCUACCCCUCCCCGAACCCAUGCGGACCAUCUUCCUCAUUGUCAUCUUCAUCAGCAUGAUUUUCAAGUUUUUCUUUGACGUGCUAUCUUUGCUUCUUGUUGGGUUUUUUUGUAAGAUGUAAUCUGAAAAUCAACAAGUUACUAGGAUUACAGAUAUAACAAAUAUAACUACAAUAAAUCAAUCAAACAAUUAAAGGGAAAUAAACUUAUCUUCCAAAGCAGAGGAAGAAGACGCUAUGACUGCUAGGGUUUCAUAGGUUGUCUUCUACUUCCAGUACUUCAAAAUGUCUCUCUACCGUGAAUAGGGUUUGGCAUGAUUGAGAGUACAAGCAUAUGGAAGCAGGAACUUAACUGUGGUAUUUAUAUCAUUAGGGUUUUCAUCACAUCCGACCUAUCAUUGGCUAUGAAGAUCUACCCUAUCUCUCUAGUAUUUAAGUCCCACCAUGAUACGAUACCUUUGUAAUAAAUCUAUCAGAUUUCCUCUAGGUUAAUUGCAAGGGACAAGACUCCAUAAUCCUUAUUAGGUUAGGACUAUCGGAUCACUUUGGUUGCUAACCACUCGAUAGACAAUUGGCUUACAACAAAAAGAUCCAAUACAACAUUCAUUGUCAUUCACAAUCUUAUAUUCUCCCACUUGAAUGUCAAUAAUUCAUCCUAACAAAAUAAGAACUCAUUGUGAUCACUGAGUCUUCAUAAGUAUGCAAUAACCUUUCCUAGCAACCUGUCACUUUGAAUCGAAUGCCGAACCAAAGAAAAACAAAGAACAACUUGGUCUGUUCCUUGCACUCCAAGAUCACAUACACAUUCAACUUAAAGCACUUUGUUGCUAACAAAGUCAUGGUGUCAAGAGCUAAUAGUCAAAACAUUAGCUCACAAUAGUCAAACUGAAAAUAUGAAAAUAUAUUUCAGUACAAAAGUAGUUCACAAAAGAACUCAACAACGUUGGUAACAACAUCCAACUUCUCUGUCAAUUUAGAAUAUGAUAAGAGAACAAGUAAAAUAUGACAUACUAUUUACAAAAUCAGAACCUCUUAUUAAAACUUAUGAACAAAACUUAAACAAAAUUUACUCUUAAAAUAUCAGCCACUAACACUUCAAAAUUUUAACACAAAAGGUAAUCUCUUACUCCCACUGAUUAGUAGAGAUAAACAAAUUAUUACUCCCACUGAUUAAGAGAGUAAAAAAAACUUUAUAAAUGCCUAUAAAAUGAAACUGACACCUUUCAAAUACUCCCAUUAGCAAAACAUUAGUCAUGGGAUCUAAAACAUAAAAUUUGUGAGCUCAACAUCUUUAUUUUAGAUAUUUGUAGGGAAGUGAUUCUCGUGACUGAAAAACUAUACAAAAUUAUUUGGUCAGUUUUGUUCAUCUAACAAUUGACAGAAAUAGAAAACUUUAACUGAAUGUUUUCUAAUGCAUCAAAAGCAUAUAAUUCUAGAAUCAUCUUUGGAUAGAAACUAAUUAUAUUAGGUUUGUAUAGCUAAAACAUAAAAUACAAGGGCAAAUGUAUAUAGCUUCAACACUUUUGAGCAGAUGAAGUAUAUGCAAUCUUGUCAAUUUCAUGUUUCACCAUACAUUGAUUUAUAGUUGUACUGAAAAAGAAAACACUUUUGAGCAGAUUAAUUAUUCAUCAAUAACAUAUAAAUCACAAGUCCAAUUUCUUGAACAACAUACAAGAAUUAAUAAGCAAAACACUUUUGAGCAGAAUAUACUCAUUAACCCUUCUUGAAUUUCCUACAAGAUUAGUUGCAUAUAUAACAAAUAAAAUAUAAAUAAGUAUGAUAAUGUACGUUUUAUCUACCAAAACUAUGACCAUUAAAAGCAUGCAAAAUUGAUGAGUGUGAAGCCCAUAAUACAUUAUUUCUCCCACUUGGGCAAACACUCAAAAUUGCAAGAUUAAACACUAGAGAAAGUGAUUUUCAUUUAACAAAAUAUAUGCAAGUUGAAUCAAUCAAGAUCAAAUACAUAAUUUUUUUUUUUAAAGUAGGUUAGAAUUAAAAAGUUCCAUAAAUAAAAACUUAUGCAAUGACUACAAAUUUUAUUUUAUUUUAGUGUAUGAGAGAAGACUCACAUAUGUGUUAAAGAUUAGGUCAUCAAUUAAAAUGAAACCUAAUAAGAGAAUCUGUUGAUGCACAAAUAUCAGCGAGGACUUUGGUACAACAGAAAGUGUCAGGUUGUGACCUUCGCUUGGUUGCUUCGAUCACUUUUGAAGAUAAGUACGUAAAUGAAUAGGGACAGGGAAGCAAACACAAGAUGUACGUGGUUCACCCAGAUCGGCUACGUCCACGGAGUAGAGGAGUUCUCAUCUACGAUGCAUGGACACGGGGAAAACUCAACGUAUCCCGUAUCUGACACGCAGGGAUACGGAUACGUACAAAAUACGUAUGGAUACGCGCCCGAUACGUAUCGGAACGAAGGUAUACGUUCUUUAUUACCAAGAUACGCGUAUCAUAUUGUCGAGAUACGCGUAUCAUAUUUUUCGGAUACGUUUCAAGCAAAAUCAGAGGAUAAUCAGAAAAAAAAUCCAAUAGAUCCGCACAGAAUCGUGAUUGAUUCGAAUUAGAUAACUUAAACGAUUGUUUAACUAAAAACCAAAACGAUUUCGAACCUCAGAAAUCAGACUCAUCUGCAAUUGCUCCGUCCGUCCGUCGUCUCUAUCGUCUCCGUCUGCAACUGCUCCAUCGUCUCCAUCGUCUCCGUCUGCAACUCCUGGUGAGAGCCUUCGACUUUGUUUUCACUUUGUUAAUUUUGAAGCUCAAUCUGAUUGCAGAACCCCUCUGAAAUUGAAAGAAACAUGCUGCUCUGUUUUUAUUCGAAGCUAAAAGCCCCAUUUCUGCUUUAAGCCAUUGACUAAUUCAAUGUAUCUGUUAUGCAAAAUUGAAAAAGCCAAAACCCAAUUUUGCUUUCUGUAUAAUAUAUUAUUUUGAUCUUCGAAGAUCAAUCAAUGGGGUCAGAUGGUGUGCAAUCAGUAAUCACUUAUCUGUUAUACAAAAUAAUAUUAUAUACAAAAUACUCGUGCCCACUUUUGCUUUCUGUAUAUAAUAUUAUUUUGUAUUUUGUAUAUUAUAAAUAAUAUACUAUUGUGCUUUCAUGAUAUUUAGAUUAUAAUAUUUUAUGGAUUUCAUGAUGUAUUUUUUAAUCUCUUAAGUUAAUAUAAAUUUCUCGUGUAAUAGUCUCUGUCUAUACAGUGGAUUGACUCUUAUUGUUUAUAUAUUUGAUUCUUACAAUUUACAUGUUGAUAAUUUAGGAAAAUGAAUCAUCCUGAUAAUCAUGCGAAUGCUAAUGUCAACCUAGUUGAGAAUGUUGAAAAUGAUCAUGGUACACUAUGGAAGUAUGUCAAAAAGCUCGAAAGAGUGGAAAAUGGAAGAGGAGGUAGUGUGUUUCAAUGCAACUAUUGUCAAAAGAUUUUCAGAGGAUCUUACUCUAGGGUCAAGUUUCAUUUGUUAAAAGUGUCUGGAAAUGGGAUCGUCUCUUGCAAUAAGGUUACUGAUGAAGCUCUUGCAGAAAUGAAAAAGCUAGCUCAAGAAUGAGGGACUCUUUCUUUUUAUUUUUUAAGUCGUUUGGAUGUUCUUUUUAGUUUUUCAAGUUUGAAGACUAAUUUGUUUAGUGGAUUAUCUUUUAAAUGUUUGAAGUUUAUCGAAAUAAAUUUGAACUUGAAUAGUAUAUUUGAAUGCUUAUUUUAUAAUAUUUAGAUAUAUUUAUUUAUUUAUAUUAUUUUUAAUUGCCGUAUCCUUGCCGUAUCGUGUCUUCAUUUUUAGAAAUUUGACGUAUCCCCGUGUCGUGUCGUAUCGUAUCUCCGUAUCCGUGUCCGUGUCCAUGCAUCAUAGGUUCUCAUUAAUUGUGAAGGGUUUACACAAAUACAUAGGUUCAAGCUCUCAUUUUGUGAGUUCUAGUGAAUAGUUUAGUACAAAAUGACAUUAGAGAUUAUUGUGGGAGAAUGAUCCCUAUUUAUAGAAGAGAGUUUCUAGUUUUGUUCUAACAUUGACACGUGUUGUGUUGUGAUUGGCUUCUGAUGUUGACACAUGUCGAGCUGUGAUUGGCUUCUGAUGUCGACACGUGUCGCAUUGUGAUUGGCCUCCUGGUUGAAGGGAAGCUCUUCUGGUCCUUGACGGUAUAACGUUGACCGGUGCUCAGUAGUUUCGGGAUUGGUCAAGUAUGGUACAAACAAAAUCCAAACUCAAAAUUUAUGUUUUAAUUCUAAAACAAAGUCGAGUAAAAUAAACACUUAGAUAUCUCAACAACAACAAUUUUUUUUUUUUAAUAAUUUUAAUCCAAUUUAGAACUCACAGAAAAUUAAGGCAAAAGAUUGGCAAAUUUACCUACUCAUUCUUGAUUCUGCGAGAUUCAUCAUGGAAUUAGUCGAGUUGUGGAGGAUCGAACCAACUCCAAAUUGCAUGAUUGUUACACCUUCGGGCAGAAACUAAUCAUGCAAAGAAAAUACCUGCAUAGCUAGCCAAAACAUAAAAUACACAAAAUACAUAUAGCUUCAACAGCUUUGGCCAGAUGAAAAUAUGUUAGAAGUACUUUAUGAUAUAAUACUAUUUUAUAAUUGGUGAGUGAUUUCCUGAAAUUCCCAUUGGGACAAAAGUAUUCACCAUAUAAAUUAGAAUUCUGAUUUUUCAAAAUAAUCCUUUAGAACAGUAUUAAAUAACCGUUUUGUUGGAUAUUCAAUGAUUCUCAAAAGAUUCAAUCAGACACAAAAGUAUGUCAUUAUUGACAUUGAACAAUAGAGUUCUCGAAAGAGGAAACAUGGUUAUUCAGGUAUUCGAUAGAGACCAAAAUGAUCAAUUAGUAAACUAAUGCCACUUUCCAAUUUUCUCUCAAAAGACAAUCAUCAUAAUCAGAAUUGAUGACCAAACAAAACAUUGGUUUAAGCAAAACAAACCAAUACAUCUUUAAAUCAAAAUUUAAUCAGUGUUGUCUAUAUAAAAUUCAUUAGUAUUGAGAAUUUGCAUAUAAUAAGGACAUAUCGGAACCAUAACCUUGUAUAAUAAUCGGUACCAAUAGAUGUGCACAAAUUAGUGAAACAAUAUCACAUAACAAAACUAGUUUUGAAGUACCAAAAUUCAGCAGUACUACUUUAGUUUGCAAAUUCACUAAAAACUCAAUUCUCUUUAGAUUGUCCUGAAAAUUUUCAAGUAUGAACUAGACAUAUAUGACUACUAUUUCGAAAAAUUUCAUGAUUUUUAAAAUCUUAUAAGUGAGCCAAAAAUGAAUUCGAAAAGAGAGGUGCUACAGCAUUAAUAUGUGUAUUUGAUAUAUCAAAAUCUCCUUUUUAAGAUAAGAAAACAAUUUAAAAAUGACACCAAAAUGGCCACGGCAUUAAUAUGUGUAUUUGAGAAAUUUCCCAAAAGCACUUGAGUCUCAACUUUGCAAUUUUAUGUUUGAAGAUAAAAGUCACAAAGGACAAACGUAGCAAACAUAAAUUGUAAUAUUAUAUAUAUUAUAUUAAACGAAGGAUAAAUUAGACUUAUUAAUCCAACAACUCAUAUUUGAUUUUAGAAAAGAAAGUCUCAACAUUAAUUGGUCCCAACCAUCAGUCAUAGAAGCAUAAGAGAAAAUCAAAAGUUACCAAAUUCUUAUUCCUGAAGAGGGAUGCUUCCAGGCAUAACGAUAGAUGGAAGCGUAAAUCAACUUAAUUAAUAUGUAUGGGAAAGUUAGUUUGCAAAGCAGUUGGACUUUAUAUUCAAAUUAGUUUAACUAAUCAACUAACACACCAAAGUGGCCAUACCAUUAUUCUUGUAAACCAUUACUCAAAAAUAUGCAGCAAACUGGAAUAAAUGAAAUUAAAUGCAAUUGAGGAAAAUCCUCAAAGCCUCAUUCUAGGCAUUAGGAAUGAAGGCCGAGAAAACAUAAAAUGUGAACAUGAUAUAAGAUCACAAUGGCUCACUCAAGUUAUCUCCUAAUGGCAAGUGAUUCACAUUGAAAAAUCUUCGAAAACAACCAAAAUUUUAAACCUGAUCAUUGACACGGUGCGCUAGGAGAAAGAAGCAUGCAAAAUAAUUAUUAACUUAAAAUGGGAUUCCAAAACAAGGAACCCUAACCACUGCCCAGGAGCAACACAAAUGCCAACCAAGCGGAUCAAAACCAAUCUUGAUAUUAAUCAUGUUAAAAAAAAAUAACAAUAGUUAAAUUAUUUAUAUGCAUAUGUGCCAAGCCUUCGAACUUUAAAUCCAAUGCAAAAUUAUAUAUAUAUAUAUAUAUAUUUGAGGUAUAGCCAUAUAUAAAGCAAUCAAAUUUGCUUCUUAAUUAAUCAUUAUCUCGACAUGGCUAAGAAAACUUAUCGUUAAGUUUUCCCAUGAAAGCCAAAACAAAACCUUUUUUUGAUAAUUACAUGAGAAUCAUGAAGUUAGAAAAGUAAUUAUAAAAAUACUCUAAAAUUAAGCGGAAGCCUCAGGAUCGAUAAGUAAAAGACCUUUAACUAAAACACAAACUAAUUGUGCCUUCAGUUUGUCAAAAAUUUGUUCAAACAGAUUACCUUUAAUCCGAACCCUCAAGCUUUGCAAAUUUCUUGGCAGAUUUGUAUCUACAGACAAAAUAAUACAACUACACGCAGAAGUAAUUUCUGCAAAUGGGUCAAAUUAAAAAUAAUAAUAAUAACAUCUAAAUAAUUAUUUGCAAAGCCAAUAUGAUAAUCAAUCCACAUAUUGAAUUAUCAGCAAUUAAAUCAAUGAAUCGUAUUAUUUGCAGAAGCUUUACACAUUGUAAAGGAUAAAAGUGAUGGCAUGAUACGUUACCAUUAUAUUCAAAACCAACCAUGAUCGAAAUUCUGAAUCUUAGACGAGUUGAGUGGCUCUGAUACCACAUGUAAGAUGUAAUAUGAAAAUCAACAAGUUACUAAGAUUACAGAUAUAACAAAUAUACUACAAUAAACCAAUCAAACAAUUAAAGGGAAAUAAACUUAUCUUCCAAAGCAGAGGAAGAAGACGCCAUGACUGCUAGGGUUUCACAGGUUGUCUUCUACUUCCAAUACUUCAAAAUGUCUCUCUACUGUGAAUAGGGUUUGGCGUGAUUGAGAGUACAAGUGUAUGGAAGCAGGGACUUAACCAUGGUAUUUAUAUCAUUAGGGUUUUCAUCACAUCCGACCUAUCAUUGGCUGUACCAAUCUACCCUAUCUCUCUAGUAUUUAAGUCCCACCAUGAUACGAUAUCUUUGUAAUAAAUCUAUCAGAUUUCCUCUAGGUUAAUUGCAAGGGAUAAGACUCCAUAAUCCUUAUUAGGUUAGGACUAUCGGAUCACUUUGGUUGCUAACCACUCGAUAGACUAUUGGCUUACAACAAAAAGAUCCAAUACAACAUUCAUUGUCAUUCACAGUCUUACAUUUUUCUGAUAGGGCAUGAACUUGCAAGGCAGACGAGCACAGGAGUCGACUCAUUGAGUUAAUGGCGGCACGAGUUAGAGAUUGUAGUGGGGAAGACGGAUGAAAUAGAAUUUGGGAGGAGCGGGGAAGACAGAUCGGCCGCCAGGGAGGGGCGCUGUCAUUGUGGGUUGUUGGCUCGACUGUCGAGAUUUCUAUUAUUUAGUUUUAUAUUUUAUUUAAUUGAUUUUCUUAAAAAUUAAAUCAGGUAGACUUUAGUGGGGCACGUGACAUCCUCCGAUUAGAUGGGUAAACAAAGUGUCUAUUGUCACAUACAAGUAUAUGGAUUAUGAUGAUCUCCCAUUCUCUUUCCAUUCCCUUCCAUCAUUCUUUUCAUAUUCUCUAUUUUGUCUUUCUCUUUCUAUAAAAAUAAUAAUAAUAAUAAUAUAAGAUGUUGAUGUGGCUUAACCGUGACCAUUCAAAUAAGAGGGGAGGGUAAAAAAAAGGGAGUAUUUUUGCUCAUCACCAUUUAGUGUGGUAUAUGCUCACCACUUUAUUUAUCACUAUUAGAUGAGUUUGAAUUUCGAAUUGGUGUAGUAGAUAGGUAUAAAUCUCGAAAUUCAAACUUAUCUAAUGGUGAUAAAUAAAGUGGUGAGCAUAAACCACACUAAAUGAUGGUGAGAAAAAAUGCAUUCUAAAAAAAAGAGGGGAGAGAAUCCUUCUCCCAAGUAUAUACCACCAAUGGUGCAAAGGAGAAAGGACAAUGUGAGGAAAGCUAAAAUUUUAAAUUAAAUUUACAAAUUAAAUAAUGUGUAACAAAAAAAAAAAUUAAUGUGCUUGAAACACAAAGUUGUACACCAUGUGUCUCUAACAAGUGGUGAGAUUCUUGUGUUGAAAAAAUAAUAACAUAAAACAUAAAAUUUCCCACCACUUAUAUAAUAACACGUGUACCACUUGCAUUACGGGCAUAAGGAAAAAUUGCUAGUGUCACCAAUAGGUGCACGUUAAUCAAUACUUACAUAAUAAUUUAAUCAUCAACUACAUCGUUUGGUUUAAAAAUUUAGUAUCCUUAACAUUAUCCAAAGAGAAAUGCUAAGAGACUCAAAGGGUGAGAUUCUGCAAUUUCACGGUUUGAUGUUGAUUUGCAUGUCAAUGUAUAAAACAAUGUUGAUCCAAUCACACACAAGUAUAUACCACCAACGGUACAACUAAGGAGAAGUUUCGAACGAUCCCGCUACAUCAGGACCCUUUUAGAGCAUGUUUACGUACACGUAAUGGGAAUCAAAACAUGAAAUUAUAUUCCGAUUACGGACCAUUUCUAUGUUUACUAAAUUUUAAGGAAUCAAAAAUAUAGUGGGACCCACACAAAGUUUGGAAUUCAAUUCCUCACUUUGGAGGAAUUGGAUCCCUUGAUAGUAAGUGGUAUUUGAGUUUCGGAAGAAUGAGGGAAUGGGGAAUCCAUUUUUCAUACCCAUAAUGCCCUCACAUAAUUGCUGAAAUUCCAAUGAUAAAACAAGCACAGGUGCCCAGCGCUAGUCUGUUUCCUUCUCCCUCACUACCGCCCCCUUCCUGUCUUCCCAAGGCCACAUACCCACCAUCAUCUUCUUAGACAACAACGACAGCCAUAAAACAAGAAUAAGCGAAAGCUGAAGAAGAACCCAUUUUAGUUUUUUUUUAUUUUAAACAAUGCUAAAAACCAAACUCCGGACAUUCAAUCAACAUGAAAUACCCCGUAAACUAAACUUCAAAGAAAUUACAUCACCACAACCAACACUUCCCAUAGGCCUCAAACCAACCGUGAAUUUCAAAUUGUUGAAAGAUGAUUGAGGCAGAGAUAGAGAGAACGGUUGGGUUGGGGUUUGGGUUAGUUUUUUAUUUUUAAUUUUAUAUCAAUUGACUUGAUUUCCUGUAAGUUUUUAUAAAAUAUUUAUUUAUAAUAAAAGACAUUCUAGUAAUCAUACAAAUUUUCAUUCCGAUCAAGUGAAUUAGUAAACAACUUACAUUCAAACAAGACCAUUUAUACUCUGAUUCCAGAUUUAAUGGAAAUCUGGAUUUCAAUUCUCCUCAAUUCAAUUCAAUUCCCCCUCAAUCCAAUUCUGUCUAUUUUGAUUAAGGAUUAAUAAACGAACCCUUAAUGUUGAACAAAAGUCAGUACUUUACAUUAAGCUAGAACUAAAAAGGCUACUCCUAGUAGAAGUGACAGAAUUAUUGUUGAGUACGUAGCAAAAUUAUUAAGCAUUUGAGCUAGAACUGUUCGUACAUUUUUUAUCUGGCCUGGUCGAGCAGUGGUACAGCUACAGAGUACUAAUUUAUAUGCCUAACGUUAUAAAACUACAAUAAUAUUUCUCAAUUAUUUUAUAAUUUAAUUUGUUGACACUUCUCAACUGAAUUAUGAAAGCACCGCCGCGAGCCCAGGGACAAGAUACCUCGAGUCCUGACGCAUUCAGGUAUUGUCGCAUAGAUAAUCAUAAGUAAAGUUCCACCAGAGAGAACCAAAUUUGACGAGUUCAGCGGCUUAUACUUUUAUGGGUAUUUGUAGUAUGAUUUUCUUAGAUUUAUUAUUUACAUUAAACGUAUUCGUUUAAAUUUUUUAGAUUAGUGACCGAUUAAAUAUUCAAAUUUCAACUCAAAUCAGAGAUAUAUGAGAACGAACAACUUUUUCUCAAACACCAUUUUUUGUUCUUUGGGAACCAAAAUACAUGGAAAAGUAAAGAUAGGAGCAGCUUCAUCGAUCAAAAUUAUCGAGCACAAACACACACACCAAUACCAUCGAACUACCCGGAAACCAGAACCAGAACAGACCAUGACCCUAAAACACAACCAGAAAACGUUAACACUAACAUCUCAAAGUCCCAAACCACCUAUAACACUAAUCUAACUCCUCCAGCUGCCGCCUUCAGCGCCACCACCUCCUCUGGAGUAGCGAGCACCGCCACCUUCACCGCCUCCAUAGCCACC
rnacentral:lncRNA from 1 species